rnacentral:lncRNA from 1 species
GUCAUCGAGCUGAACAUGUGCAAGAACUCGGAGGUGCCGUGUUUUUGGUGCUUGAUCGGUCGGGCCAUGAAGACGUACGACUACAUCAACCGCGUUGUGCUAAAGCUUCCGCUUAUGGUCUACGAGGGUACGUAGACAACACUCUCCCCUCUCGUUGCUAUGCAUCACCAUGAUCUUGCGUGAGCGUAGGAUUUUUUUUGAAAUUACUACGUUCCCCAACAGUGGCAUCCGAGCCUAGGCUUUAUGCGCUGAUGUUAAAUGCACGAGUAGAACACAAGUGAGUUGUGGGUGAUACAAGUCAUAUUGCUUACCAACAUGUCAUACUUUGGUUAGGUGGUAUUGUUGGAUGAAGCGGCCCAGACCGACAUUACGCGUACGCUUACGCGAGACUGGUUCUACCGAUGUGCUUUGCACACAGGUGGCUGGCGGGUGUCAGUUUCUCCAACUUUAGUUGAACUGAGUGUGGCUACCCCGGUCCUUGAGAAGGUUAAAACAACAUGAACUUGACGAACUAUCGUUGUGGUUUUGAUGCGUAGGUAAGAACGGUUCUUGCUCAGCCCGUAGCAGCCACGUAAAACUUGCAACAACAAAGUAGAGGACGUCUAACUUGUUUUUGCAGGGCAUGUUGUGAUGUGAUAUGGUCAAGACGUGAUGCUAUAUUUUAUUGUAUGAGAUGAUCAUGUUUUGUAACCGAGUUAUCGGCAACUGGCAGGAGCCAUAUGGUUGUCGCUUUAUUGUAUGCAAUGCAAUGGCCCUGUAAUUGCUUUACUUUAUCACUAAGCGGUAGCGAUAGUCGUAGAAGCAAUAGUUGGCGAGACGACAACGAUGCUGUGAUGGAGAUCAAGGUGUCGCGUCAGUGACGAUGGUGAUCAUGACGGUGCUUCGGAGAUGGAGAUCACAAGCACAAGAUGAUGAUGGCCAUAUCAUAUCACUUAGAUGACGAUGGAGAUCAUGAUGGCUAUAUCUUAUUGCAUGUGAUUUUAUCUUUUAUGCAUCUUAUCUUGCUUUGAUUGACGGUAGCAUUAUAAGAUGAUCUCUCACUAAAUUUCAAGAUAAAAGUGUUCUCCCUGAGUAUGCACCGUUGCCAAAGUUCAUCGUGCCCAGACACCACAUGAUGAUCGGGUGUGAUAAGCUCUACGUCCAUCUACAAUGGGUGCAAGCCAGUUUUGCACACACAGAAUACUCAGGUUAAAACUUGAUGAGCCUAGCAUAUACAGAUAUGGCCUCGGAACACUGAGACCGAAAGGUCGAGCGUGAAUCAUAUAGUAGAUAUGAUCAACAUAGUGAUCUUCACCAUUGAAAACUACUCCAUUUCAUGUGAUGAUCGGUUAUGGUUUAUUUGAUUUGGAUCAAGUGAUCACUUAGAUGAUUAGAGGGAUGUCUAUCUAAGUGGGAGUUCUUAAGUAAUAUGAUUAAUUGAACUUAAAUUUAUCAUGAACUUAGUACCUGAUAGUAUUUUGCUUGUCUAUGUUUGUUGUAGAUAGAUUGCCCGUUCUGUUGUUCCGUUGAAUUUUAAUGCGUUCCUUGAGAAAGCAAAGUUGAAAGAUGAUGGUAGCAAUUACACGGACUAGGUCCAUAACUUGAGGAUUAUCCUCAUUGCUGCACAGAAGAAUUAUGUCCUGGAAGCACCGCUAGGUGCCAAACCUAUUGCAGGAGCAACACCAGAUGUUAUGAACGUCUAGCAGAGCAAAGCUGAUGACUACUCGAUAGUUCAGUGUGCCAUGCUUUACGUCUUAGAACCGGGACUUCAACGACAUUUUGAACGUCAUGGAGCAUCUGAGAUGUUCCAGGAGUUGAAGUUAAUAUUUCAAGCAAAUGCCCGGAUUGAGAUAUAUGAAGUCUCCAAUAAGUUCUACAGCUGCAAGAUGGAGGAGAAUAGUUCUGUCAGUGAGCAUAUACUCAGAAUGUCUGGGUAUAACAAUCACUUGAUUCAACUAGGAGUUAAUCUUCCGGAUGAUAGCGUCAUUGACAGAAUUCUUCAAUAACUGCCACCAAGCUACAAGAGCUUCAUGAUGAACUAUAAUAUGCAAGGGAUGGAUAAGACUAUUCCCGAGCUCUUCGCAAUGCUAAAGGUUGCGGAGGUAGAAAUCAAGAAGGAGCAUCAAGUGUUGAUGGUCAAUAAGACCACCAGUUUCAAUAAAAAGGGCAAAGAGAAAAAGAAGGGGAACUUCAAGAAGAACAGCAAACAAGUUGCUGCUCAAGAGAAGAAACCCAAGUCUGCACCUAAGCCUGAUACUGAGUGCUUCUACUACAAGCAGACUGGUCAAUGGAAGCGGAACUGCCCCAAGUAUUUGGCGGAUAAGAAGGAUGGAAAGGUGAACAAAGGUAUAUGUGAUAUACAUGUUAUUGAUGUGUACCUUACCAGAGCUCGCAGUAGCACCUGGGUAUUUGAUAUUGGUUCUGUUGCUAAUAUUUGCAACUCGAAAUAGGGACUAUGGAUUAAGCGGACACUGGCUAAGGACGAGGUGACGAUGCACGUGGGAAAUGGUUCCAAAGUCGAUGUGGUCGCCCUCGGCACGCUACCUCUACAUAUACCUUCGGGAUUAGUUUUAGACCUAAAUUAUUGUUAUUUGGUGCCAGCGUUGAGCAUGAACAUUAUAUCUAGAUCUUGUUUGAUGCGAGAUGGUUAUUCAUUUAAAUCUAAGAAUAAUGGUUGUUCUAUUUAUAUGAGUAAUAUCUUUUAUGGUCAUGCACCCUUAAAGAGUGGUCUAUUUUUGAUGAAUCUCGAUAGUAGUGAUACACAUAUUCAUAAUGUUGAAGCCAAAAGAUGCAAAGUUGAUAAUGAUAGUGCAACUUAUUUGUGGCACUACUGUUUAGGUCAUAUUGGUAUAAAGCGCAUGAAGAAACUCCAUACUGAUGGACUUUUGGAAUCACUUGAUUAUCAAUCACUUGGUACUUGCAAACCAUGCCUCAUGGGCAAGAUGACUAAAACGCCGUUCUCCUGAACUAUGGAGCGAGCAACUGAUUUGUUGGAAAUCAUACAUACUAAUGUACGUGGUCCAAUGAAUAUUCAGGCUUGCGGCGGGUAUCGUUAUUUUCUCACCUUCACAGAUGAUUUGAGCAGAUAUGGGUAUAUCUACUUAAUAAAACAUAAGUCUGAAACAUUUGAAAAGUUCAAAGAAUUUCAGAGUAAGGUUGAAAAUCAUCAUAACAAGAAAAUAAAGUUUCUACGAUCUGAUCGUGGAGGAGAAUAUUUGAGUUACGAGUUUGGUUUACAUUUGAAGCAAUGUCGAAUAGUUUCGCAACGCACGCCACCCGGAACACCACAGCAUAAUGGUGUGCCCGAACGUCGUAAUCGUACUUUACUAGAUAUGGUGCGAUCUAUGAUGUCUCUUACUGAUUUACCGCUAUCGUUUUGGGGUUAUGCUUUAGAGACGGUCGCAUUCACGUUAAAUAGGGAACCAUCAAAAUCCGUUGAGACGACGCCUUAUAAACUGUGGUUUGGCAAGAAACCAAAGAUGUCGUUUCUUAAAGUUUGGGGCUUCGAUGCUUAUGUGAAAAAGCUUCAACCUGAUAAGCUUGAACCCAAAUCGGAGAAAUGUGUAUUCAUAGUAUACCCAAAGGAAACUAUUGGGUACACCUUCUAUCACAGAUCCGAAGGCAAGACAUUUGUUGCCAAGAAGGGAUCCUUUCUAGAGAAGGAGUUUCUCUCGAAAGAAGUGAGUGGGAGGAAAGUAGAACUUGAUGGGGUAACUAUACCUACUCCUUUAUUGGAAAAUAGUGCAUCACAGAAACCGGUUCCUGUGACGACUACACCAAUAAGUGAGGAAGCUAAUGAUGUUGAUCAUGGAACUUCAGAUCAAGUUACUAUGGAACCUCGUAGGUCAACUAGAGUAAGAUCCGCACCAGAGUGGUAUGGUAAUCCUAUUCUAGAGGUCAUGUUACUUGACCAUGGCGGACCUACAAACUAUGAGGAAGUGAUGAUGAUCCCAGAUUCCGCAAAAUGGCUUCAGGCCAUGAAAUCUGAGAUGGGGUCCAUGUAUGAGAACAAAUGUGGACUUUGGUUGACUUGCCCGAUGAUCGGCAAGCCAUCGAGAAUAAAUGGAUCUUCAAGAAGAAGACUUACGCUGAUGGUAUUGUUACUGUCUACAAAGCUCGACUUGUUGCUAAAGGUUUUCGACAAGUUCAAGGGGUUCACUACGAUGAGACUUUCUCACCCGUAGCGAUGCUUAAGUCUGUCCGAAUCAUGUUAGCAAUUGUCGCAUUUUAUGAUUAUGAAAUUUGGCAAAUGGAUGUCAAAACUACAUUCCUGAAUGGAUUUCUAGAAGAAGAGUUGUAUAUGAUGCAACCAGAAGGUUUUGUCGAUCCAAAAGAUGCUAACAGUGUGUAAGCUCCAGCGAUCCAUUUAUGGACUGGUGCAAGCCUCUCGGAGUUGGAAUAAACGCUUUGAUAGUGUGAUCAAAGCAUAUGGUUUUAUACAGACUUUUGGAGAAGCCUGUAUUUACAAGAAAGUGAGUGGGAGCUCUGUAGCAUUUCUAAUAUUAUAUGUGGAUGACAUAUUAUUGAUUGGAAAUGAUAUAGAAUUUCUGGAUAGCAUAAAAGGAUACUUGAAUAAAAGUUUUUCAAUGAAAGACCUUGGUGAAGCUGCUUACAUCUUGGGCAUCAAGAUCUAUAGAGAUAGAUCUAGACGCUUAAUUGGACUUUCACAAAGUACAUACCUUGAUAAAGUUUUGAAAAACUUCAAAAUGGAUCAAGCAAAGAAUGGGUUCUUGCUUGUAAUACAAGGUGUGAAAUUGAGUCAGACUCAAUGCCCGACCACUGCAGAAGAUAGAGAGAAAAUGAAAGAAGUUCCCUAUGCUUCAGCCAUAGGCUCUAUCAUGUAUGCAAUGCUGUGUACCAGACCUGGUGUGUGCCUUGCUAUUAGUUUAGCAGGGAGGUACCAAAGUAAUCCAGGAGUGGAUCACUAGACAGCGGUCAAGAACAUCCUAAAAUACCUGAAAAGGACUAAGGAUAUGUUUCUCGUUUAUGGAGGUGACAAAGAGCUAGUCGUAAAUGGUUACGUCGAUGCAAGCUUUGACACUGAUCCGGAAGAUUCUAAAUCGCAAACCGGAUACGUGUUUAUAUUGAACGGUGAAGCUGUCAGUUGGUGCAGUUCUAAACAAAGCAUCGUAGCGGGAUCUACAUGUGAAGCGAAGUACAUAGCUGCUUUGGAAGCAGCAAAUGAAGGAGUAUGGAUGAAGGAGUUCAUAUCCGAUCUAGGUGUCAUACCUAGUGCAUCGGGUCCAAGGAAAAUCUUUUGUGACAAUACUGGUGCAAUUGCCUUGGCAAAGGAAUCCAGAUUUUACAAGAGAACCAAGCACAUCAAGAGACGCUUCAAUUCCAUCCGGGACCAAGUCUAGGUGGGAGACAUAGAUAUUUGCAAGAUACAUACAGAUCUAAAUGUUGCAGACCCGUUGACUAAGCAUCUUCCACGAGCAAAACAUGAUCAGCACCAAGGCUCCAUGGGAGUUAGAAUCAUUACUGUGUAAUCUAGAUUAUUGACUCUAGAGCAAGUGGGAGACUGAAGGAAAUAUGCCCUAGAGGCAAUAAUAAAGUUAUUAUUUAUUUCCUCAUAUCAUGAUAAAUGUUUAUUAUUCAUGCUAGAAUUGUAUUACCCGGAAACAUAAUACAUGUGUGAAUACAUAGACAAACAUAGUGUCACUAGUAUGCCUCUACUUGACUAGCUCAUGAAUCAAAGAUGGUUAAGUUUCCUAACCAUAGACAUGAGUUGUCAUUUGAUUAACGGGAUCACAUCAUUAGGAGAAAGAUGUGAUUGACUUGACCCAUUCUGUUAGCUUAGCACUUGAUCGUUUAGUAUGUUGCUAUUGCUUUCUUCAUGACUUGUAUAUGUUCCUAUCACUAUGAGAUUAUGUAACUCCUGCUUAACGGAGGAACACUUUGUGUGCUACCAAACGUCACAAUGUAACUGGGUGAUUAUAAAGGUGCUCUACAGGUGUCUCCAAAGGUACUUGUUGAGUUGACGUAUUUUGAGAUUAGGAUUUGUCACUCCGAUUGUUGGAGAGGUAUCUCUAGGCCCUCUCGGUAAUGCACAUCACUAUAAGCCUUGCAAGCAAUGUAGCUAAUGAGUUAGUUAUGGGAUGAUGCAUUACGUAACGAGUAAAGAGACUUUCCGAUAACGAGACUGAACUAGGUAUUGAGAUACCAACGAUUGAAUCUCGGGCAAGUAACAUACCGAUGACAAAAGGAACAACGUAUGUUGUUAUGUGGUUUGACCGAUAAAGAUCUUCGUAGAAUAUGUAGGAGCCAAUAUGAGCAUCCAGGUUCCGCUAUUGGUUAUUGACCGGAGACGUGUCUCGGUCAUGUCUACAUAGUUCUCAAACCCGUAGGGUCCGCACGCUUAAAGUUAGAUGACAGUUAUAUUAUGAGUUUAUGUGUUUUGAUGUAUCGAAGGUUGUUCGGAGUCCCGGAUGUGAUCACGGACAUGACAAGGAGUCUCGAAACGGUCGAGACAUGAAGAUUGAUAUAUUGGACGACUAUAUUCGGACACCGGAAUAGUUCCAGGGGUUAUCGGAUAUAUAUCAGAGUACCGGGNNNNNNNNNNNNNNNNNNNNNNNNNNNNNNNNNNNNNNNNNNNNNNNNNNNNNNNNNNNNNNNNNNNNNNNNNNNNNNNNNNNNNNNNNNNNNNNNNNNNNNNNNNNNNNNNNNNNNNNNNNNNNNNNNNNNNNNNNNNNNNNNNNNNNNNNNNNNNNGCGCGGCCCCCCUUGCCUCAUUCCAAAUUGGGAAAGGGAAGGGGGCGGCGGCCCCCCUUCUCCUUCCUUCUCUCCACCUCCACCUUGCCCCUUCUCCUACUUGGAAUAGGAAAGGGGGGCCAAACCUACUUGGAGUAGGGUUGCCCCCCUGGUCGCGCCUAUCCCCUUGGUCGGCCCUCUCCUCAUCCCCCCUUUAUAUACGGAGGAGGGGGGCACCCCAUAGACACAAGAAUUGAUCAUUGAUCUCUUAGCCGUGUGCGGUGCCCCCCUCCACCAUAGUCCUCCUCGAUAAUAUCGUAGUGGUGCUUAGGCGAAGCCCUGCUACGGUAGAACAUCAUCAUCGUCACCACGCCAUCGUGCUGACGGAACUCUCCCUCGACACUCGGCUGGAUCGGAGAUCGAGGGACGUCAUUGAGCUGAACAUGUGCAAGAACUUGAAGGUGCUGUGUUUUCGGUGCUUGAUCAGUCGGGCCGUGAAGACGUACGACUACAUCAACCGCGUUGUGCUAACGCUGCCGCUUACAGUCUACAAGGGUACGUAGACAUCACUCUCCCCUCUCGUUGCUAUGCAUCACCAUGAUCUUGCGCGUGCGUAGGAAUUUUUUUGAAAUUACUACGUUCCCCAACAACGAAGACUCCACCGGCUUGCUCUGGCACGACACCCUCACAAACGGCACCCUGUAGAUGCUCGAUCCUUCAAUCUCUGGUGGAUGCUCCAUGUGGGAUCGAUACUCCCACCACCGCUCCCUCACGAUCGGAUUCGGUGAAUCUAUUUGCUCCAUGGCCCAGAGGAGCAGCUCUAUGUACUCCCGCGCGACUCCCUCCGGGAGUAUCGCCGCCUUUUCACUCUGUUGCAGAUAUUUGGCCAUGGAUGUCGCCGUCGCCGCUAGUUGGUCCUUGUUGUCAAACCAAGAUUGUAUCUCCAACAUCCUAGCUAGCUUCACAGGGUCGCCAUCUGCGAUCCUCACGUAUCGAUUAUACUCCUCCAUCGAUCUACUUCUCCACAGCACCUUCACUCACCGGCGGUGGUUUUUGAAUGGAAGAGGAGAGGAGCAGUGCUGGUUUUGGAUUAGAACAGGAGAGGAGCGAUGCUAGUUUGGAUUGGAACAAGAUAGGAGGGGCGGUGGUUUUGAAAUGUAAGAGGAGAGGAGCGGCGCUGGAUUUAGAUUGGAACAGGAGAGGAGCGGCGGUGGUUUAAGAGGAGAAGAGCGGAAGAGCGGCGCUGGUCUUGGAUGUAUUUUUUUGUUUUGUGUAUUUUGGGUCAAAGUUUGACCACGUACUGUAUUUGACAAGCAAAAUGUGAAUUCAUGUCACCAAAAAUUGUAUCGUUUGGUUCGUAUUUGAAUGUACUUUCAAAUUAUAUUAUUUUUGCAAGGUAUAACGUAUAUUUUAUUUGCGAAAAUCAUGGUCAAUUAUGACCCAGAAUAAAAAUGAGACUAGUUAAUGUGGGGUCGCUUUCUUAAUUGAAGGGUAAAUUGAUUAUGAUUUUGAUCCACUCACAGCACGCCGGCCCUCUCGUCCAAUCCUAAAUCGCUGUCGCACGCUCCUCUCCCUCUUCAUUGCAAAACCACCUCCUCUCCUCUCCAUCAUCUCCAUUCCAAAACCACCGUAUCGCCUCUCCCUCUUCUCCAUUGCGAUAGUACUAGAGAAGUGUUGUACUAAGUCUUCAUGCAUGUGCCCUGGAGGCGCAGUUGUCGUCAUUUUGAUCUGAAGCACUGGAUUAUAACAUAUAACACGAAAAAAUGCCACAUGACAAGAAAUCAUGCUCUUGCCCAUCUUGGAGUUGAUGAGCAUCUGAAUUUGUGGAGCAUAGCCACAUGAUCUCUUCUGGUCUACAGCAGUCCUCUUGAUUGUCUCAACAAUCAAUGUCAUCACCUUGAACUUUUCAGGCACAUCAAACAUAUGCAUCAGAUUUAUUGAGUGCCCUCUGAUGAUCCUGUCAUCUCCAGACUUGGGCAGCAAAGUGUGUCUGAGAAUUGUGUUGAUGGUUGGUAGACCUGACAGCGGAUAAUAAACUGACCCAAACUUGUGGGUGUCCAAGGCAGCAGUUGGGAUUUCCUUGUACAUAUGUGCCAUGGAGUCAUGUUGUAACAUCCCAAAUUUCCAAUUUGGAAUGUUAUACAUUAGAUCAUCAUGGCAUAUCAUCUUUUAUUGCAUUUUUGGUUGAUCCUAGAAAUGCUACGCAACUCAAGGACCCACGGAGAGAGUUGGGGAUUUCGUUAUUUGCAUAUUUGAGUUUUCUCAAAUUUUGAAAAGAGGAUCAUUUGGUUUUAACUAUUUUUCUCUCUGAAUAUCUCAUAUAUGAAAAUAAAGAGAGGGGAUAAAAUGACUUCCCCAAAAUAAUGAAAUACUGGAGGUUAAAUAUUAAAAUCAAAUAAGAAUUUUAUUCGGAGUUUUAUCGCUAUUUUUUUGAGUUAGGAAAAAAUGCGUUUUUCAAAAUUGCAUUAGAGGCCCAAAUAAAUGUUCACCUUCUCCGCUAUAUUUUUAGAGAAUGGGGAAAAUAUAUUUCAAGAUUUUUAGAGUCCGUUUAGUAUUUAUUUUAUUUGUUUUUCUGCACGUUGGAAUUAUUUUAAAAAAAGGGAACCGACCUACUGGGCCUUGUCCGACUCGGACACCGACCCGGCCGGCCUCUUAUAAGCCGCCGCCGCCAGCAUGCCAGCCUGCCAACCCCGAGACCCUAGCCGUCGUCCCGCCUCGCUCCGUGCGCCAUGCCGCCGUUGCUGCGGCCACGCGAGUCCGCCGCCGCCCCGUGGAGCCGCCGCCUUCCGCUGCCGCCGCCCCGUCGCCCCGCACCGCCGACCCCGCCGCCGCCGACGACGAGGUAGCCGCUGCCGUCGCUGGUUUUCGUUAGAAAACUGCCCGGGUUUUAUUUCGAAAACCUUGGUUUUUUUAUAGAUCGGUUUUAUUAUUUUUCCUGUUUAGUUAAUUAACGGACGUUUAUCCGUAUGUUUGUUUUAACGAACGGUGUUCACCCUUUAGCCGCAGACAGCGAACGUUCAUUCGUUAGCCUCUUCGUCAGUUUUUCUUUUUCCAGGGUUUUUCCGCGAUUAUUUUCGAUCGCGAUUUCUGCCCUAAUCUUUGUUUUGGUUUAUCUUUCGCUCGUUUAUCGGAAUCAGGUGAUUCAAGCGCCUAGAUAUUCGUCUUGAAUCCCUCUUUCUGUUUAACCAACUUGAACAAGAUUUUGGUAUUGUAAAAUUUGACUUUAGUCCAGAUUAGUAAACGGAUCUUGUUUCUUUCGCAGUUUGAGUAUCGUUGCUUCGUUUGAUUUGAUUCUUUUUGCAAACCGGAGUUCUUUAGUUGAACUUUCUGGUUAGAUCUCUUAUUUUAGUUUUACCCGUGCUUCUAGUUGAGUGCUUAUGUAUGUUAUUGUUUGUUUACGAUAGAGUACCCGGAGUGCGAAGCGUGCUACUACGAGUCUCUAGGUUUUGCGGAUCAUCAGCAAGGCAAGUAACACUUUGAUCAUACCUCUUUACUACCCAGUUUUUAUUGCAUUAGAUCAACCCUCAAACAUUGCAUGGUUAGGAUCUGUUUAACAUCUGGGUUUUGGGAAGUAGAUGGUGAGGUAGUACCUAUUGCCCUGUUUAUUAUCAAACCUUUGGGAGUUACUUUUACGUGAUGCUUAUAUGCUAUGAUAUGCUUGUAGACGUGGUUUGGGUGAGUGUAUCCAUGAUAGAUGUGAGUAUUGUUAAUUAAUGGUUAACUUAAGGUGGCUACUUAAAUACACAUCUGGGUGGAUUGCUUGAGGCACCCUGGAGUACCCAGUGGUUGUUAGGGCACCUGCAGAAUCCAGUGUUGUCCUAGGAUAUCCCGGAGUACCCGUGUGAUCAUCCUACGGUCCGCCACCCAGGAUCAAAGGGAUCAUAAGAUUAUUCAUUCUAGCAACUUACGUGUGCAGCCACCAGCCAAUAUGGGCUCUGGCAUAGUUGAGUAAGUUGUGUGAAGCUCUUGAAGAGGUAGACUAGCAGAUGUAGUGGGUUGUAGGUGGUACUGUCUACCCAGAGUAGAGAGUUAAUGCUUUAGAAAGACUGUGUCUCGAAUUUUUGACCAUGGAUGUGUUCGAGUCUUGUGGGGAAAAGUGCGCAAACCUCUGCAGAGUGUACAAACUAAUCAUGGUUAGCCGUGUCCCCGGUUAUGGACAUCUUGAGUAUCUGGUUCUUGGAUUAUCAUGUUGAUCUCAUCACUCUAAAUUAAUUUGAUUGGGUUUAAUGAUGAUGCUUAAUUGGGAUUGAGUUGGAGGAACCUUCUCAAUGUUUAACAACCACCAUGAUAGUUAAAUAAAAUUUAUUCCUUUGUUAUAGGGAAAAAUUGGCUUUAUGCAUAACUGUAAACAUAGAGCUUUCCACCAGCCAUAUAUGCAUGUAGUGAUAGCAUGCAUUCUGUUCAUUACUCUGUGUGUUACUUUGCCAGCAUAUUCCAUGUGCUGACCCGUUUUGGGCUGCAACGUUUCAUGUUGCAGACUUUUCAGAUGAUGAGUAAGGUGCCAUAGGUCAUUGUCUUUCACUCAGCUAUGUCGUUGGAGUUGAUGGACUCGCUUUAUCUUCCAAGCCUUCCGCUGUUAUCGUUUUUAGAUGGCCUUAAGCCAUAUUAUUGUAAUAAGUUCUCUUUUGAGACAUUCGAUGUAAUAAGUGUACAAUUGAAACUCUGUUAUAAAUCCUCAAGUACUGUGCGUGUUAGCAUUACCGAUCCAGGGAUGACACUGAUGCACAGGGACUAGACUGUUUGAGGUCUGGUUGCUACAAGAUGGUAUCAGAGCACACGCUGACUGUAGGACACGACCACUAAGCUAAAACCAUAGGUCACUCCUCUCUUCUCAUUUCUGACUUCUCUCCUCUUUUCGACUCUAUAGGAUGGCGGAUGCAAGGAACAAGUUCACACAACCGGAUGAAGAUACACCUUUUGGAUGACACUUGAAGGAAGUUACUAGAUACCUAAACAUCGGAAUACCAAGCUUCACCGGGACCUACAUCGCCACUUUACUAGAAGAGGAGCGUUGGAUGAUUCGAGUUCAAGUUCCAGGAAGGACGUACAUGCCAGUCACUGAGCCCAUAUAGUUUUUCUUUGAUGCACCAACCUGGAGUCUAGGAAAGAGCAUGGCAGCCCACAUCACCAUGGGAUGCAUUGGAGAAGUUUACCACAAGGAUCUCAAGGAUACUAUCUACCAUAUUUGUGGGCGCUGAGAUGAGCAAUGGGAGAUGAUUAGAACCAGGAGGGUAGAUCCAUUGCAGCUUUCAUCCAGGAGUUAAACCAGCACAUUCACCGCAAGGAGAACCAGAUGUGCACAGGCAUGAUAGAUCUGAAGAAGGCAAUGACCAGGAUCACAGAGCUAUAGGAAGAACUCAAGUCUACACGUGAUGGAUAUGAGGAGGAAAUGACGAUACUAGUGGAGAAGAAUGACGACCUAACAAGGAAGCUAGGAGUAUUCAUGGGAGACCCCGCGCUAGGAGGAGAAGAGGACGAUUCCACUUGUCCGGAGAACUACAUCAUCAUCGAUGACACCGAGUCAGACCCUGACGAUAGCGAUGAUGACUAUGUUGAUGAAGCUAUAGCAGAUAUCAUGGAGUCUUCCACCGUUUAAACUUCUAGUCGACCACCAUAUCGGUAGUAGUACAUAUAGUAUAGUCCGAGCAAUUUUGUGACGAUAGUUAGACCGCUUGUAUGCCCUUGUUUGAAUUGAUUGGAGUGAUAUGAUUAUGUUUGUCCCAUGUGCAUAUGGGUAGUGUUUUCCCUCUAGACCUCAUUCUAUUCUGUUUUCUCAUCUUUUCUAAACCCAUCAGAUGCCUCCGAGACGUGACAAUGGAUUUAAUUUCCCACGGAGCUCACUCAGUUGAUCCAGCAGCAGAAUACCCUGAUGCAGCUACUAGUCCAGAAUCAGAACCAGGGGAACAACAACAACAACCCACCACCACCAUCACCUGUUGAUCACUUAGCCCGUUUUCUAAGGUUGAAUCCGCCGGUGUUCUCUAGUAGCACCGAGCCGAUUGUUGCAGAUGAUUGGCUCCGCAAGAUUGGAAGGGAGUUGACCACUGCAGGAUGCAUAGAUGCGGAGAGAGUGCAUUUUGCCGCACAUCAGCUUGAUGGACCCGCAUCAUCAUGGUGGGAGAAUUUCACAGCCACUUACCCCAUCGACACUGUCACAUGGGACCAGUUUCAGCAGGCUUUUCGCACUGCCCAUGUUUCAGCAGGAGCUAUGGCCAUGAAGAAGCGCGAGUUUUGCAAUUUGCACCAAGGAGGACGCACAGUGGGCCAGUAUGUGGAUGAUUUUAGUAAAUUAGCAUGUUAUGCCCCAGACAACGUCACUACAAAUGCCGCUAAGCAGGAGAAGUUCCUAGAAGGACUGAAUGAUGAGCUGAGCAUGCAGUUGAUGGUGGCAACCUUCAACAACUACCAGGAGUUGGUAGAAAGAGCUCUCAUGAUUGAAGGGAAGAAGCAGUAGAUUGACAACCGCAAGAGGAAGUAAGGACAAGGGAAGUACAAUUCAGGAGCUCAGCAGAGGCCCCGUUUUAUCCCGAACUCGGGAGGACACAUUCACCAUAACCAUGGAGGCCAUAAUUCCAAUGGAGGAAGUUCGCAUAACCAUAGUGGCCCCAAGAAUGGGAAUAGGAAUGGAAGAAGCAACGGCCAGAACCGUUCCAACCUAGCAACGCCCGCAAAGAAGGAUCUAAGUCACCUUACUUGUUUCAACUACGGGAAGAAUGGACAUUACGCCAUGGAGUGUUCUGAAGCAAAGAAUGGAAAUGGCAAUGGAAGCUCCGGGAAGAAGCCCAACCCUUUCAACAGGGGACAAGUGAACCACGUUAGCGUGGAGGAGGUUGAAGCGCAACCCGAUGCAGUCUCAAAUUGUAUGCGAUGUGCAUGAGAUUCAUUUUCAUAUCUAUAUGCACAUAUCUAUGUGGAGUUUGUCCUAUGUAUUGUUGGUAUUCUAUCUCUUUGGUCCCAAUGAGUUUCGGUACCAUUUUGUUUGUGUUGUUGUUCUAGGAACAAUUGGAGAUGCAUUGGAUACUCGGCUCAUUCAAAAGGAAGGUGUUGUCACCAUGUGAUUAUUGGAGUCAAGCUAGGAUGAUCAAUGAACUACUUUCUACCUUCAAUUGGUAUCUACUACAUCCUUCCAAUGCUAUCUCGGUAACAAGUAUCAUCAUCUACUACAUGCACACAUUAUUGCAUCAAUCGUGUGUAGGUUGUAUCAUGGCAUGUUAUUCUUUCUUUCUUGUGAUACUUGUUUCCUUCUCAAAGCAUCCCAACAAUGAUCUCUUGUCGCUAGUUGUGAUGUCUUUGAUGGUUGUGUGGUAGGAAUUCGUUUAUAUACAAUAAUACCAUAUCUAGCCUUGGGCUAUGCUUCCAAGCACAUAUCUUAUUGGUAUAUGUAUGACUUCCUUUUGGAUAUCUUGUUCCUUCGUGUUGUAACUAUUUCGGGUGUACAUCCUUCUUUGUAGAUAUAUAUCGUCAUGAUUUCGUCUACCUAGACCCUUAUACACUUGAGAGAAAUUACAUCUCUAGGUGAUAUCCUUUCUUUCACGUCCACCUUGUCUUUCUUAUGUUAUUUCUUUGGUGGCUCCGUAAAAGCUUUUGCCUUGAGUGUGUGUCUUAUCUCGUUGCAUCUUGAUACACUCUUGUGUGGUGAAGAUUAUUUUCCUCAUGCUUGUCUUGACGAGGCUUUUGCCAUCUUAAUUCGUAUCCCAUGUCUUGAUGAUGCUUAUGCUCUAUCUUCACCUCGGGUUGUCACAAGUGUUGGUUAUUCAUCUUGCAUAUUUAGUGUUCUUGUGAACCCAUUUGCUUAGUUGUGUGUGGGAAUGAAAGGCUUUGCACCGUGUAUCUCAUUCAUUCGAUACUAUGUUGAUGCUUAUGCUCAUCCUUAUAUUAGUCUUCUCAUGUGCUUUGCCAUGACUCACACACAUCAUUUUGGUUGAGCCUAUUCUUAAGUUUCCUCUUUUACAUAUUGCUCAACCAUGUGUUUGUUGCAAGUGCUAGGCUUAGUUUCCUUUAUGCUCACUUGCACUUGUUGUAUGUUUCUAUUGAUUUUGUGGGAGUUGUUAUCCUAUUUUGUGCACUUUGUAUUCAAAUACAAAAAUUCUUAUGUGUGCACAAAUCAUGGGGAGCUUCCGUAGUUCCUUUAGAACACUCCUUCGCUCAUAUCAUAUUAUCCUUUUUUCAUGUGGCACGUAGGAUCAUUGGUCUAGUUGGCUCAAUUGAUAUCCGUUGCAUGCUUGCUUCAAUUGGUAUCUUUUGAUUGCUUGAUGACUUGUUUCUCUCUUUGUUAUGUCUUUGUGGCAUAUCAUUCUUUUGCAAUCUUUGGGUCUCAAUAUAGUUUGUCUUCCUCCAAGUAUUUACCGUUGGACAUGUGUAUUGCAUUCCACUCUCUUGUUGAGAAAUACACAAUUUAUGGAGGAACACGUUUUAUAUUGGCCUUCUAAGCUUUUCGCCCAUUUUGGCAAUCGAUGCCAAUGGGGGAGAAGUUUCAGAGAGUUUUGUGGAGAAGGUUUCAAAGUUUUCUCCUUGCUUUGGUUUUGUUCCUAAGCAUUUGCAUCUCAUUCUCCUGCAUCAUUGGUUGUUGCAUUGCAUUGUGAUGCAUAAUUCCUAAUAUAAACUCUCUUGAAAUUGAUUGUCAUCAAUUACCAAAAUGGGGGAGAUUGAAAGAACAUGCGGUGCCCCCAUGUUUGGUUUUGGUAAUUGAUGACAAUCUCUAUGGACUAAUGGUUUUCUUGAGUUAUAUUUGAAGGAUUUGUCCAUAGGCUUUUCUUGGAGUCCAUGUGUUGGUUUCAAGGAGUUUAUGAGUUGACCAAGGUGCUUUUAAGGAAUUAUCCAAAGAUUGGUCAUGUGAGUGUUGAGCUUAUUGCAAGCAUGUCUUGAAUAAGAAUAUUGUGUGAUCAUUCAUGUUUACCUUCAAGACAUCAUCCAAAUGAAGAGAGUUGGAAGGAUUCAAGGUUGAUCAAGACUAAGUCAAGAGUGAAUCAAGUUGAUCAACUCACAAAGCGUAGAAGAUGUACCGAGAGGGAUCAAGUGAUCCCAUGGUAUGGUAAGCAUUGUCCAUUGCACUUUGUGUACUAACCCAUGGUCUAUGUGAGAGUUCUAUGUGGGGUUAGGUACGUGUCCAUGGGCUUGCAUCAAGAGGAAGAUAUCAUACAACCCAUGGAAAGGAUGACAUCAAGUGGUGAUCGUCAUCAUGAUUGCCGUGUGCAAGUUCAAGUGGAGCAUCAUGAAGAGAUCAAUUACUUGAAUCUUGCCACCUUUGUGGUGUCAAUGGUCUUGUGAAGAUGUGCCGAAGAGAGGCUCACCCAUAGUGGACUAUGGGGGAGCAAUCAUCUAGUCUUCAUCGAGCCAACGCAAUCAAGAAAUGUGGUCCAACUUGAGGGAGUCAAGAUCGUCAUCAUCUACCUCAAGUGGACCAUGUGCAAGGCAAAGGUUUUCCCUUGAUAGGUUUUCUAUUUUACCGGUCUCGUGGUGGUAGGUAGGAGACCGGGUUAUAGGAUCCUUUGUCGUACUAUCAAGGGGGGCUCUCAAGUUGGUAGCUUGAUCGUAUCGUUAGUAGAGAGCUCAAACCAUUGCAUCCUUCAAUCAUGUUUCUUGGUUCUUGUUUGGUUCUCUUUGUGAGUCUUAGAGCUUAUGGUCAUCUUGAUGACAAGCUUGAGUUCAUCGAAAACGAAGUUCGCAUGCGUCUUCUAUGAUGUUUUCGGCGUUGGAGGUUUUACCGGUCUUAUCCGAGGAAGGGUUCUCACCUUUUUCUUACGGGCCUUUUCUAAUUUUCUUCUUAUUGAUAUUUCUUUCAAGAUUGUGUUAGCCCUUGUCGCUAGCUUUCCAACAAACUUGGUUUCAUCGAAUUCGGAGUCCGUUUGCAAAAGUUGUGGCAGUUUUGGUGUUCUGAAAAGGUUGUAGCGGUACUACCGCAAAUUGGAGCAGAUGUAAUUUUUUACUACUGUUGGAGCUGCGGUAGUACCACUCCGGACCAAAAACUCGUCCCAAGUCCUACGGUGGUAGGCCCGGAUGUAUUUUAUUAGUACCACUCGCAAGCAGUAGUACCGCUACCCUUUGCGGUAGUACCGCGAUCCCUAGCGGUAGUACCGUGAGGACGAGCGGUAGUACCGCUCCGGCGGUUCUACUGGCCUUUUGCCUCCUCGCUGUUGUUUUUCAAAGGGGUACUACCGCCCUAGCGGUAGUACCGCUCCUUGGAGCGGCAGUACCGCUCUGUGCGGGCUGUGAGCAUAACGGUUGGAUUUUUCCCCACCUAUAAAAGGGGGUCUUCUUCCCCAUUGAACCUCAUCCUGUGAGCUCGUGUUCUCCCCCCAUUGUUGACCUUAUUUGAGCUUGCUAACUCUCAAUCCCUCCAAUGAUUCUUUCUAGUUCUUGAGGGAAAAGAGAGAGGAGAUCUAGAUCCACGUUUCCACCAAUCACUUUCUCCUCUAAGUGAGGGGAACCCCUUGGAUCUAGAUCUUGGAGUUCUUUGUGUUCUUCUUUCGUUCUUCCUCUCAUUUUCCUCCCUAGCAUUAGUUGAUUUGGUGGGAUUUGGGAGAGAAGGAUUUGGGCUCUCCGUGUGCCCUUGUCAUUGCAUUUGGUGCAUCAUUUUGAGUUCUCCACGUGAUACGUGGAAGUUAUAAGUUGAGAAGCUUAUUACUCUUGGGUGCUUGGUACCCUUGAGCUUGUUACUCUUGGGUGUUUGGACACCCUAGAGCUUGUUCCUCUUGGGUGCCUUGGCGCCCUAGACGGUUGGUGUUGUUCGGAGCUCAAUCAUUGUGGUGUAAAGCUCCGGGCAAGCGUCGGGGUCUCCAAUUAGGUUGUGGAGAUCGCCCCGAGCAAUUUGACGGGUACCGGUGGCCGCCCCCAAGGGUUCCCAAAGUGUACGGGUUCGGUGACCGCCCCCAAGGGUUGCCAUUUGUAUGGGUUCGGUGACCGCCCUCAAGGGUCCCUUAGUGGAAUCCCGGCAUCUUGCAUUGUGCGAGAGCGUGAGGAGAUUACGGGGGCCCUAGUGGCUUCUUGGGGAGCAUUGUGCCUCCACACCGCUCCAAACGGAGAUUAGCAUCCGCAAGGGUGUGAACUUUGGGAUACAUCAUCAUCUCCGCGUGCCUCGCUUAUCUCUUACACGAGCCCUUUACUUAUGCACUUUACUUUGUGGUAGCCAUAUUGUUUCUUGUCGUAUAUCUUGCUAUCACUUAGUUGUUUAUCUUGCUUAGUAUAAGUUGUUGGUGCACAUAUGAGCCUAGUUGUUGUAGGUUUUGUGCUUGAAAAAUUAACCUCUAGGUUUAUUCCGCAUUUGUUCAAGCCUAAACCGUAAUUAUUUUAAAGCGCCUAUUCACCCCCCCCCCUCUAGGCGACAUUCACGAUCUUUCAAUUGGUAUCAGAGCCUCGUCUCUCUUUGUUGGGCUUAACCACCUAGAGAGUAAAGACGUCGACUAGGGGAUUAGGAUUCUCUAACACUGUUAGUUUCGAUGGCACAAAUUUUGAUGUUUGGGUAAUUCACAUGCUUAAUCUCUUUAGGGUCAUGGACCCAAACUUAGAGCGAAUUGUAGAUAUGGGUUUUUCUCCUCCAAAGGAUCCCCAAAGAUUAUCUUUAGAGGAUGAGAAAAACUCUUAUCUCAAUGCUCAAGCUUCUAAUGUUCUUUUCGAUGCUUUGAGCAAUGUAGUUAUAUUUCAACUCAUGCCGUUCCGGGAUGCUCAUGAGUUGUGGACAGAGCUUCAAGAUAAAUAUGGCGUGUCCAAGAUUUGUAAGGAUGAUUGUUCUCCCUCCACCUCCGGCCAUGUUGUGUUCUCAACUUCUUCUACUUCACCUACAUGUGGUUUGCCACAAGGUAAUGACAUGGUGAGUAGUGGUGUUCAUUGCAAUGAUGAUAGUGGGCUUAUUGUUGAUAAUCCUUCAUCACUUUCUUAUUGCAAUGCUUCAUCUUUGGACUUUAACACUUCUAGCACUCCAAAUGUUUCACAUGCUUGUGUUGAUAGUCCUUGCAUAUCAUGUAGAAAUUGCUUGACUAAAUAUCAUGAUGAUAUGCUUGCUAUGUCUUGUUGCCAUGAUAAAAAUGCAUCUAUUUCCUCGAAUUGUUGUGCUAACAAUGUAGAGGAAACCAAACACUCCAUGGAACAAGAUGUGGUGUUUAAUGGUGCCUCAAGGGAUCCUACAUCAUCAUCUAUUGCUUUUUGCCUUAUGGCUAAGGCGUCAAAGGUAUCUCCUACUUUGUACCCCAAUAUGUCUCUUGAUGAUGAUGUUGAUGCUAAUGAUGAUGAGGAUAAUGAUGAAGAGAAUGAUAAUGUUGCCUCCUUAAAAACUAAGGGGGAAAUGAUUUUUAAAGCUCUUCAUGAAAAUAAAAUUGCUCGUUCCAACUUCAUGGAAAUAAUGUCCAUUGCCAUUGAUGGCAAGAAAUACAUUGAGGAGUUGGAAUCUCAUCUAGAGGAGCAUGAGGUCACCAUUGAGAAAAUGGAAGCUCAUGAGCGUGAUUACGCAAAUGAGAUCGUGGAGCUAUCUCAAGCUCUUGAACAAGAACAAACCACCUCUGAAUCUCUUGAUGAGACUUUUGCUCUAGAAUUAUCUAGAGUGAAGGAAUCUAAUGAUAGAGCUCUUGAGGUGGCCAAUGUUUUUGAAACUAAAAAUGCUAAGCUUGAAGUUGCUCAUGCUAGACUCCUUGAGGAUUUUGAGCACCUCGAAAAUGGCUCAAGGGUCAUCAAGGGUGAGCUCAUCAAACUCACGAAGUCUCAUGCUCAACUUGAAGCUUCUUAUUUAGAAGAGCUUGCCAAGUUUCCUUCUCCUCUUCUUGUUAAUGAUGAUGCUUGUGCUACUAACUCUAUUUCUUGUGAAGCAUCCAUUUUAAAGGAGAAUGUUGAGCUAAGGGCUCAACUUGAGUUGCUAUCUAGCAAGUAUGGGAAAUUGGAAUAAAGUCAUGAAAAGCUUUCUAGCUCUCAUGAUGAUCUUAUGGUAUCCCAUAAUGUUCUAAAAAUAGCUCAUGAGGCUAUGAUUGAUAAGGUAACAUCUAGUGAGCCUCAUGUGGACAUUAGCACUACUCUUAGUCAAAAUGCUAUAUUGACUUGUGCUAGUCCUCGUAAUUCGUCUAUGCAUAACAUUGGUACAUCUUGUGAUGAAUUGCUUUCCCUGCCUUGUUGCUCUAAUGAUGAAGCAUAUACUUCCUCUAGUACUUGUGUUGAGACUAACCAUGUAGAGGAAAUCAAAGAGCUCAAGGCCCAAGUCACUUCUUUGAAGAAAGACUUGGAAAAGAGUCAUGAAGAGAAAUCCACACUCAACAAUAUCUUGAGUGUGCAAAAAUCCCCCAAUGACAAAGGUGGACUUGGAUUCAACUCCAAUAAGAAGAAGUCCAAGUUGAACAAUAAGAAGGGCCAAGAACAAGUCAAGAAUUUGGCCAAGAUUGUUUGCUUCAAGUGCAAAAUUGAAGGGCAUCAUGUGAGAUCUUGCCCAUUGAAGAAGAAGGCCAUUAGUGACAAGCAACAAGGGAAGCGGCCACAAGUUCAAUCUCAUGCUCAAUCAAAAGUUGAAGAAAGGCCACUUCCCAAGAAUGCUCAAGCUCAUGCUUCUCUCGUUGAGAAAUCAAGUGAGAAGAAAAUGAAGAGUAGACGUUGCUACUUAUGUCGUGAGAAAGGUCACGUUGCUUCUUCAUGCACAAGUGGUAACGUAUCCAACCCAAUUAUUAUUGAUGAUGUCUAUUCUCUUGGGAAGGAUAAUGUUGGCAAUGUGUUUGCAAAGUUUGUUGGUACUCAAAGUGGUGUCAAGAAAAGAACCAUUUGGGUGGCCAAGCCUAUUGUGACUAACCUCUUAGGACCCAACUUGGUUGGGGACCAACAAGCUAAAACUUGAUCAAUAGGUGUUGAUGGAGGUCAUUGGAUACUUGGCUACCUUAUGAAGAAUUAAGGGGUCUUCAUCAUUCAUUUUGUCUCAAGCCAAGUCAUUCGGAUUAUCAAGUUUCUAUCUUAUAUCCAAUGUUCACCAAAGUGCGGUAACUCGUGCUUAAAUUGUUUACAUUGAAAGUUACUUGCCCCUUAGCGUGUUGUGGUUUUGUACCUUGCAUGUGUGUGUAUAUGUUAUGCUUCCAAUUUUCUUAUCUUGGGAAAUCAAUUAUGUGCAUGUUGGUUCGCACAUCAUGUACGUGUGUGUAGUGUGUUGAGCCUUUGUUCAUCUUGUUUAUAUCUUAGUUGGCUCUUGUGAGAGAUUAAUGGAAUAAACCAUUAUGGGGGAGUGAUGUGCUUUGUGCACCUCACAAUCUUAUAAAUGUGUGUACAUGAGGAAUACCAUCUAGUAUUGAUAUUACAAGAGUAUCUAGUCACUAUGUGGUAUGUCUUCUCAUGAGAAAUUCAAAUUCUAAAUAGUCCAUUAAUCAUCUCUUGUUGGAUCCUCUUAUUGCCUCUUGUUAAGUUUUUAUUGGUAUCACAUUAUGGGGGAGUAAUAUGCUAUGUGCAUACUACAAGCCUAGAAAAUGUGUACAUUAGAGAUAUUGUCACCUAGAAUUGAUAUUGUAAAUUAUCUUGUUCCUAGGUGUCAUGUUAGCUCUACAAGUUGCAAUUUUCUUGUUUUUGGUGUGAAGAUGAUGUCAGAUAUCCUUGCUAUCUACCACCGGGAAUUACUUCCGAAUACUUCUUAUCUUUUGACAAUUGGUACUCACUUGUGUGGUAGAAAUUAUUGAUCAUCUUUACUUUGGCCUUUGCUUUUAUUUGCUUUAUCUCUUGCCUAAAUUGUGUCAACUCCCAUUGCCUUCCGUGCCACUUGAGGAUCUUGUUGUGGUCUUGUUCUUGUCUAGUGUUUUCUUGAUAUAGAGAAAGUGGUGAUCCCACCUUGUGCAUUUUUUAUUCAAAUGCAAAUACUCUAUAAUUCACAACUUGUGGGGGAGCUAUCCUAUUUCCUAUAAAACACUCAUCUUGUGAUCCAUAUUAAGUUUGUGUUGGUGGAUGUCAAGUCGUUUCUUUUGGUACUUUGUGCCAUCAUGAAACUUUGUAGAGAGCUUGGUUUGUUUGGAACCAUCCUCUCCUUUGGGAGUUUGACAUCUUUUUUUGUGUGUUCCAAUGGAUAUCUCAUUCCUUGAUGUAUCUUCUAAUGAUAUCUUCCAAGUGAUGAUUUCUCCAUUUGGUAUCCUUUUCACUUGGUUUUUCCUUGUAUUUUGGUAUCGAUUCUUGAAAGUCUUGAGCAUGCAUUUUAACUUCAUGUAGUUCCUUUGGCAUGUUUUCUUUCUUUGACCCAAUAUAUAGGGGAAACUCCACCAAGAUUCAUUUUCAUAUCUAUAUGCACAUAUCUAUGUGGAGUUUGUCCUAUGUAUUGUUGGUAUUCUAACUCUUUCGUCCCAAUGAGUUUCGGUACCAUUUUGUUUGUGUUGUUGUUCUAGGAACAAUUGGAGAUGCAUUGGAUACUCGGCUCAUUCAAAAGGAAGGUGUUGUCACCAUGUGCUUAUUGGAGUCAAGCUAGGAUGAUCAAUGAACUACUUUCUACCUUCAAUUGGUAUCUACUACAUCCUUCCAAUGCUAUCUCGGUAAUAAGUAUCAUCAUCUACUACAUGCACACAUUAUUGCAUCAAUCGUGUGUAGGUUGUAUCAUGGCAUGUUAUUCUUUCUUUCUUGUGAUACUUGUUUCCUUUCUCAAAGCAUCCCAACAAUGAUCUCUUGUUGCUAGUUGUGAUGUCUUUGAUGGUCGUGUGGUAGGAAUUCAUUUAUAUACAAUAAGACCAUAUCUAGCCUUGGGCUAUGCUUCCAAGCACAUAUCUUAUUGGUAUAUGUAUGACUUCCUUUUGGAUAUCUUGUUCCUUUGUGCUGUACCUAUUUCGGGUGUACAUCCUUCUUUGUAGAUAUAUAUCGUCAUGAUUUCAUCUACCUAGACCCUUAUACACUUGAGAGAAAUUACAUCUCUAGGUGAUAUCCUUUCUUUCACAUCCACCUUGUCUUUCUUAGGUUAUUUCUUUGGUGGCUCCGUAAAAGCUUUUGCCUUGAGUGUGUGUCUUAUCUCGUUGCAUCUUGAUGCACUCUUGUGUGGUGAAGAUUCUUUUCCUCAUGCUUGUCUUGACGAGGCUUUUGCCAUCUUAAUUGGUAUCCCCUGUGUUGAUGAUGCUUAUGCUUUCUAUCUUCACCUCGGGUUGUCACAAGUGUUGGUUAUUCAUUUUGCAUAUUUAGUGUUCUUGUGAACCCAUUUGCUUAGUUGUGUGUGGGAAUGAAAGGCUUUGCGCCGUGUAUCUCAUUCAUUCGAUACUAUGUUGAUGCUUAUGCUCAUCCGUAUAUUAGUCUUCUCAUGUGCUUUGCCAUGACUCACACACAUCAAUUUGGUUGAGCCUGUUCUUAAGUUGCCUCUUUUACAUGUUGCUCAAUCAUGUGUUUGUUGCAAGUGCUAGGCUUAGUUUCCUUUAUGCUCACUUGCACUUGUUGUAUGUUUCUAUUGAUUUUGGGGGAGCUUUGAUCCUAUUUUGUGCACUUUGUAUUCAAAUACAAAAAUUCUUAUGUGCGCACAAAUCAUGGGGAGCUUCCGUAGUUCCUUUAGAACACUCCUUCGCUCAUAUCAUAUUAUCCUUUUUUCAUGUGGCACGUAGGAUCAUUGGUCUAGUUGGCUCAAUUGAUAUCCGUUGAUUGCUUGCUUCAAUUGGUAUCUUUUGAUUGCUUGAUGGCUUGUUUCCCUCUUUGUUAUGUCUUUGUGGCAUAUCAUUCUUUUGCAAUAUUUGGGUCUCAAUAUAGUUUGUCUUCCUCCAGGUAUUUACCGUUGGACAUGUGUAUUGCAUUCCACUCUCUUGUUGAGAAAUACACAAUUUAUGGAGGAACACGUUUUAUAUUGGCCUUCUAAGCUUUUCGCCCAUUUUGGCAAUCGAUGCCAAUGGGGGAGAAGUUUCAGAGAGUUUUGUGGAGAAGGUUUCAAAUUUUUCUCCUUGCUUUGGUUUUGUUCCUAAGCAUUUGCAUCUCAUUCUCCUGCAUCAUUGGUUGUUGCAUUGCAUUGUGAUGCAUAAUUCCAUAUAUAAACUCUCUUGAAAGUGAUUGUCAUCAAUUACCAAAAUGGGGGAGAUUGAAAGAACAUGCGGUGCCCCCAUGUUUGGUUUUGGUAAUUGAUGACAAUCUCUAUGGACUAAUGGUUGUCUUGAGUUAUAUUUGAAGGAUUUGUCCAUAGGCUUUUCUUGAAGUCCAUGUGUUGGUUUCAAGGAGUUUAUGAGUUGACCAAGGUGCUUUUAAGGAAUUAUCCAAAGAUUGGUCAUGUGAGUCUUGAGCUUAUUGCAAGCAUGUCUUGAAGAAGAAGAUGUGUGAUCAUUCAUGUUUACCUUCAAGACAUCAUCCAAAUGAAGAGAGUUGGAAAGAUUCAAGGUUGAUCAAGACUAAGUCAAGAGUGAAUCAAGUUGAUCAACUCACAAAGCGUAGAAGAUGUACUGAGAGGGAUCAAGUGAUCCCAUGGUAUGGUAAGCAUUGUCCAUUGCACUUUGUGUACUAACCCAUGGUCUAUGUGAGAGUUCUAUGUGGGGUUAGGUACAUGUCCAUGGGCUUGCGUCAAGAGGAAGAUAUCAUACAACCCAUGGAAAGGAUGACAUCAAGUGGUGAUCGUCAUCAUGAUUUCCGUGUGCAAGUUCAAGUGGAGCAUCACGAAGAGAUCAAGUGCUUGAAUCUUGCCAUCCUUUGUGGUGUCAAUGGUCUUGUGAAGAUGUGCCGAAGAGAGGCUCACCCAUAGUGGACUAUGGGGGAGCAAUCAUCUAGUCUUCAUCGAGCCAACGCAAUCAAGAAAGGUGGUCCAACUUGAGGGAGUCAAGAUCGUCAUCAUCUAGCUCAAGUGGACCAUCCGCAAGGCAAAGGUUUUCCCUUGAUACGUUUUCUAUUUUACCGGUCUCGUGGUGGUAGUUGGGAGACCGGGUUAUAGGAUCCUUUGCCGUACUAUCAAGGGGGGCUCUCAAGUUGGUAGCUUGAUCGCAUCGUUAGUAGAGAGCUCAAACCAUUGCAUCCUUGCAUCAUGUUUCUUAGUUCUUGUUUGGUUCUCUUUGUGAGUCUUAGAGCUUAUGGUUAUCUUGAUGACAAGCUUGAGUUGAUCGAAAAUGGAGUUUGCAUGCGUCUUCUAUGAUGUUUUCGGUUUGGAGGUUUUACCGGUCUUAUCCGAGGAAGGGUUCUCACCUUUUUCUUAUGGGCCUUUUCUAAUUUUCUUCUUAUUGAUAUUUCUUUCAAUAUUGUGUUAGCCCUUGUCGCUAGCAUUCCAACAAACUUGGUUUCAUUGAAUUCGGAGUCCGUUUGCAAAAGUAGAACAACUUUUGGUGUUCUGAAAAGGCUGCGGCAGUACUACCGCGAAUUGGAGCGGAUGUAAUUUUUUACUACCGCUCCAGAGCGGUACUACCACGGCUCCUACAGCGGUAGUACCGCUCCGGACCAAAAACUCGUCCCAAGUCCUGCGGUGGUAGGUGAUACAUCCAUUCUGCAUCAUGCUUUUAUAUCAAUAUUUAUUGCAUUAUGGGCUGUUAUUACACAUUAUAUCUCCAUACUUAUGGCUAUUCUCUCUUAUUUUACAAGGUUUACCAUGAAGAGGGGGAAUGCCGGCAGCUGGAAUUCUGGCUGGAAAAGGAGCAAACGUUCGAAACCUAUUCUGCACAGCUCCAAAAGUCCUGAAACUCCACGAAACAACUUUUUGGAUUUAAUAAGAAUUUCUGAGCGAAAGAAAUAGGCCAGGGGGCCCACAUCCUGUCCAGGAGACAGGGGGGCGACCCCCAUAUAGGGCGCGCCCCCUAUCUUUUGGGCCCCCUGGUGGGCCUUCGGCGUCCAUCUUCUGCUAUAUCAUCACUUUUACCCUGGAAAAAAUCAUGGGCAAGCUUACGGGACGAAACUCCGCCGCCACGAGGCGGAACCUUGGCGGAAUCAAUCUAGGGCUCUGGCGGAGCUGUUCUGCCGGGGACACUUCCCUCUGGGAGGGGGAAAUCAUCACCAACGUCAUCACCAACGAUCCUCUCAUCGAGAGGGGGUCAAUCUCCAUCAACAUCUUCACCAACACCAUCUCCUCUCAAAACCCUAGUUCAUCUCUUGUAUCCAAUCUUGUAUCAAAACCACAAAUUGGUACCUGUGGGUUGCUAGUAGUGUUGAUUACUCCUUAUAGUUGAUGCUAAUUCAUUUACUUGGUGGAAGAUCAUAUGUCCAGAUCCUUUAUGCAUAUUAUUACUCCUAUGAUUAUGAACAUGAAUAUGCUUUGUGAGUAGUUACGUUUGUUCCUGAGGACAUGGGUGAAGUCUUGCUAUUAGUAGUCAUGUGAAUUUGGUAUUCGUUCGAUAUUUUGAUGAGAUGUAUGUUGUCUUUUCCUCUAGUGGUGUUAUGUGAAUGUCGACUACAUGACACUUCACCAUUAUUUGGGCCUAGAGGAAGGCAUGGGGAAGUAAUAAGUAGAUGAUAGGUUCUAGAGUGACAGAAGCUUAAACCCUAGUUUAUGUGUUGCUUCGUUAGGGGCUGAUAUGGCUCCAUAUGCUUAAUGUUGUGGUUAGGUUUACCUUAAUACUUCUUUUUGUAGUUGAGGAUGCUUGCAAUAGGGGUUAAUCAUAAGUGGGAUUCUUGUCCAAGUUAGGGCAGUACCCAAGUACCGGUCCACCCACAUAUCAAAUUAUCAAAGUACCGAACGCGAAUCUUAUGAACGUGAUGAAAACUAGCUUGACGAUAAUUCCCAAUGUGUCCUCGGGACCUCCUUUAUCAUUAUUAGAAUUUGUCCAGGCUUAUCCUUUGCUACAUAAAGGAUUGGGACACUUGCUGCACUUUAUUUACUUUAUUUACUUUAUUUACUUGUUGCUCGUUACUAUUUAUCUUAUCACAAAACUAUCUAUCACCUACAAUUUCAGUGCUUGCAGAGAAAACUUUACUGAAAACCGCUUAUCAUUUCCUUCUGCUCCUCGUUGGGUUUGAUACUCUUACUUAUCAAAAGGACUACGAUAGAUCCCCUACACUUGUGGGUCAUCAAGACUCUUUUCUGGCGCCGUUGCCGGGGAGCGUAGCGCUUUUGGUGAGUGGAACUUGGUAAGGAAACAUUUAUAUAGUGUGCUGAAAUUUUCUGUUACUUGUCACUAUGGAAACUAAUCCUUUGAGGGGCUUGUUUGGGGUAUCUUCAGCCCAACCAGAAGAGCAAAGAGUUGCUCCUCAACCUACUAAACUUUAUGAAAAUAUUCACUUUGAUAUUCCUUCGGGUAUGAUAGAAAAACUGCUAGAUAAUCCAUUUGUAGGAGAUGGAACAUUGCAUCCCGAUUUACACCUUAUCUUUGUGGAUGAAGUUUGUGGAUUAUUUAAGCUUGCAGGUAUUCCUGGUGAUGUUGUCAAAAGGAAGGUCUUCCCUUUAUCUUUGAAGGGAGAUGCAUUGACAUGGUAUAGGCUAUGUGAUGAUACGAGAUCUUGGAAUUAUAAGCGAUUAAAGUUGGAAUUUCACCAGAAGUUCUAUCCUAUGCAUCUUGUUCAUCGUGAUCGUAAUUACAUAUAUAAUUUCUGGCCUCGCGAAGGAGAAAGCAUCGCUCAAGCUUGGGGGAGGCUUAAUUCAAUGUUAUAUUCAUGCCCCAAUUAUGAGCUCUCUCGGGAAAUGAUUAUUCGGAAUUUUUAUGCUCGACUUUCUCUUGAUAAUCACAACAUGCUCGAUACUUCCUGUGUUGGUUCUUAUAUGCUGAAGACUAUUGAUUUCAAAUGGGACUUAUUGGAAAGAAUUAAACGCAACUCUGAAGAUUGGGGUUCCGACGAUGGUAAGGAGUCAGGUAUGACACCUAAGUUCGAUUGUGUUAAGUCUUUUAUGAAUACUGAUGCUUUCCGUGGAUUUAGCUCUAAGUAUGGACUUGACUCUGAGAUAGUAGCUACUUUCUGUGAAUCUUUUGCUACUCACGUUGAUCUCCCUAAAGAGAAGUGGUUUAAAUAUAAUCCUCCUAUUGAAGUGAAAGUAGUUGCACCUAUUACAGUCGAAGAAAAGACUAUUACCUAUAGUGAUCCUAUUGUUCCUAAUGCUUAUGUUGAAAAACCUCCUUUUCCUGUUAGGAUAAAGGAUCAUGCUAAAGCUUUGACUGUUGUUCGUAAGAGUAAUACUAGGACUUAUACACCUCCUGAGCAAAUUAAUGUUGAACCUAGUAUUGCUAUGGUUAAAGAUCUCUUGGAUGAGGACUUAGAUGGGCAUGUUAUUUCUUUCUUGGGUGAGGCUGAUAAUAUUGCUAGACCUGAUACUGAGACACGUAGACCUGUUGUAGGCAUGCCUGUUAUUUCUGUUAAAAUAGGAGAUCAUUUUUAUCACGGCUUAUGUGAUAUGGGUGCUAGUGCUAGUGCAAUACCUUAUGAUCUUUAUAAAGAAAUUAUGCAUGACAUUGCACCCGUUGAAUUAGAAGACAUUGAUGUUACUCUUAAGCUUGCUAAUAGGGAUACCAUUAAACCUAUUGGGAUUGUUAGAGAUGUUGAAGUUUUGUGUGGGAAUGUUAAAUACCCUGUUGAUUUUCUUGUUCUUGGUUCCCCACGAGAUGAUUUUUGUCCCAUUAUUUUUGGUAGACCCUUCUUGAAUACUGCUAGUGCUAAGAUUAAUUAUGAAAAGAAUAUUGUCACUGUUGGCAUAGAUGGUAUGUCUCAUGAGUUUAAUUUCGCUAAGUUUAGUAGACAACCUCGUGAAAGGGAACCACCUAGUAAGGAUGAGAUUAUCGGUCUUGCUUCCAUUGUUGUUCCUCCAACUGAUCCAUUAGAACAAUAUUUGCUAGACCAUGAAAACGAUAUGUUUAUGAAGGAAAGGGAAGAAAUAGAUGAAGUAUUCCUUAAACAGGAACCUAUGCUGAAACAUAACCUUCCCGUUGAAAUUCUUGGGGAUCCCCCUCCACCCAAGGGUGAUCCCGUGUUUGAACUCAAACCUUUACCUGAUAAUCUGAAGUAUGCUUAUCUUGAUGAAAAAGAAAUAUAUCCUGUUAUUAUUAGUGCUAACCUUUCAGAGAAAGAAGAAGAAAGAUUAUUAAAAACUUUGAAGAAGCACCGAGCUGCCAUUGGAUAUACUUUGGAUGAUCUUAAGGGCAUUAGUCCCGCAUUAUGUCAGCACAAAAUUUCAGUGGAGAAAGAUGCCAAACCAGUUAGAGAUCCUCAAAGACGAUUAAAUCCCAAGAUGAAGGAAGUGGUAAGAAAGGAGAUACUAAAGCUCCUUGAGGCAGGUAUUAUUUAUCCCAUUGCUGAUAGUGAAUGGGUAAGCCCUGUCCAUUGUGUCCCUAAAAAGAGAGGUAUUACCAUUGUUCCUAAUGAUAAAGAUGAAUUGAUCCCGCAAAGAAUUAUUACAGGUUAUAGGAUGGUAAUGAUUUUUGUAAGUUAAAUAUAGCUACUAAGAAAGAUCAUUACCCUUUACCUUUUAUUGAUCAAAUGUUCGAAAGGCUAUCCAAACACACACAUUUUUGCUUUCUAGAUGGUUAUUCUGGCUUCUCUCAGAUACCUGUGUCAGCGAAGGAUCAAUCUAAAACUACUUUUACUUGCCCUUUUGGUACUUUUGCUUAUAGACGUAUGCCUUUUGGUUUAUGUAAUGCACCUGCUACCUUUCAAAGAUGCAUGAUGGCUAUAUUCUCUGAUUUUUGUGAAAAGAUUUGUGAGGUAUUCAUGGAUGACUUCUCCGUCUAUGGAUCCUCUUUUGAUGAUUGUUUGAGCAACCUUGAUCGGGUUUUGCAGAGAUGCGAAGAAACUAGUCUCGUCCUGAAUUGGGAAAAGUGUCACUUUAUGGUUAAUGAAGGCAUUGUCUUGGGGCACAAGAUCUCCGAGAGAGGUAUUGAAGUUGAUAAAGCCAAGGUUGAUGCUAUUGAAAAGGUGCCAUGUCCCAAGGACAUAAAAGGUAUAAGAAGUUUCCUUGGUCACGCCAGUUUUUAUAGGAGGUUCAUUAAGGACUUUUCUAAAAUCUCUAGGCCUCUGACUAAUUUAUUGCAAAAAGAUAUUCCUUAUGUCUUUGAUGAUGAUUGUGUAGAAGCAUUUGAAACACUUAAGAAAGCUUUGAUCACUGCACCUAUUGUUCAGCCGCCUGAUUGGAAUUUACCUUUUAAAAUUAUGUGCAAUGCUAGUGAUUAUGCUGUAGGUGCUGUUUUGGGGCAAAGAGUCGAUAAGAAAUUGAAUGUUAUCCAAUAUGCUAGUAAGACUCUUAAUACUGCCCAGAGAAAUUAUGCUACUACUGAAAAAGAGUUCUUAGCAGUUGUGUUUGCAUGUGAUAAGUUUAGACCUUAUAUUGUUGAUUCCAAAGUUACUAUUCACACUGAUCAUGCUGCUAUUAAAUAUCUUAUGGAAAAUAAAGAUGCUAAGCCUAGACUCAUUAGAUGGGUUCUCUUGCUCCAAGAAUUUGACUUGCAUAUUAUUGAUAGAAAGGGAGCUGAGAACCCCGUUGCAGAUAACUUGUCUAGGUUAGAGAGUGUUCUUGAUGACCCACUGCCUAUUAAUGAUAGCUUUCCUGAUGAACAAUUAGCGGUCGUCAAUGCUUCUCGUACUGCUCCUUGGUAUGCUGAUUAUGCUAAUUACAUUGUUGCUAAAUAUAUACCGCCUAGUUUCACAUACCAGCAAAAGAAAAAGUUCUUUUAUGAUUUAAGACAUUACUUCUGGGAUGAUCCACACCUUUAUAAAGAAGGAGCAAAUGGUGUUAUUAGAUGUUGUGUGCCUGAGCAUGAACAGGAACAGAUUCUAUGUAAGUGUCCCUCUGAAUCCUAUGGAGGACAGCACGCUGGAGAUAGAACUGCACACAAGGUAUUACAAUCUGGUUUUUAUUGGCCUACUCUCUUCAAAGAUGCUCGUAAGUUUGUCUUAUCUUGUGAUGAAUGUCAAAGAAUAGGUAACAUUAGUAGACGUCAAGAAAUGCCUAUGAAUUAUUCUCUUGUUAUUGAACUGUUUGAUGUUUGGGGCUUUGAUUAUAUGGGGCCUUUUCCUGCCUCUAAUGGUUAUACACAUAUUUUAGUUGCUGUUGAUUAUGUUACUAAGUGGGUAGAAGCUAUUCCAACUAGUAGUGAUGAUCAUAACACUUCUAUUAAAAUGCUUAAAGAAGUUAUUUUCCCGUGGUUUGGAGUCCCUAGAUAUCUUAUGACUGAUGGUGGUUCGCAUUUUAUUCAUGGUGCUUUCCGUAAGAUGCUUGCUAAGUAUGAUGUCAAUCAUAGAAUAGCAUCUCCUUAUCACCCGCAGUCUAGUGGUCAAGUAGAGUUGAGCAAUAGAGAGCUCAAAUAAAUUUUGCAAAAGACUGUAAAUAGAUCUAGAAAGAAUUGGUCCAAAAAACUUGAUGAUGCAUUAUGGGCCUAUAGAACUGCAUACAAGAAUCCUAUGGUUAUGUCUCCUUAUAAGAUGGUUUAUGGAAAAGCAUGUCAUUUACCUCUUGAACUUGAACAUAAGGCAUAUUGGGCUAUUAAAGAGCUUAAUUAUGACUUCAAACUUGCCGGUGAGAAGAGGUUAUUUGAUAUUAGCUCACUUGAUGAAUGGAGAACCCAACCUUAUGAGAAUGCCAAGCUUUUCAAAGAAAAAGUCAAACGCUGGCAUGGUAAGAGGAUACAAAAGCGUGAGUUUAACGUAGAAGAUUAUGUGUUAUUAUUCAACUCUCGUUUAAGAUUUUUUGAAGGAAAACUUCUCUCAAAAUGGGAAGGUCCCUACGUUAUCGAGGAGGUCUAUCGUUCUGGUGCUAUAAAAAUCAACAACUUCGAAGGCACAAAUCUGAGGGUGGUAAACAGUCAAAGAAUUAAACAUUAUAUUUCAGGUAACCCUAUCAAUGUUGAAACUAAUACUAUUGAAACCAUAACCCCUGAGGAAUACAUAAGGGACACUUUCCAGAACGUUCCAGACUCCGAAAAGGUAUAGGUAUGUGGUACGGUAAGUAAACCGACCCCAAAACAACUCUAAAGGCAAUUUUUAUGAGUUUUGGAUUAUUUAAGAAUUUUAGGAAGAAAGAAGUAGUCCGAAAGGGACACGAGGCCCCCACGAGAGUGAAGGGCGCCCCCCCCUGUAGGGCGCGCCCCCUGUCUUGUGGGCACCUCGUGUGCCUCCCGGACUCUGUUUUCUUGCACAUUACGUAUUUUGGUCGGUAAAAAUUCAUUUUAUAUACCCCCGAAGGUUUUGACCACCGUAUCACGCAAUUAUCCUCUGUUUUCGUUUCGAGCUGUUUCCGUUGCAGAUUUAGAGCACCAUGACUUCUCCCUCCUCCAACAAUGAAGACAAGGAUGCUUGGCUAUUGAAGAUAGAGCUACAAAGAGAGGAACCAGAAGAGAUCAACGAGGAUGAAGGGAUCAAGAAGGCCAUGGAGGUCCAAGCUUCGGUGGUGAAAGAAGAAGACAUCCCUCAACCUUUACUGUUGGGGAUAUUACCACUGGGCGUGAACCGGCCUACCUGGGCCGGGUUAGCUUCAUUAGUAGUUUAAAGGUGAUUAAGUAGAUGAAGGCCCAAGGCCUGUAGUCGGUUUAGAACCUGUAGCCGUAAACCGGCUUGAUAUGUAAACUUGCAUUGUAAGUUAGGAAUAGAGAGAAACCAACCGGGAUACGAGUAUGAACCGGUGUGGGACUCUGUGGACCGACGGGUGUCACCCGUGUAUAUAAGGGGACGACCCGGCGGCGGUUCAAAGACACACAACAACAACUCGAGGCCUAGGCGAAGCUUGUUUGCUCCCUAGUCAUCGAAUCCACAUCGAUCCCAUCACAACUAGACGUAGGCUUUUACCUUCAUCGAAGGGGCCAAACUAGUAUAAACCCUUGUGUCUUUGUGUCCGCUUUAACCCCUUCAAGUUAACCCGUAGCGAUGGCUCCACGACUAAGUCCUUUCACCAGGACAUCUGCCGUGACAAAUCCAUGACAGUUGGCGCCCACCGUGGGGCUAUCGCACGACGGUUUGAUGAUCUUGGAGGGCAAGCUCAAAGGACUCGAAGGCUAUGCUGUGGGCCGGAUGACCAAGAGUCGUCGCGGCAAGCUCUACAUCGACGAUGCAGGAUGGGGUCCCGAAGCCGGCUCGAUCGAGUACGGGUACCGGGUCCCCUUUGGUGGCAUACACGUUUUUAUCGGCAAGAUUGGUGAGCCUGGGCCUGAGCCGGACAUCUGCACCGACCUCAUCGACACGGCUCAGCGUGCGAGAUCUACCCAGGUUAAACCGGCCGUGAAACGUGCCUUCGUGGGAGUCAUCCACGGAGGAGAGCAUGAGGACGAGUCAGAAUACGGUAGCAAGACCGUCGUCUAUUCCGGCGACGAGUCCUCAACCGGAGAGACCGAAUCAUUGUACCAGUUGCAAGACGACCAGAUUAGGGGCUGUUCCGAUGGCCACAGUAUUCCGGACCCCCCAGAUCAGAUCAACCGGGUUGGAAUAUUCAUGGCCGGCAUGCAGGCGGCGAAUCACUCUUUGACCGCAGCAGCAAUGCUCUCCGGAGCAGCAGCGGCAGCGGCAGCAGGGGCAGGAGGCCUUGUGCGCCCACCGGUUCAAGUUCUGUCUGACCUGUUUGACACGCUAGCGGUACUUAUGGCAGAGGCCAAUCCGGUGGAUCAGGAGGCCCAUGAUGCGGAGGUUGCGAAGGUGAGAGAGCAGAUCGUACAGGCCAAAGCCGACCUAGCAGCAGAGAAGGACAGGAUGGCCGCAGAGCGGGCCGCUUUGGACGCCCAUGCCUAUAAGCUCAUGCUCGACCAGAACACAUCACAGGAGGUCUUGAAGCGGAAGCACAGAUCACGCCUGCCGUUAGGGUUCGACCCUCAAAAUCUCUUUCACACUCCGGGAGCUGGAACCAGUAAUACGCCGGGGCACCUGGAGGUAAACCGGGCCGAGGCACCAGGGCCAGGAGCGACGGUCCAACCCCGCCUGAUGGAACCUCCUCGACAGAACAUUGUGAUUCCUCCGCCGGUCCAGACACCUCCGGGUCAUUAUCCUAAUCCUAUGGACAAUCUUAUCGCAGCUGCUGCGUGAUUAGAAGCUAUCCCGGUCGAAGGAGACUCUCCGCAAGCAAUCGAGACGCGCCGGGUUAAAGAACUUCUCCGGACCGCUUUGAUUCAGCAGGAGGCAUAUUCAUACAGCCGCGAUCGGAUUCAUUCCACACCUCGUCCAAGCCGGAGCUAUAGUAGGCGCAUGGAUGAACCGGCCGUAUCAAGCAAUGCACGGAACCGUGAAGCAGCCCAUGGCAAUAGCCCGACAGGUGGUAUUCGUGAUGCUCAGGAUGUAGUGGCCGGGCCCGGGCAUGAAGAGAGGCCGAGUUAGCAGCACAGAACGAGGCGGGUCAGCUUACACCGGUUCAUCCUACCACCUCUGCCGGGCCAGGGGUCGCAUCUAGCUUGGGAGUACCCUGUUUAGUCCCCGCUUUACGCAAUGUACGCCUGCCCAAAGACUUCAAGGGUCCGCGCAAGGUGCCGAAUUACACCGCUGAUUUAUCUCCAGAAGCGUGGGUAGAGAGUUAUGAGAUGGCCAUGGAGAUGCUGGAUGUGGAUGAGACCGUGUGUGCAAAGUACUUCACCAUGAUGCUUGAAGGCACGGCCCAUACUUGGUUGAAGAGCCUGCCGCCUAAUUCUAUCAGUUCAUGGGCCCAGUUGAGGGCCCGGUUUAUCCAGAAUUUCAAAGAUACGUGUAAGCAGCCUAAGUCCAUAGUAGACUUGGCGGCUUGUGUUCAGGAGGAUGGAGAGUCAACAACCCAUUGGGUACGCCGCGUUUCGGAAGUCUUGCACUCGUCUGACAGGAUCAAUGCUGACUCUGCAAUCUUAACCCUGGAGGGCAACUGCCGGUUUAAGCCUCUAAAGUUGAAGUUGGGGCGUAUGAAGCGGUUCUGUAAUGACAUGGGAACUCUCAUGGCUGCUUUAGUGAAGUACGCUGAUUCUGAUAGUACCAAGGAUCCUGAGACUGACGAUGACGAAGCAGGGAAGGGAAAGAAGAAUAGCAACUCCAAGGGGCAUCAAUACAAACCGGCGGGCCAUGGAAACGGAGGCAAGCGUAAAGCGGAUGGCAGGAUGGACUUUGUGGCUAACACUAAUGCGCAGGACAAGGGUCAGCGGCGCAGAGGUAAAGCGGCGAAUCGUAGUGGGGCUCCAAAUCCUAACCCGGAUCGCUUAAACUAUUUGUUGAAUCAGCCUUGUCCAAAGCACGGGACGAAGGAGGCGCCGGCUAACCACCUUUGGAAGGAUUGUUACAUUAUGCAGGAAUUUAAGAACUCUAAUGCCUUCCGGUAUGACCGUGGGUCAGGUGGUGGCUCAGGAUCCGGUUUCCAUGGGCCGGGUCACGAUGGAGCUUCCGGUUCAGGUUUCAAUCAGGGCGGUCACAACAACCAGAAUAAUCAGAGUGGUCAAGGGGGUACAACCAACAGCAGCAGCAGCAACAGUCGGGUUAUCAGAGCCAGCCAAAGCAGUUGAACAAUGGGCAGUAUCACAUUUUCACAACUAGCUUGGAUAAGCGCGACCGGAAACUCCACAAGCGAGCGGUGAACUCUGUUGAACCGGCCGUACCACGUUACUUACGCUGGUCGGAGCAGCCUAUCGUGUGGAGCAGGGAGGAUCACCCACCCCGGGUUGACAAUCCGGGCCAGUUGGCAUUAGUGGUAGACCCUCAGGUGGGAGGUUAUAAAUUCACCAAGGUGCUCAUGGAUGGAGGGAGCAGUAUUAACAUCAUGUACUAUGAGACAUUCCGCCGCAUGGGGCUAACGGACAAAGAUCUCAUACCGUCUAAUACGGUGUUCCAUGGUGUGGUGCCAGGCAAAUCAGCAUACCCUGUUGGUAAGAUAGCCCUGGAGGUGGCUUUUGGGGACGAGCAUGAUUCCCGAUCCGAAACACUAACCUUUGAGGUGGUGAAAAUCUGGAUCCCGUAUCACGCCUUGUUUGGGCGGCCGACUUAUGCCAAAUUCAUGGCACGGCCUUGUUAUAUCUAUUUACAGUUCAAGAUGCCGGGUCACAAAGGGACAAUAACGGUUCAUGGGAGCCGCAAGAUUGCUUUGGAAUGCGAGGAAGGUGAUGCGGCCUAUGCAGAGUCGGUUUGUGCCACGGAGGAGUUGAAAUAUUAUAGGGACAAUGUUGAUCCAGCGGACAUGACCCCUUUGAAGAAGCCAACUACGGAGCAUGAUUCAGAUCUGAAGUUCAAAUCAGCGGCUGAGACCAAGCUUGUUGACUUCGUGCCCGGCGAUUCGUCCAAGUAGUUCACUGUCAGUGCCAACUUGGACCCUAAAUAGGAAAGUGCGCUCAUCGAGUUCAUCCGUGAGAAUCGGGACAUUUUUGCAUGGAAGCCUUCUGACAUGCCGGUGUACCGAGAGAACUCGCUGAGCACACUCUUAAUGUUGAUCCCAAGUAUAAACUGGUAAAGCAGUUUCUCCGCCGGUUUAACGAAGAAAGGCGCAAAGCUAUUGGAGAGGAAGUGGCCAGGCUCUUAGCUGCUGGUUUUAUCAUUGAAGUGUUCCAUCCAGAGUGGCUUGCUAAUCCAGUGCUGGUUCUUAAGAAAAACGGCACUUGGCGUAUGUGUGUGGAUUACACGGAUCUUAACAAGGCUUGUCCAGCGGAUCCUUUUGCCCUCCCCCGCAUUGACCAGAUUAUUGAUGCCAUGACGGGUUGUGAGCGUUUGAGUUUUUUGGAUGCGUAUUCUGGGUAUCAUCAGAUCAAGAUGGCGGUUAAGGACCAGGAGAAGACGGCGUUUAUUACUCCCUUUGGAGCCUUCUACUAUGUAUCUAUGCCCUUUGGGCUCAAGAGCGCCCAAGCCACUUAUCAACGGUGUGUACAAAACUGCCUGCAUAAACAGAUCGGCCGUAAUGUGCACGCCUAUGUGGAUGAUAUUGUAGUCAAGUCAAGGCAGAAGGAGACGCUGGUUGAUGAUUUGCGGGAAACCUUUGACAACUUGCGGGUUUACAAGAUGAUGCUUAACCCGGCCAAAUGUGUCUUUGGUGUUCCGGCCGGCAAGUUACUGGGCUUUCUUGUGUCCAACAGAGGAAUUGAGGCUAAUCCGGAGAAGAUUACGGCUAUCACCUCCCUGGCUAAACCGAAGUGUAUCAACGAUGUUCAGCGUUUGGCGGGUCGGAUUGCCGCGCUGAGCCGGUUUAUCAGCCGCCUUGGACAGAAGGCCAUCCCUUUAUACUAGAUGCUGAGAAAGAUAGAUCAAUUCAUCUGGAGUCCGGCUGCUGAUGAAGCGUUGGAGGACUUGAAGCGGCAAUUAGCCAAUCCGCCCGUUCUUGCAGCCCGGUCGACAAGGAGCCGUUAUUGCUAUAUGUAGCGGCCAAUGCUCGCGCAGUUAGCAUGGCUAUUGUGGUAGAACGCAAGGAGGCGGGCAAGGAAUAUCCGGUUCAGCGGCCGGUUUACUAUAUCAGCGAGGUGCUUAUUGAAUCCAAGCAAAGGUAUCCGCAUUGGCAGAAGCUGGUAUAUGGAGUUUUUAUGGCAAGCCGGAAGUUGAAGCAGUAUUUCCAAGGACACCCCAUCACAGUGGUCAGUUCAGCUCCCUUGGGCGAUAUCAUACAGAACCGGGAGGCGACUGGCCGGAUUGCCAAGUGGGCUAUAGAACUUGGGACGCACGGAUUGAAGUACGUACCUCGGACGGCGGUGAAGUCUCAAGCACUUGUGGAUUUCAUCAAUGAUUGGACUGAGUUGCAAGCACCAGAGGAGAAGCCGGAUCACACAUAUUGGACUAUCCAUUUUGAUGGAUCCAGGCAAUUAGAGGGCUCGGGGGCUGGAGUCGUAUUAACUUCCCCACGAGGUGAUAAGUUUUGUUAUGUUCUCCGUUUAAUGUUCCCUUGUACUAAUAAUGCAGCUGAGUAUGAAGCUUUGCUCCAUGGUCUCCGGAUGGCUAAGGAGAUGAACCUAAGUCGGGUUAAGUGCUUCAGUGACUCGGAUCUCGUGGCUCAACAGGUGUCUGGCACUUGGGAUUCUAAUGACCCACUUAUGGCUGCAUAUCGUCGUGAGGUGGAUAAUAUUGCGGGUCACUUCAAGGGUUAUCAGGUGGAUCACGUGGAUCGUCGCAAAAAUGAGGCGGCGGACACUUUAAGCCAGUUGGGCUCUCAGCGUAAACCAGUCCCGCCUAAUGUCUUUCUUGAUGUGUUGCACAACCCGUCAGUCAAGCUCCCGGGUGAAGCGGAUUUGGCUAUUCCUGAUCCGGAGGCUCAAUUGGUGGCAGCCCUGCAUGUUAUACCGGAUUGUACAGUUCCUUAUCUUGCGUACAUGAACCGGGGAGAGUUGCCAGAGGAUGAAACUCUGGCCAGGCAGAUAGUUCGGCGAUCCAAGUCUAUGACCAUUCUCAAUGGCGAAUUGCAUCAUUGCAAUGUAUCAGGGGCGUUUCAACGCUGCGUCUCUCCUGAGGAAGGCUGUGAAAUUUAACGUGAAAUCCAUGAAGGGGAUUGUGGUCACCACGCCGGUUCAAAGUCUCUGGUGGCAAAGGCGUUUCGUCACGGGUUCUACUGGUUGACAGCUCAUGCUGAUGCGGAGGACUUGGUUAAACAGUGUGAUGGCUGUCAGAAAUUUUCAAGGCAUGCUCAUGUACCGGCUCAAGAAUUGAGGAUGAUUCCAAUUACUUGGCCAUUUGCAACAUGGGGGCUGGAUAUGGUCGGACCUUUUAAAAGAUCCAAGGAUAAGAAAACCCACCUUUUGGUGGCAGUUGACAAGUUUACCAAGUGGGUUGAAGCAGAGCCUGUCAGCAAGUGUGAUGCAGCUACAGCGGUGCAGUUCAUUAAAAAGGUGAUUUUCCGAUUUGGCUUUCCACACAGUAUCAUUACUGACAACGGUACCAAUUUAUCCAAGGGUGCUAUGAAGGAAUUCAGUGAACGUGAGCACAUCCGACUUGACGUAUCGUCAGUGGCUCACCCCCAGUCCAAUGGGCAUGCAGAACGGGCUAAUCAAGAGAUCUUGCGAGGCAUCAAACCCCGGCUUAUGGUUCCAUUGCAAAGAACACCGGGAUGUUGGGUUGAAGAGCUACCAUCUGUGCUAUGGGGUAUCAAUACUACGCCCAACCGAUCUACAGGAUACACGCCGUUUUUCAUGGUCUACGGAGCAGAGGCGGUUCUCCCUAGUGAUAUCCGGCACGAUUCGCCUCGUGUGGCGGCUUAUAUUGAAGCGGACAAUGAGACAGCACGGCAAGACACUUUGGACCUAUUGGAUGAGGAGCGUGACAUAGCAGCUACCCGCUCGGCGAUUUAUCAACAAGAUCUUCGUCGCUAUCACAGUCGCCGGGUCAGAACCAGAGCUUUUCAAGAAGGAGAUUUGGUGCUUCGGCUCAUCCAAGACCAGACGGAUAUGCACAAGUUAUCCCCACCUUGGGAGGGACCUUUCGUGGUCAGCAAGAAUCUGCACAACGGGUCAUACUAUCUGAUUGAUAUUCGAGAGCAUAAAGACUCACGCACAUCAGAGGAGGAUACCAACAGGCCGUGAAACAUAGCUCAUCUUCGGCCUUACUACACCUGAGCCAUUGGCUCUAUCUAUCUAUGUACAUAUUAUGACAGUGUAUAUAUUAUCUUUGAUAUAAUAAAACCGGAGCCUCAGCUAAAGCGGGGUCUCUGUCCUUUCAUAUCAUGUGUGGUUACAUGGAGUGGUUCGGUUUUAAAGCGGCCUCCGGUUUACCCCUUGAAAUUUGCUUUUCAAAAAAAGCUUUGUGAUAUCACUUGGGGCCUUGGUCGUGUCCGAACCAAUGUGACACCUUUUGAUAGGCGAAAGCCACCAGAUCACUUGGGGACAUGGUCAAGUCUGAACCAGUCACGCCUCUUGAUCGGCCUAAGGCCACAAAAUCACUUGGGGGCUUGGUCGAACCCGAACCAUUGCCAUGCCUUUUGAUCGGCAUAAAUGCCACGGUUUCAUUUGGGGACCUGGCUGACUUGAACCAUUGUCACUCCUAUUGGGGGCUUGGUCCUGUCCGACCAUGGUAACACCAUUUGAUCAGCUCAGUAAAGCAUGUUUUUGCAAACGGUUUUUUAUCAUUGCCUUUGCUUCCAUAUUUCUUUUAUGACUAUUCCACAAUUUUUGUUGUGUUUCCUUUAAACCAACAACACUUUUUUACCGGUUCAGCUGACGAAAUUCGGUUCAUUUUUAAUCCGGAGAGAUAUGCCCGGUUUAACUUUCCUGUUAACAUCAUGGAGUAACAGGGGGGGGCUCAUAAUGACCCAGCACAGUUUACAUGGGAGUUGUUUUCCUCCCUUUGAUGGUAAUGGUUUAUAAAACCUCCGGUUCAAGCCUGGCUAAGCCAACUUCAUGCCCAGCGAUGGCAGGUAUUUUGUAUCGCAUAUUUGUUUAUAUGUCUUAAAUACAUUGAUGAUAUAUAUAUCAAGGUCAUAAAGCGGCUGGCGGUAUAACCGCCAUCGCAGUUCAAGAUUUUUUGAUUGCAGGAAAUAUAAAUUGAGGAUUUCAAGCAAAAGCAUCAGUACUUAUGCACGAAGGCAUAUUUAAAGCAACAAUAUUUGCUAUUCUAUUACAAGGCAACGCGGUGCCCAAAUAAGAUCAUUGUUGUUCUGGUGGAUCAUAAUAAAGCAGCUAUUUAAACCUGCUUCCGGUUCAAGCCUGCUCAUCGUCCCGCGCCGCUUCAGCUUCCUCAUCUCUAUCCAUUGGCUGGAAAUCAACAGUGGUCCAGUCGAUUCCCAUUAAAGCUUGAAAGACAACCUCUUCAUGGAUCAGAGAAGACGGUUCAAUAUCAGGAGCGUAAGUAUGCUUACGGUUUGGAGGAAUCAGAUUCUCCGCUUCAGGAGUUGGUGCAGCCACUCGUUUGUUCUGAUCAUUAUACUGAGCUUGAUAAUGCGACAAGUCUGCCUCUUCAACCAAUUGACAAGCCAGAGGGUGCACUGCACAGUUUAUUGCCCUCAGAUCAUCUUCAUUGAACUCCGAGCCAUCCUCCUUUAAACUGGGAUAGCCUUGAGCUGCUUCAACAGGAUCGAAAUCCGGCACCCAUGCUUUUGCCCGGAUCAAGGCAUUAAUGGCUUCGGUUCGAGCAGCAGAUUUUUUCAGUUCUUUAAUCCGAGCAGGAAGCAUUGACAACCUCUUAAGAGUAUCUUGGAUCAAAGUGGGCGCCGGAUUGUUAUGAGAUGAAGUGGUGAUGAUCCAUUGCGCUCCGGUAUACAGCUGUUCAAUUAAGGUUUAGGCAGCCUUCAACUUCUUCCGAACAUCUGACCCUAAGUGACCAAUGCGUGUACCUGCAACAAUACAGGAGAGAUCACAAACCGGAUCUAUUAUAAGAAAGCCAAAGUUGUCAAAGAAACUAAAAGGAACUUACCAAAGAUAGCAGCGGUCAUGGCAUGCACUUGCCGCUUUACAACGGUCAGCUCAUCUACCACCGGUUUAAGGGCAGCUUCAGCAUUUUCAGCUCUCUUUAUUAAAGCGGCCUUCUCAGUGGCCCAGUCAGCUCGCUCCUUCUUGAGGCCCUCCUUCAGCUGUUCCGUGAUGCUCAAAGCGCUGGUUAAUUCCUCCCUUUCUUUGUCGGUUUCGGCUUGUUGGGUUUUCAAAGUUUCUUGCAGAUCAGUAAUCCGGUCCUCUUUUAGCCUCACUUCAGCCUGCAUAAAGACAGUGCUUGGCUUUAAACAAACGGACCAAGAAUUUGAAGUACCAACCGCAUAACAAGUUAUACGCUUGAUACUUGGGGGCUAAUGCACCUUCAAUCUUCAUCUAUUACUAAAUCGCAAAGUCCCAAGCUCAAUACAGGUAUUCAACUUGGCACUUGGGGGCUAAUGGCUAUUUGCUCAAUUAUGUUCUGAUGUUAGAAUUUUUAUUGGAGUUCCGGUUUAACUAUACUAAGUUGAACCGGCCCUUGGGGGCUACAUUGAUGGAUUUCAAAGUAUUGAGGACUAUAUUCAAGUCCCGGUUUGAAGAAGGUUACAAACCGGCCCUUGGGGGCUAGGAGGAUUAAUACAGUGGCAGUAAUUAAAGAAAGAAGAAGCACAAGGAAGUUACCUCAAAUUUAUCCCUCAUCAUCUUUACCAGACCAGCUUCACAGUCACGACUAGUAUAUAGCCGGUUCAAGUAACCAGAAUGAAGAUCUUGGGAACUCAGAGCAGCAUAUGUUUCCAGAUCAACAUCCCAUUUGCCUUUAUUCAUGGCAGAAGAAUCUUCUUUCACAGUAUGCUUAGCUAAAGUGACAGGAUUCCCUGGUUCAAAGCGGCCUACGCCGGUAAUUACAACGUCAUCAUCCUUGGACUCACUGGUUUGCGUUGGCGCGGUCGGUUUAUCGGCAGGUCUUGAAGAACUGCGGGAUCUUUCAAUCCGGACGGAGCUGGCAGGCUGGUCAACAGGGACUGAAGUAUUGAUAGGCCUUUUCUCAGGGAUAGCAUCAUCUUGCAAGGGAGGAUCAUUGGGAAUAUCCUCAUGAACGAACGCUUCAAGAUCUGGUGCUUUAUCCUGUUCAGGGGCGACAUCUUCCUCGGCCGCUUUAUCCAGGCGAGCUUUCUUGCUCGGUUUAGGUUUAGCCCUGAAAGAGAAACAAAGAGUCAAGGAACAACAUAAGUUAUAACACAGUAUACCAGAAGCAUAUGUUCAGCCUAGCUUACCCAAGAACCGUUUUCAGUGGCGGCAGCUGAGUGGCCGAUGAUUCACCAGAGGAAGAAUGAGAAGUAACCUGAUAAUCGGAGUCGGACGGAUUAAGAGGUUGACGGAUGAAACCCGCUUUAGGAUAUAAAUUAAUAAAAAGGUCGGAGACCUCGGAGCGGCGUUUUCGAAUCGGACUGUUUGGUAAACCGGCGGAGGUAACUAGCUGGCCGCUGUGCCGGGUGGUGCGGCGAGCUUCAUGUUGCUGAGUCUUCAUAAGAAAUUUGGGAUCCAAGUAAGCAAGAGGAUGAGAAAAUUUAACUUUCCAGUUUACCUGGCGAAAUUUUGGCAAAGGCAAAGGAUCUGAAUCGGAAGAGAGAAUAGUUACCUCAGCGACAUCAGCAUUACUGGCUUCAGCGUCGUCCUGACAAGUAUCAUCAUCAAUAAGGCGUGUAAAAAGUAAGCCUAGUGAAUCAAGUUCUACCUCAAGGUCCGAGUUACCCACAUCAUCGUCAACAGCCGGAUCAGAUGAAGCAGUGGUUUUCCUCUUUUUAGCAGGCUUCUUGAUAACCUUGGUCUUUGGCCGGGUUGACCGUUCUGUUUUCUCUGGUUUGUCUUGCGGAAGCUUCUUGCUCCAAAACGGAUUAUCGCCCUGGUUAAAUAGCAAUUGAUCUCAGAUAGAGAUCGCAAUAACAGGUUCAGUAAACAAUACAAUCAAAAUCUUACAACUGGCGGUUUGUUGGUAGCACAGAAAGGGAGCAGGCCGGUUUGAGCACAGAGGUGUUCCGGUUCGUUCAACAUUUUCUUCACAGCAUCUGUGACUUCAUCAUCUGAGAGCUGGAUGUUGGUGUGUCGGAGGGGGUCAUUGACGCUACCAGUAUACUUGCACAUUAAACCGGAGCGCCGACUGAGAGCCAGUAUGCUCCAUGAUAGCCAACAGCAUGCAAGAUCUACUCCUGUUAAACCGUUGGCCAUGAAGGCUCGGAGCUUGGAUAGUUGCGGAGCGUAUUUGCUCCUCUCCUUGGCACUUAGCCUUUGUGGGAAGGCGUGUGUAUUGCUGAGUCGCUCCGGACGAAAGCCAGGUAAAGGAUUUUCAUCAUCAGGGGAGGUAUCUUUGCAGUAGAACCAUGUGGCAUUCCACUCCUUGGGGUGACUAUGUAGUCUGGCAUGGGGAUAAGUGAUCUCUUUCCUUUUCUGAAUUGCCAUACCGCCCAAUUCGGUAUUGGGACCAUCAGUGAAUUCUGUGCGGCGGUUUAAGUGGAAGCAGUCUCUAAACAAUUCAACUGAAGGCUCCUCUUGAAGGUAUACCUCACAGAGCACUUGGAAGUGACAUAGGUUGGUAACAGAAUUGGGGCCAGUAUCUUGAGGGCGGAGCUGAAAAUUGGCUAACACAUCCCGGUAAAAUUUAGAACCGGGCGGCUUGAAGCCCCGGGCUAAAUGAUCUGCAAAGAUCACAACCUCUCCCUCUUGAGGUGUGGGAGGACAUUCAUCACCAGGAACCCUCCAGUGGAUAGUAUCUUUGCUGUCUAAAGCACCGAUCAAGACUAAAUCAUCCAGCUGAGUUUCUGUGACGCGAGAAGGAACCCAGUUGCACUCAUAUACUUGUUUGGCCAUGGUGAGAUCUACAAGAAAUAGGUGAUUCCAGUUCAAGAAUAUGUUGGAUAAAAGAAGGUGCUGGUCUGAACAAUGUUAAACCGGAGGCAGUACAUUUAAACCGGAUUUCUAUGAGGUGGCAUCGUAUGGCUAAAGAAGUUCUGGCGGUUCAACAAGGGGACUAAUGGUAUAUACCGGUUUAUUAACUUUUUUCUAUAUUAAAGUUAAACCGCCUGAUCUAAACAUUGAAGGCAAUUGAGGUUGCGGAUGGCUAAGUAUGCAGAAACAGGUUUCACAAGGUCUUAUUGCAGCAAUGGAUCUGAAGCAAGUUCAGAAAAACAGAAAAUAUUCAAAAGGUUAAAGCAGAACGGAAGUGAAUCAAUGGGCAGGUAUAUGGAUGAGAUCUAUAGACUUGAGCGUGAAACUACAGGCGGAUGCUAAAAGCUACUUCUAAUCAGAGCAGGGUUUCACAGAUCUAUCCAGGAGUCUAGGUACGAACAUGAACAAGUGAUGAACACGGCAAGAACGUGAAACCCUAGAGCAGAUCUAUGGUAAGAAGAACAGAAGGCUUACCAGAAUCGAGGAAGACGCGGAAAGCUACCGCAAUGCUCUGGUGCGUUUAGGUUGAUGCAGUGGCCCAAGACAGUGCAGAGGUCAAUGGGGGCGGCGGAGCUCCGAGGCUGGCGACGCGAGGAAGACGAAGAGAAAGGGGACGAGGGGGGAGAAAAGGAAAUGACCCUUCGGUCCUAUUUAUAAGGUAAAGGACGUGUGUCAGGCGCGCGGAUCCAGGAGCCACAAAAUUCGGAAGUGGAGCUGCUGCUUUGGGUAUCGCAGAUUUAUUUAUAAAAGAAGGGGUCAUAAAUGUUAAUUUCAAGAUGACGUCAUGCCGGUUUACAGCAACCAGAGAUGAUGACGACAGGGCGGUUUACCAAUUACCAGAAGAUGUUGAAGACAAAGAUUUUUGUGAAGGAUUGACAUGAACCAGUUCAAAUCAAUCUGGGGCCUAAUGUUGGGGAUAUUACCAUUGGGCGUGAACCGGCCUACCUGGGCCGGGUUAGCUUCAUUAGUAGUUUAAAGGUGGUUAAGCAGAUGAAGGCCCAAGGCCUGUAGUCGGUUUAGAACCUGUAGCCGUAAACCGGCUUGAUAUGUAAACUUGCAUUGUAAGUUAGGAAUAGAGAGAAACCAACCGGGAUACGAGUAUGAACCGGUGUGGGACUCUAUGGACCGACGGGCGUCACCCGUGUAUAUAAGGGGACGACCCGGCGGCGGUUCAAAGACAGACAACAACAACUCGAGGUCUAGGCGAAGCUUGUUUGCUCCCUAGUCAUCGAAACCACAUCAAUCCCAUCACAACUAGACGUAGGCUUUUACCUUCAUCGAAGGGGCCGAACUAGUAUAAACCCUUGUGUCUUUGUGUCCGCUUUAACCCCUUCAAGUUAACCCGUAGCGAUGGCUCCACGACUAAGUCCUUUCACCAGGACAUCUGUCGUGACAAAUCCACGACAUUUACCUAACCUUUUCACUCCAACAGAGAUUGAAGCUUUCAAGAUGAUUGAGUUAGCUCGCAUACAAAACAAGUAUCUCACACAGGAGAAUAUCCUGUUGAAGGAUCAUAUCGCCGGACUCAAGGGCAUUAUCCGCAAGUUGGAGGAGCUUUUGCGCUCGAUGUGCGAUUAUACACCGUCAUCAUCACCACCUUCAUCACCUCCAAGGACAUAAUCACAUGGGUAUGGGCACUCCCCUUGGCAACUGCCAAGCUUGGGGGAGGUGCCCCGGUAUCGUAUCACCACCACACUCCUAUCUUUACCGCUUUAUUUAGUUCGAUCCUUUUAGCAGUGUCUUGAUCUAGUAGUUUCAAGUCUUGAUAUCAAGUAGUUUUGAGUUUUGCUUUGUGAUCUCUUUAUGUAAUCGAGUCCGUGUGCUAUCUAUAAUAAAGAUUAGUGUUGAGUCAAGGGCUUUGCUAUGUUUCUAUGAUCUUGUGAAAGUAGAAAGAAUAAAAGAGUUCAUAUUGAUCUUAUGGAUAGUGAUAACUUCACACAUAGAAAGUAUGAGGCAUAAAAAUUGUUGAGAGUUGAUGAACGUAGCCUUGGUCAUCGUUGCAAUUAAUAGGAAGUGAUAAGGAAAGAGGGGUUCACAUAUAAAUAUAUUAUCUUGGACAUCUUUUAUGAUUGUGAAGCACUCAUUAAGUAUGACAUGCUAAAAGAGUUGAUGUUGGACAAGGAAGACAACGUAAUGGUUUAUGUUUUUCCGACAUCUCAGUUAAAGUAUAUUGUCAUUGACCUUCCAAACAUGUUGAGCUUGCCUUUCCCCCUCAUGCUAGCCAAAUUCCUUGCACCAAGUAGAGAUACUACUUGUGCUUCAAAAUACCCUUAAACCCAGUUUUGCCAUGAGAGUCCACCAUACCUACCUAUGGAUUGAGUAAGAUCCUUCAAGUAAGUUGUCAUCGGUGCAAGCAAUAAAAAUUGCUCUCUAAAUAUGUAUGACUUAUUAGUGCAGAGAAAAUAAGCUUUGUACGAACUUGUUGUGGAAGUAGUAAAAGCGACGGACUGCAUAAUAAAGGUCCACAUACAAGGGGCAAGAUAAAGUGACGUUCUUUUGCACUAAGAUUUUAUCCAUCAACCCUAAACGUGCAUGACAACCUCUGCUUCCCUCUGCGAAGGGCCUAUCUUUUACUUUAUGUUUUUACUUUAUGCCUGAGUCAAGGUGAUCCUCACCUUUCCCUUUUUCAUUUUAUCCUUUGGCAAGCUCUUCGUGUUUGAAAGAUCAUGAUGCAUAUAUCCAAUUGGAUGUAAGUUAGCAUGGGCCAUUAUUGUUGACAUCACCUAAAGGUGAAUAUGUUGGGAGGCAACACAAUAAGCCCCUAUCUUUCUCAUUGUCCGGCUGAAACUCUAUAACCACAAGUACUUCAUGGGUGUUAGUAGUUGUAGGAGACUACGAGAUAGUUGAGUAUGUGAGCUUGCUGAAAAGCUCUAUUAUUGACUCUUUCUAAUGUUAUGAUAAAUUGCAAUUGCUUCAAUGACUGAGAUUAUAGUUUGUUAGUUCCCAAUGAAGUUUUUGAACCAUACUUGACAUUGUGAAUUGUUUAUUACUUGAGCAUAGGAAAUCAUAUGACAAAAUCUAUAUAUGUUGCUGUUAUUAGAAUGAUCAUGAUGCCCUCAUGUCCGUAUUUUAUUUUUAUCGACACCUCUAUCUCUAAACAUGUGGACAUAUUUUUCGAUUUCGGCUUCCGCUUGAGGACAAGCGAGGUCUAAGCUUGGGGGAGUUGAUACGUCCAUUUUGCAUCAUGCUUUUAUAUCAAUAUUUAUUGCAUUAUGGGUUGUUAUUACACAUUAUAUCUCCAUACUUAUGGCUAUUCUCUCUUAUUUUACAAGGUUUACCAUGAAGAGGAGGAAUGACGACGGCUGGAAUUCUGGCUGGAAAAGGAGCAAACGUUGGAAACCUAUUCUGCACAGCUCCAAAAGUCUUGAAACUCCACGAAACAACUUUUUGGAUUUAAUAAGAAUUUCUGAGCGAAAGAAAUAGGCCAGGGGGCCCACGCCCUGUCCAGGAGACAGGGUGGUGCCCCCCCCUAUAGGGCGCCCCCUAUCUCCUGGGCCCCCUGGUGGGCCUCCGGUGUCCAUCUUCUGCUAUAUCAUCACUUUUACCCUGGAAAAAAUCAUGGGCAAGCUUACGGGACGAAACUCCGCCGCCACGAGGCGGAACCUUGGCGGAAUCAAUCUAGGGCUCUGGCGGAGCUGUUCUGCCAGGGACACUUCCUCUGGGAGGGGGAAAUCAUCACCAACGUCAUCACCAACGAUCCUCUCAUCGAGAGGGGGUCAAUCUCCAUCAACAUCUUCACCAGCACCAUCUCCUCUCAAAACCCUAGUUCAUCUCUUGUAUCCAAUCUUGUCUCAAAACCACAAAUUGGUACCUGUGGGUUGCUAGUAGUGUUGAUUACUCCUUGUAGUUGAUGCUAAUUGAUUUACUUGGUGGAAGAUCAUAUGUCCAGAUCCUUUAUGCAUAUUAUUACUCCUCUAAUUAUGAACAUGAAUAUGCUUUAUGAGUAGUUACGUUUGUUCCUGAGGACAUGGGUGAAGUCUUGCUAUUAGUAGUCAUGUGAAUUUGGUAUUCGUUCGAUAUUUUGAUGAGAUGUAUGUUGUCUUUUCCUCUAGUGGUGUUAUGUGAAUGUCGACUACAUGACACUUCACCAUUAUUUGGGCCUAGAGGAAGGCAUGGGGAAGUAAUAAGUAGAUGAUGGGUUGCUAGAGUGACAGAAGCUUAAACCCUAGUUUAUGUGUUGCUUCGUUAGGGGCUGAUAUGGAUCCAUAUGCUUAAUGCUGUGGUUAGGUUUACCUCAAUACUUCUUUUUGUAGUUGAGGAUGCUUGCAAUAGGGGUUAAUCAUAAGUGGGAUGCUUGUCCAAGUUAGGGCAAUACCCAAGUACCGGUCCACCCACAUAUCAAUUUAUCAAAGUACCGAACGCGAAUCUUAUGAACGUGAUGAAAACUAGCUUGACGAUAAUUCCGAAUGUGUCCUCGGGACCUCCUUUAUCAUUAUUAGAAUUUGUCCAGGCUUAUCCUUUGCUACAUAAAGGAUUGGGCCACCUUGCUGCACUUUAUUUAGUUUAUUUACUUGUUGCUCGUUACUAUUUAUCUUAUCACAAAACUAUCUAUCACCUACAAUUUCAGUGCUUACAGAGAAAACGUUACUGAAAACCACUUAUCAUUUCCUUCUGCUCCUCGUUGGGUUCGACACUCUUACUUAUCGAAAGGACUAUGAUAGAUCCCCUACACUUGUGGGUCAUCAGUAGGCCCGGAUGUAUUUUUUUAGUACCGCUCGCAAGAAGUAGUACCGCUACCCUUUGCGGUAGUACCACGAUCCCUAGCGGUAGUACCGUGAGGACGAGCGGUAGUACCGCUCCGGCGGUUCUACUGGCCUUUUGCCUCCUCGCUGUUGUUUUUCAAAGGGGUACUACCGCCCUAGCGGUAGUACCGCUCCUUGGAGCGGUAGUACCGCUCUGUGCGGGCUGUGAGCAUAAUGGUUGGAUUUUUUUUCCCACCUAUAAAAGGGGAUCUUCUUCCCCAUUGAACCUCGUCCUUUGAGCUCGUGUUCUUCCCCCAUUGUUGACCUUCUUCGAGCUUGCUAACUCUCAAUCCCUCCAAUGAUUCUUGCUAGUUCUUGAGGGAAAAGAGAGAGGAGAUCUAGAUCCACGUUUCCACCAAUCACUUUCUCCUCUAAGUGAGGGGAACCCCUUGGAUCUAGAUCUUGGAGUUCUUCGUGUUCUUAUUUCGUUCUUCCUCUCAUUUUCCUCCCUAGCAUUAGCUGAUUUGGUGGGAUUUGGGAGAGAAGGAUUUGGGCACUCCGUGUGCCCUUGCCGUUGCAUUUGGUGCAUCGGUUUGAGUUCUCCACAUGAUACGUGGAAGUUACAAGUUGAGAAGCUUAUUACUCUUGGGUGCUUGGUACCCUUGAGCUUGUUACUCUUGGGUGUUUGGACAUCCUAGAGCUUGUUCCUCUUGGGUGCCGUGGUGCCCUAGACGGUUGGUGUUGUUCGGAGCUCAAUCAUUGUGGUUUAAAGCUCCGGGCAAGCGUCCGGGUCUCCAAUUAGGUUGUGGAGAUCGCCCCGAGCAAUUUGACGGGUACCGGUGACCUCCCCCAAGGGUUGCCAAAGUGUACGGGUUCGGUGACCACCCCCAAGGGUUGCCAUUUGUAUGGGUUCGGUGACCGCCCUCAAGGGUCCCUUAGUGGAAUCCCAACAUCUUGCAUUGUGCAAGGGCGUGAGGAGAUUACGGUGGCCCUAGUGGCUUCUUGGGGAGCAUUGUGCCUCCACACCGCUCCAAAUGGAGAUUAGCAUCCGCAAGGGUGUGAACUUCGGGAUACAAUGUCGUCUCCGCGUGCCUCGGUUAUCUCUUACACGAGCCCUUUACUUAUGCACUUUACUUUGUGAUAGCCAUAUUGUUUCUUGUCGUAUAUCUUGCUAUCACUUAGUCUUUUAUCUUUCUUAGUAUAAGUUGUUGGUGCACAUAGGUGAGCCUAGUUGUUGUAGGUUUUGUGCUUGACAAAUUAACCGCUAGGUUUAUUCCGCAUUUGUUCAAGCCUAAACCGUAAUUACUUUAAAGCGCCUAUUCACCCCCCCCCCCUCUAGGCGACAUCCACGAUCUUUCACCUAUGGUGUGAUCGGCUACCAUUAAGGAUUGAUAACUACGUGUUCCCCUCAGACCUAAUAGCAUUGGAGUCACAAGGACUGAAUGUAGUAUUAGGCAUGGAUUGGUUAUCGAAGUAUGGAGGGAACAUUGACUACGCCAGUAAGUCGAAUUUGCUCACCACCCCAGAAGGAAGAAGAUUAAGUAUGUAUCCCGGCAUGUGCCGAAGAGGACUCAAGUAAAUUCCUUAUCAGGAGUUGUAUAGGAGGAAGUACCAGUUGUGAAGGAUUUCCCAGAUGUAUUUCCAGAGGAGUUGCCACGCAUGCCACCGGAUAGAGACAUUGAGUUUUUGAUUGAGCUUUUGCCAGGCACAGGGCCAAUAUCUAAGAGACCGUACCAGAUGCCCGCAAAGGAUUUGGAAGAAAUCAAGAAGCAGAUUAAGGAGUUACAGGAUAAAGGCUCUAUUCGCCCAAGUUCGUCACCUUGGGAAUCACCAGUGCUUCUAGUGGAGAAGAAGGAUGGAUUGUUGAGGAUGGUUGUUGAUUAUCGUGGAUUGAAUGAAGUGACGAUCAAGAAAAAGUACCCACUGCCAAUGAUCAAUGAUUUGUUUGACCAGUUGCAAGGAGCUAAAGUAUUUUCCAAGAUCGAUCUACGAUCAGGAUAUCACCAGCUGAAGAUUCGAGAGCAGUAUAUACCUAAGAUAGCUUUUACCGGAGAAGAACACAAGAAACCGGAGAUGGCUCUCCCACCCACCUAUCACCCACCUCCUACCACCUCUACCCAACAAUGGCGCCUAAGGAUCUAGAUCAUGGAUGGUCUUCUGCAUUGGGAUUUCUCCCCCGGCCUUGUGGUCGCGGCUCAAGUGCGUUGACGCUUUGGUUCUAUGGUUCACUUCUCCCCCUCUGGUUGUAGCAAGGAAUUCUUUUUGGUGGUUAGAUUUUCUUCGGCCUCCUUUGCUCUUAAUGAAGAAUUUGUUGCAUUGGCUCUGCAAUGCUCCAUUGGAGGUCUUCCUUCGGGAUUACAUGUUAAGCAUUUGGAUGGACGUCAUUUUCGGUUCUCGGUUGCCUCUAAUCGGGUUGGUCAUUUCAUCUACGGUCUCAAGGAUCGAGUUUGGCCGGACUUUGUAUGCCAUUUUAGUCUCUUUCGACCAGGAGUGCACUCUCGUUUGCAUAACCCUCUCUCUUGGCACUCGGAUCAGCAAAACCCUGAGAUCAACACCAGAUCACCUGUUGCAUGCAAGUCCUCACAUCGUUUUACGUCUGAAUUAUGUCAUGUGAUUGAGGCUUCGUCUCUGAAUGUUCUCGCGAAAGCUAGGUUUUCUGUUGAGAUUAAUGGUGUGGACAAUCAUUCGUGCUCACCGCCGGUCACACUCCGGCAGCCUCCGGUUAGCCGACAGGAUUCUUUUGGUAAGGAAAUUGCAAUACCUAGUAAUGAGUCUUUAAUGGCUAAUUCCUUGAUUAUCGGCCACAUUAAUGUGGAUUUGUCUGGCCGGUCGGCUAACACUAUGGAUAUCAAUCACCAGCGAUUUGAGGGGCAUUAUUUUGAAUCUAAGGCUUGGCACCAAAUUCCUGGAUUUAUAUUGCGUCACAUUCUGGAUCAUUACUGCAUGGGUGUCUCGGUGGAAAAAGUUGCUUCUUUAUGGAAAUUAGCCUCGGUCCCCACCCCGGAUUUCAUUUAUAAUAAAUUGGUCAUUUGUAGUAAGUGCAAUGGCAUUGAUCAUAGGGUGGCAAAUUGCCCGCGUCGGGACUGCCAGGUUUGUUCUCACAACCCUUGUCAGUGUCUGCCUAAUAGCCCCGAUCCCAGCCCACCUGCUUUAACAUCUCCAGCCUGCACCAUUUGUGCCUCUACGGCCCAUGCUUUCUUUGAGUGCCCGACUAAAUCCUACUGUGGGGCUUGUGGGCUUUUGGGCCAUUUAAAUCGUCAGUGUGCCACCCCGGGGACUCGCUACUUAUUUUGGAGACCGAUUUUACGUGCACAAAAUUCUGGCUUAUCAGUAAUUGAUACAUUUCCUACGGUCAAAGAUUCUACUGCUGGGGUUCAUGGAAAGUAUCGUUGGAAAGAUAAUGAUCGUGUCUUGUCUGGGAUAUUACCGCAGAACCUAAAUGCUACUUCCUUUCAACACCCACCUGCCACCCGGCGUCGCUCAGCCGUGCGAUGCUCAUCAUGCGGUCAUGUUGGCCACUUGGUGGACGCCUGCCAGAAACUUUUGCACAAGCGCCGAGGGGUCUGGGUACCCAAAUCGAUACCCGAGGUGGACGAUAUGCAUUCUUCCUUCUUAUAGUCUGGGCACGCCUCUGCUCCGGCUCCCUCCACCACUCCAAUGGCGAACUAUCCCCUCAACGUCGUCCCCUACCUUCCGCCUGGCAUGACCAUCAAGAUUGGGCCGGCUGACCGCAGGGUGCGUGCAGACAUGGUCGUUGGCCCAAUCCCUCCUCUGUGCCAUGAUUUCUUGGCCAUUGCUGAGGCCAACAGAUUCAUCCCCUUUCAUCAGAAGGCUGAUCUGCGAAACAUCAUUGAAGGUUUGCUCCAUGAAUCACAUUACUUCCCUUCUGAAGUUUCGGAUCAUCCACUAGGAGUCGGUUUGUUUGGGUUUGCUUCUUCUGUCAUCCGUGAUGCGGUUGUCGGUACCACCUUCGAGCUUGACGAAAAUGAGGUUGAGGAGCACACUGUUAUUUCAUUCGUCCCUCAUGAUGCUGCCCUCAACAUGCGCUGACAACUUUUGGUCCGGUGGUGUGGAUUCUGUAUGUGGGUUUUCCCUAUGAUUAUCAGACAUAACACUACAUGCACAAAUCCGUUGAUUCUUUUGGUGCUGUGGUUGAUUGGAAUAAUCCUAGAGGAGAUAGGAGGCUGGUGCUUGUUAAAGUUAGAGUAAUUCAUUUGCAAUUAGUGCCCAAAAGCCUUGUUAUCCGUCAGAUAUGAGGGGCUAGGCAGUGCUAGACUUUUGAUGUAACUAUGAUGCGGAGUAAAGAUUGGAACGCUCACCUGCCUGAAGUUCCACCAGCUGGAGAAGAUCCACCACCCCCUGAUGGUAUUCCUCAUCCGCUGCAUGGAGAAGGUCUGAAUGCAGAGCAACUAUAUCAGCAGCAACUUCAUAACUGGAUGGCUCAGAAUGCAGUGGCAGAUGCUGCAGCCAAUGAAGGAGAAAAUGUGGUUGUUGAUGAAGGUAAUGACAUUGAGAUUCACCCUGAGUGGUGUGUGUGGCCACCUCCUCCUCCAUAGGCACCUCCUGUUCUUUACAACUUCCAGCAAUGGUUGGCUGGGGAGGGGCUUCAGGUUGAUCAUGGCAUUGUGCCACCACAGAAUAUGCAUGACAGCCCUGGGGCUGCCUGGAAUGACUCUAUUUCUGUACCAUCAAGUUCAGAUUCCAGUGCAACCAUUUCUGACUCAUAUGUGUUAGAGCCUGUCAAUCUCAUGAACCAGUACUGGCCACAAGAUGUUACUGGUGCUCCUACAGCUAACAUUGAAGUCUUUGCUUUGGUCAGUCCUGGGAACAACCAAAUUGAUCAUCCUCUCAGCUCUGAAUCUGCUUCUCUGCCAAAUAAUGUCAUGGAGUUAUCUCUGAAUUUUUCUGCUGCUGGCCUACACUUGGAUAUGUCUACUCAAGGUGAUUUCAUACCUGCUAUGCUCAUUAGGGACUGAAUUCCCAUGCUCAGGUUAAACACUUAUCUUGCUGCUGCUAUUAAGCCCAUUGUGGCUUCUUUUGGCCCAUGGAGAGAUCACUAUGGCUUUCAGCAAGAUUCAGUCACUUUUAAAAUUACCAUCUCUAAAAAUGAUGGUCUUCUGACAGUGGUCUCUGCUUCCAAAACCAUUGCAAAUGCUUCUUCCUCUAAUGUUAUAAUUGAAGAUCUCUCUGAAGUUGUUAGUCGGGAGCUUACUGUGGAUGUGGUUGAUCAAGCUCAAGUUUCUGAAGAAGUCUUGUCUGAACCAAUGGACAUGCAGAUUGUUCAUGUGGGCCAAGUGCAGCAGCCUCCUCCCACUGUCUCAGAUUUUGCUGGCUCCUCCACAAUCCUCACCCGCAAAGGCAAAUCAGUGGUGCCUGAAUGUGAUAUUGCUCUGCGUAGAAGUGCACGCACCAACAAAUAUGAUGGCUUCAAACUCCAUCAGGUUUCUGACAGCAAGAAAAAAACUUCUAAGGUUAAACCCAGGGUUGUUCCCACUGCUCUCACUAUCAGGGAGGUAGAUGAUGAUGAGAAGAUCCCGCCGCCUACACCUGGCAGGGUUAUCCAGCAGAUUGGCACUCGACUUAAUUUCUCUUUUGCAGAUCAUUUACUUUACUUCCGCAAUGAAUCUUUUGGUGAACUGGAAUGUCUUAUGUUGGAACGUACGCGGGUUAAAUUCCGGGGACAAGCAGUUAGUGCUUUCCAAUGCGAUAGUGGUUGUGCGGUGGUAUGUUUGCAAGAAACUAAGAAAUGAUCGUUUGAUUUGUCUUUCAUUAAGUCUUGCUGCCCUCGUCGCUUUGAUCAAUUUGUGUUUGUACCUUCUCGUGGGGCAUCGGGGGGUAUUGUCACCAUUUGGAAUAGCACUAUUUUCUCCACUGACGUGCUUUUAUCUGAAGAUUUUGCACUGGUCAACGUUUCAAAUCAAUUCAAUCGGCACAAUGUUGGACGUUGAUUAAUGUAUAUGGACCUUGUCAAGGUGAGCAGAGGGAACAAUUCAUCCAAUGGUUGUGCUCACUUAAUAUUCCCUCAAGUGAAGAUUGGCUCUUUGUGGGUGACUUUAACUUUAUACAUGCACCAGACAAUCGUAAUAAACUUGGAGGCAGCAUUAAUGACAUGAACACAUUUAAUGAUUUCAUUCGCUGUCAAAGCCUCAUUGAAUUGCCUAUCAAGGGAUGUUCUUUCACUUCGAGCAACAUGCAGAUUGACCCUCUUCUAGAACAAUUGGAUUGGUUUUUUACGAGCACCAAUUGGACCACGUCUUACCCCAAAACUUUGGUUAAACCACUUGGUAAACCAGUCUCCGAUCAUAUUCCAUGUGUGGUUACUAUUGAAACAAAUAUCCCUAAAUCAAAACUAUUCCGCUUUGAAUCGUUCUGGGUCCAACAUCCGGGUUUCAUGCAAAUUGUUGAAUCUUCUUGGGCCAAACCAGUGCACUCCACAAAUACUGCCACCAUUCUGUGCCGAAAAUUCAAAACCCUGAGACGUGAUCUUAAACAUUGGAGCAAAGGCAUAUCUAAACUAUCUGUGGCCAUUGAGAACUCAAACAAAAGCCCUUUGUGAGACCGAUGAGCUUGAAAACAAACGGACUUUAUCUAUACCUGAAGCUAAUUUUUGAAGAAUUCUCAAGGCACACAUCAUAAGAUUAUUACGAUAUCAACAAGCUUAUUGGAAAAAGCGUUGUACCAUCAGAUGGGUCAAGUUCGGGGACGAGCCAUCCAAAUUUUUCCAGGCCUUGGCCUCUGAAAGGUAUAGGAAGAACAAUAUUGCUACUCUUGCAACACCAGAUGGCACUUUGGUGGAGGAUCAUGCAGGAAAAGAAUCUAUAAUCUUUCAAACGUUUAAAGAAAGGCUGGGAUCAUCAAGACCCUGCAAUAUGAAAUUCAACCUAUCCCGUAUAAUCAAGAAAUGCAAUGGACUUGAUGAUCUGACCAUUCCUUUUACACAUGAGGAGAUCGACAAAGUUGUUAGAGAAAUGCCCGCUGACAGAGCCCCUGGUCCGGACGGCUUUAAUGGUUUAUUCUUAAAAUGAUGCUGGCCAAUCAUCAAGAAUGACUUUUAUAACUUGUGCAAUCAAUUCCACAAUGGGGAGCUCAAUUUGGAAAGCAUUAACGACGGCUUCAUCACGCUCAUCCCCAAAGUCGGCUCUCCUAAGUCUAUCAAUGACUAUCGAUCGAUCACGCUUCUCAACUGUUGCCUCAAAGUUGUCACAAAUUUUUUGGCUAAUAGACUUCAAAAAGUUAUCCUCAAAAUCAUGCACAAGAACCAAUAUGGAUUUCUCAAAGGACGGACUAUACAAGAUUGUCUUGCAUGGGCUUAUGAGUACAUAUAUCAAUGUCAAUCUUCCAAAAAGGAAAUCAUGCUUCUCAAGUUAGAUUUUGCCAAUGCAUUUGAUACGAUCGAGCAUGAGGCAAUGAUUGAAAUUAUGAAAAACAUGGGAUUCAAUGACAAAUGGCUGGGAUGGAUUUGAUGCAUCUUCUCUUCGGGCAAAUCUUUGGUCCUUCUUAAUGGCACUCCUGGUCGGCAAUUCUACUGCAAAAUGCGGUGUAUGGCAGGGGGAUCCUCUCUCCCCCCUCAUCUUUGUUCUUGCGGCCGACCUCUUGCAAGCUGCCAUAUAUAAAUGAUGCUUUUGCACGCAAUUUGAUUCAUCUGUCGUUCCCAUCCCCACACCAAAAUGAUUAUCCUGUGAUUCAAUACACCGACGACACCAUCUUGGUUAUGCCCGCAUGCACCCAACAAGCUACAACUAUCAAGGACAUCUUAAAUGACUAUGCAACGUCCAUUGGGUUGAAAAUAAAUUUUCACAAAUCCACUCUCGUCCCAAUGAGUUGUGACCUGGAAAAGACUCAGGAAAUAGCCACUAUAUUUGGAUGUGUCAUUGGCAAGCUACCGUUUACCUAUUUGGGCCUUCCACUUGGAACUACACGUCCAACGGUCAUUGAGCUCAUGCCACUGGUUUGCUCUAUGGAAAGAAGACUAACUGCCACUCUAAAUAUGAUAUCCUACGGUGGCAAAUUAUCCCUGCUCAAUUCAGUAAUUACUUCAUUGAUCAUUUUUGCUCUAUGCGCACUCAGAUUGCCAACCAAGAUCAUUGAACUGCUGGAUAAGAUUAGAAGAAAGUGCUUGUGGACUAAAAAAACUAAACAAGGCGAUAAAUGCAACUCCCUAGCCACCUGGAACAUGGUCUGCCAACCUAAGGAAUGCGGAGGCCUAGGUGUGAUUGAUCUAAGAACACAAGGAGAUGCCCUCUUACUCAAAUACUUACAUAAAUUCUAUAAUAGUUGGGACGUGCCUUGGGUCCAGCUCAUUUGGGACACAUACUACUCUAACCGCAUACCACAUGCUUCGGACACGUGUGGAUUAUUCUGGUGGCGUGAUGUUGCAAAACUAAUGCCCAUUUAUAGGGGGGUCUCCACGGUCCAGGUAGCAAAAGGUAGGAAUGUUCUUUUCUGGAAAGACUCUUGGGCAGACAACAUUAUUGCUAACAAAUAUCCUCGAGCUUUCUCUUACAUCAUCAAUGAAGACAUCUCGGUCAAAGAUUUCUUGUCCAUCACGGCACUGCGAGAGGCGUUUCAUCUUCCACUCUUAGAGCUAGCUCACGCUGAAGUUCGGCAACUUCAAUCUGACUUGGCCACGACUGCCUUAUCCGAUGAUGCAGAUGUUUGGUUAUAUGCAUGGGGAUUAGCGCAAUUCACGGCACACAAGUACUACACAUUCUACUUCAGAGAUAUUCGAGCGCAUGAGGCAUUUGGUUGGAUUUGGAAAUCAAGUGAGAAUAAAGGUUUUUGGUUGGUUGCUAUUGGUCGAUCGUCUCAAUACCAGGAAUAUGCUUAAACGAUGACAUUACAACAUUGGUGAAGACCACAAUUGUAUUCUUUGUGGAUUACAAAUUGAGGAAACCUUGGAGCACUUGUUCUUUGAAUGCCGCUUCAGCACUGAUUGUUGGGCAAGUCUUGGUCUUUCCUGGCCACAAGGAAUGUCACGCCUUCAGAAUGUUGCUAUGGCCAAACAAAACUGGGAUCGACCUCUUUUCAUGGAUAUGUUCUUGCUUGCGGCAUGGAGCUUAUGGAAGGAACACAAUAAUAAACACUUCAGGGGGAUUGUACCAACAAAACUUUCUUGGUUGGACAUAUUUAAGAAGGACUUCUCUCUCCUUACCUAUAGGGUCAAGGAAAAGCAUAAACAUCUCAUCCCUAUCAUCCUUUCUUCUAUAGUCUAGCAAAUCUAACACACACCCAAAUGGGGGGUUGACACAUGUAUAGACACUAUGUAAUUUGUACAACAUCAUAUUAAUACAAUCAUAACAGUGGGAGGUUCUCCUACUAUUCAAGGUUCAAAAAAAAGACAGCUUCUACCACAAGGUACGCGCUAUAUGAGUAUACCGUUAUGUCAUUUGGUCUGACUAACGCACCUACCUAUUUCAUGAACAUGAUGAACAAGGUGUUUAUGGAGUUUUUGGAUAAGUUCGUCGUGGUGUUCAUUGAUGAUAUUCUGGUCUACUCGAAGAAUGAAGAGGAGCAUAAGGAGCAUUUGUGUUUGGUACUUGGGAAGCUCAGAGAACAUCAGUUAUAUGCCAAGUUCAGUAAGUGUGAGUUUUGGUUGAAUGAAUUUGGAUUCCUCGGACAUGUUAUAUCCGGAGAAGGAAUAGCAGUAGACCCCACCAAGGUUGUCACUGUGAUAAAUUGGGAAGCACCCACGUCAGUUGGAGAGAUCCAGAGUUUCCUUGGACUCGCAGGAUACUACAGGAGGUUCAUUGAGAAUUUCUCGAAGAUUGCAAAGCCCAUGAUGGAGUUGUUGAAGAAGGACACUAAGUUGAAAUUUACUGAGGAAUGUGAGGCCAGUUUUCAGGAGUUGAAGAAACGUACAGCCCCAGUGUUGAUUCUUCCAGAUCAACACAAGGAUUAUCAAGUGUAUUGCGACGCUUCUCGUCGAGGACUUCGAGCAGUGCUUAUGCAGGAGGGAAGAGUUGUUUCAUAUGCCUCACGAUAGCUUAAACCCCAUGAGUUUAAUUAUGCUACACAUGAUUUGGAGUUAGCAGCCGUAGUGCAUGCAUUGAAGACAUGGAGACAUUUUCUCAUCGGAAACCACUGUGAGGUGUAAACGGAUCACAAGAGUUUGAAGUAUAUCUUCAUGCAGAAGGAGUAGAAUCUCAGGCAGAGGAGAUGGUUGGAGCUCAUCAAGGAUUAUGAUAUGAGGUUGCACUAUCAUCCCGGAAAAGCUAAUGUAGUAGCCGAUGCGUUGAGUCGCAAGAGUCAUGUUAAUACACUCAUGACCGGAGGAUUACCCAAGGAGUUAGCAGAGGAUCUUCACGAGCUAUGUUUGGAGAUAGUCCCGAGAGGCUAUGUAGCAGCAUUGGAAAUUCAGUCUACCUUGAUGGAUAAGAUCAGAGAAGCUCAGAAGACGGACAAGGAGAUUGCAGAGAUAAAGGAAAGGAUGAGCAAAGGAAAGGCUAAAGGAUUUUGUGAGGAUGAGCACGAUACCAUAUGGUUUGAGGGCCGCGUAUAUGUGCCUAAUGACCCCGAGAUCAGGAAGUUGAUUUUGCAGGAGGCCCAUGAUUCGCCGUAUUCGAUUCACCCAGGAAAUACCAAGAUGUAUCUGGAUUUGAAGGACAGUGUCUGGUGGACCGGAAUGAAGAAGGAUAUUGCGGAGUAUGUAGAAGUUUGUGAUGUAUGUCAGAGAGUGAAGGCAGAGCAUCCGAAACCAGCCGGUUUGUUACAACCAUUGCCGAUACCCGAAUGGAAGUGGGAUAAGCUAGGCAUGGAUUUUAUCAUGGGAUUGCCUAGAACUCGCUCAGGCUAUGACUCGAUAUUGGUUGUAGUCAAUCGUUUGAUGAAGGUAGCUCAUUUCAUCCUAGUGAAGACCACUUACAUCAGUGAUAAGUUGGCCAAGAUAUACAUGACUAGGAUCGUAUGUCUGCAUGGAGUUUCGAGGACCAUUGUAUCAGAUAGAGGAACCCAGUUUACCUCAAAGUUUUGGAAUCAGUUGCAUGAGACUUUGGAUACCAGGCUAGAGUUUAGUACAGCCUUUCAUCCACAGACAGAUGGAUAGACCGAGAGAGUCAAUCAGAUUCUGGAGGACAUGUUGAGAGCUUGUGCGCUAGAUUAUGGAUCUAGUUGGGAUGACAAUUUGCCGUAUGCAGAAUUCUCUUAUAACAACAGCUAUCAAGCCAGUUUGAAGAUGGCCCCUUUCGAAGCCUUGUAUGGAAGGAGGUGCAGGACACUAUUACUAUGGGAUGAAGUUGGAGACCAUCAGUUGUUCGGACCAAAUUUGAUUAAGGAGUCUGAAGAGAAGGUUAAGUUGAUUCGUGAUAGACUCAAGGUAGCCCAGUCCAGGCAGAAGAGCUAUGCAGAUUCUAAAUGCAAGGAGAUAGUUUACGAAGUCGGAGACAGAGUUUAUCUUCGAGUGUCCCCACUUCGAGGAGUUAAGCGUUUUGGAGUUAAGGGAAAGUUAGCACCACGUUUUGUGGGACCAUACAAAGUUUUGGAAUGUAUGUGAGAAGUUGCUUACAAGCUGGAAUUGCCAGAAGGAUUGUCAGGAGUUCACGAUGUGUUCCAUGUUUCCCAGUUAAAGAAGUGCCACGCAGAGAUGGGCGAUAUUCCUCUAAGAGAUCAGUGCCACUGAAAGUGAUUCAGUUGUAUAGCGAUUUGACCUACGAGGAGAAGCCAGUGAAGAUUCUCGAGUUUGCCAGCCGAGUCAUGCGCAGCAAGGUUAUCAAGUUCUGCAAAGUUCAGUGGAGCCACCAUACCGAGGAUGAAGCCACCUGGGAGCUAGAGGAAGACCUACGGAAGGACCACCCACACCUAUUUUCUAGCCAACCCGAAUCUUGAGGGCGAGAUUCAUCUUAAGGGGGAUAGGUUUGUAACAUCCCAAAUUUCCAAUUUGGAAUGUUAUACAUUAGAUCAUCAUUGCGUAUCACAUUUUAUUGCAUUUUUGGUUGAUCCUAGAAAUUCUACGCAACUCAAGGACCCACGAAGAGAGUUGGGGAUUUCGUUAUUUUCAUAUUUGAGUUUUCUCAAAUUUUGAAAAGAGGAUCAUUUGGUUUUAAUUAUUUUUCUCUCUGAAUAUUUCAUAUAUGAAAAUAAAGAGAGGGGAUAAAAUGACUUCCCCAAAAUAAAUAAAUAUUGGAGGUUAAAUAUUAAAAUCAAAUAAGAAUUUUAUUCGGAGUUUUAUCGCUAUUUUAUUUGAAUUAGGAAAAAAAUGCGUUUUUAAAAAUUGCAUUAGAGGCCCAUAUAAAUGUUCACCUUGUCCGCUAUAUUUUUAGAGGACGGGGAAAAUUUAUUUCAGAAUUUUUGGAGUCUGUUUAGUAUUUCUUUUAUUUGGUUUUUGCGCGUCGGAAUUAUUUAAAAAGGAAAAAAAGAAAUGAAAAGAAACCGACCUACCGGGCCGUGUCCGUCUGGGACACCGACCCGGCCGGCCUCUUAUAAGCCGCCGCUGCCAGCCCGCUGCCCCCGAAACCCUAGCCGCCACCCCGCAUCAAUCCGUGCGCCGCCUUGCCGCCGCUGCCGCGCGAGUCCACCGCCGCCGCCUCCCGCUGCGAUGCCACCGCCCCGCGGAGCCGCAGCUGUCCGCCGCCGCCGCCCCGUAGCCCCACACCACCGACCCCGCUGCCAGAGAGCCGCUGCCGCCACCAACCCCGCCGCUGACGAGGUAGCCGCAGCCGUCGCCGGGUUUCGUCAGAAAACCGCCCGGGUUUUUUCGAAAACCCUAGGGUUUUUUUGUAGAUCGGUUUUAUUUUUUUUCCUGUUUAGUUAAUUAACGGACGUUCAUCCGCACGUUUGUUUUAACGAACGGUGUUCAACCGUUAGCCGCUGAUAGCGAACGUUCGUUCGUUAGCCUGUUCAUCAGUUUUUCUUUUUCCAGGGUUUUUCCGCUAUUAUUUUCGAUUGUGAUUUCUGCCCUGAUCUUUGUUUUAGUUUAUCUUUUCGCUCGUUUAUCAGAAUCAGGCGAUUCAAGCACCUAAAUCUUCGUCUUGAAGCCCUCUUUCUGUUUAACCAACUUGAACAAGAUUUUGGUAUUGUAAAAUUUGACUUUAGUCCAGAUUAGUAAACGGAUCUUGUUUCUUUCGCAGUUUGAGUAUCGUUGCUUCGUUUGAUUUGAUUCUUUUUGCAAACCGGAGUUCUUUAGUUGAACUUUCUGGUUAGAUCUCUUAUUUUAGUUUUACCCGUGCUUCUAGUUAAGUGCUUAUGUAUGUUAUUGUUUGUUUACGAUAGAGUACCCGGAGUGCGAAGCGUGCUACUACGAGUCUCUAGGUUUUGCGGAUCAUCAGCAAGGCAAGUAACACUUUGAUCAUACCUCUUUACUACCCAGUUUUUAUUGCAUUAGAUCAACCCUCAAACAUUGCAUGGUUAGGAUCUGUUUAACAUCUGGGUUUUGGGAAGUAGAUGGUGAGGUAGUACCUAUUGCCCUGUUUAUUAUCAAACCUUUGGGAGUUACUUUUACGUGAUGCUUAUAUGCUAUGAUAUGCUUGUAGACGUGGUUUGGGUGAGUGUAUCCAUGAUAGAUGUGAGUAUUGUUAAUUAAUGGUUAACUUAAGGUGGCUACUUAAAUACACAUCUGGGUGGAUUGCUUGAGGCACCCUGGAGUACCCAGUGGUUGUUAGGGCACCUGCAGAAUCCAGUGUUGUCCUAGGAUAUCCCGGAGUACCCGUGUGAUCAUCCUACGGUCCGCCACCCAGGCUCAAAGGGAUCAUAAGAUUAUUCAUGAUAGAAACUUCCGUGUGCAGCCAAAAGCCAAUAUGGGCUCUGGCAUAGUUGAGUAAGUUGCGUGAAGCUCUUGAAGAGGUAGACUAGCAGAUGUAGUGGGUUGUAGGUGGUACUGUCUACCCAGAGUAGAGAGUUAAUGCUUCAGAAAGACUGUGUCUCGAAUCUCCGACCAUGGAUGUGUUCGAGUCUUGUGGGGAAAAGUGUGCAAACCUCUGCAGAGUGUACAAACUAAUCAUGGUUAGCCGUGUCCCCGAUUAUGGACAUCUUGAGUAUCUGGUUCUUGGAUUAUCAUGUUGAUCUCAUCACUCUAAAUUAAUUUGAUUUGGUUUAAUGAUGAUGCUUAAUUGGGAUUGAGUUGGAGGAAUCUUCUCAAUGUUUAACAACCACCAUGAUAGUUAAAUAAAAUUUAUUCCUUUGUUAUAGGGAAAAAUUGGCUUUAUGCAUAACUGUAACCAUAGAGCUUUCCACCACCCAUAUAUGCAUGUAGUGAUAGCAUUCAUUCUGUUCAUUAAUCUAUGUGUUACUUUGCCAGCAUAUUCCAUGUGCUGACCCAUUUCAGGCUGCAAUGUUUCAUGUUGCAGACUUUUCAGACGACGAGUAAGGUGCCAUAGAUCGUUGUCUUUCACUCAGCUAUGCCGUUGGAGUUGAUGGACUCGCUUUAUCUUCCAAUCCUUCCACUGUUAUCGUUUUUAGAUGGCCUUAAGCCAUAUUAUUGUAAUAAGUUCUCUUUUGAGACAUUCGAUGUAAUAAGUGUGUGAUUGAAACCCUGUUAUAAAUCCUCAAGUACUGUGCGUGUUAGUAUUACCGAUCCAGGGAUGACACUUAUGCACAGAGACUACACUGUUUGGGGUUUGGUCGCUACACAUGUCCCUUCCUUGGCUUAUCAUAUACAUCUAUAUCAUCCUCAAGCUCUUCUGGGGCAUUUAUCAGCUUUGCCCACUCAGCCACAGUUGAUUGGUACCUAGUAGCCUCUAUCAUUCACACAAUUUUACCAUCAGGGUAAAAAUGUGCUGUGGAGUAAAACUGCAUGAUCAACUCAUCAUUCCAUUUUGUUAACUUCUGGCUAACAAAUGCAUCAACUCAUGUUGAUCUGAAGCUUUCAUGGACUCCUGGGAAGUGAUCUUCAUUGUUGUCAAUGUACUCCCAGUCGACCCAUCUCAUGUCACUUACUAUUAGCUUCUUGUCAAGCAGCAUAGUCUCAUAGAAGUCUUGUUGUUCCUUUGUGUGGAACCUGUAGUCAAUAGUUGUUCUCCUUCUAAUGGCAUAUGGGUCAUUCUUCCUCCAUAGCCUGAUACCUGCAUCCUUCUUGAGCUUCGUGUUUUUAGCAAUAGGGUGAGUGUCAUCGUGAUCAGGAAUCUUGAGCUUCAACUUUCUGAGAACUUGCUCUUCUCCUCCUCCUCCUCCUCCUCCUCCUCCUNNNNNNNNNNNNNNNNNNNNNNNNNNNNNNNNNNNNNNNNNNNNNNNNNNNNNNNNNNNNNNNNNNNNNNNNNNNNNNNNNNNNNNNNNNNNNNNNNNNNNNNNNNNNNNNNNNNNNNNNNNNNNNNNNNNNNNNNNNNNNNNNNNNNNNNNNNNNNNNNNNNNNNNNNNNNNNNNNNNNNNNNNNNNNNNNNNNNNNNNNNNNNNNNNNNNNNNNNNNNNNNNNNNNNNNNNNNNNNNNNNNNNNNNNNNNNNNNNNNNNNNNNNNNNNNNNNNNNNNNNNNNNNNNNNNNNNNNNNNNNNNNNNNNNNNNNNNNNNNNNNNNNNNNNNNNNNNNNNNUUCUUGUUCUUCUUCUCCUUCUUCUUCUUCUUCUUCUUCCAUUUCAGGCACUGGAGCCUUGUUCUUCUCAGCAGCUGAUAUGUUUCUGGUGGAUCUCUUUGGGGCUUGAGCAGCAGCCUUGGGGCCAGAUUUGGUAUUUGAAGGAGCAGACCCUGAUCUGAUUGCAUCCCCCAUUAGCUUCUGAGAUUUGGCAGGAGGUGCAUCUUGCUCUUCAUCUUCAGUUGGGUCUCUGAUCAUUGAAGAUCUCCCAAUGACUCUGGCCAUUGUCUUCUUGACCCUCUCCUUCCUCUUCUUGCCCUCACCAGCCUCUUUGGGUUCAAGAGUGAACACCAUGGUUUCUUGGGUUGAGGCUCUGGCUUUGGACAUGGGAACUCUUUUUGCAGGAGCUUUUGUCUUCAACCCUGACUUGAGAUUAGUCGUAGUGCAAGUUUCCUUCUUGUUUCCUUUCCUCUUGGAAGAGACUGCCUCAUCAAUCACAAAAUCUUCAUCCUCAGAAUCAGAUGUCUUCUUCUUCAUCAGCUUAGUUGCAGCUUUGGGCAGGUUACUGGGAGUGCUUCUUCUCCCAUCAUCAGAACUACUCUUAGAGGGACUAGUGCCCUCACUCAUCUGAACUUGUUCUUCAGACAUAUUCUGGCUGUCACUGUUGUUAGACAUGCUGCAAGUAGAAAGCUGGCCCUGUGAAUAGAUAUAGAUGAGAUAGAGUGGAUGAGCAUUACAACAUGCAGAGAUUUUGCAAAACAAAUGAGCCAAAAACUUAGUUUUAGUUUUCUACUAAAGUCAUUUCGGAGCUACCGAUUUGCUGAACUUGGUGACACCGAAGCAACAUUCAGUGUCUAAACUAGUGAACUCGAUUAGGUCGAGGCACAGUUUGGUGACACCGAUAUUGCUAGGGUUUCACAAAGUUCUGAAAUUGGUCAAACCGAUUUGCGAAUUUUGGACAGACCAAAAAUCACAGUGCGAUGGCCUAGGCCAAAUCGGUGGGACCAAUUUCUACAACUCGGUCGGUCCGAGAUGAAAUCGGCGGAAACCUAACCCUAAAUUUUCAAACCAAAACUAAUCUAAAGGAAGUUUUGCUAGAUAGAAUAGUUUCAAUCGUGGCAAGAAUCAUGGCAUUAUCUUUGUGCUAAGAAUCGGAUUGAGAAAGCACAAAGGAUCAAACUCAUACCCUAACUUGGCGGUGAGUUUGCUACAACGACAACGACGGAGGAGAUCCCAUUGACGGCGGUAGAGACUAGCGGCAGGAGGAUGCUGGCGAUGAAGGCGACGAUCCGGAGACCUCGAGUCAGCAGAGCUCGACAGCGCGGGCAAAGAGUUUUGGAGGAAUUUCCAAAAUUUCAACCCGUGAGUAUAUAUAUCCAGACCCUGUCGGUGAGACCGGGUGGAACAACUCGGUGGCACCGAGAUGCAGAAUCACAAGUGGUUACUGGAACUCAGUGAGACCUAAGUGUUCAAAUCGGUUGCACCGAGAUUGAAACCUAGAUCAACUUAAUGAACUCGGUGUGACCGAAAGGAAUGAAUCAGUCAGACCGAGAUGCAUCAAGAGGUUUUGGAAGUUUAAGUCUAUGAGGAAUCAGUGGCUCUGAGUGCUCCUCACCCAGAGGGUUUGAAUCUGACUUGAUCAAACUUUGUGAUGUAGCAUGAAUAUAGUAUGAGAUGAGAAAAGCAUAGAUAUCUAGAGGGAGUACUUAGGCAUUAUUGUCCAUCCAUUUGGCAAAAGAAAAGCCCAAACAAUCAAAACAACAAAUGGAUGUCCUCGAAUGAAGAAAAUUCUGCAAUCGACAUGCUCACACAAUAAGAUAGCAAAUGAAAUAUGUGGCAAACAUGCACAAACACUCUAGCAUCUAUCAAGCAAUUGGCGAUGACUAGGUCAUCUAUAUAUAAGUAUAUUGACUUAGGAGUCAAAUGAGAACAUUUGAUCAUAGGUCAUACUCAUUGUUUAAGCACAAGUGGGGUUACCACUUUUACAUAAAGCAUUGCUGUGUUCACGUCAUUGGAGUUGCUUUAGCUCAAUUCUUAGAGUAAAUAUCCCCGUAUAUGUGAUAUCCCCUUUUAGAGGGAUGAACUAACCUUGGGUUUUGUCGAUGAUGACGUCAUGUAGAUGUUGAAGAUAUGGAUGCUCAAUGUUGAUGUAGAUCAUUUGGAGCAAUCCAUUGGAGUGAGUUGCACUUUCAAUACCUACAUGGGUUAGUCCCACAAGGAACAAACAAGGAUAUCCAUAGACAUAGAGUGAAGCACACACAUGAUUAUGUCCAUGAAAGCAUUAGGUUAUCUUGUCCCUUGACUUACUAUCAAGAGGGUUUGUGACUCCUUGAACUAGUGCAAGAUGUGGAAGUUGAUUGCACUUGUUCUUGCCAAUAUGAAUAUGAGUGAAGUAUGUUGGCGGAGUCACCCUCAAGAACUAUCUAGUUCUUCUUCUUCGGGAUCCACAUCAUCUUGAUGGGAAUCCUUAGGGUUGUAGAUGUACUUGAUGAAGUUGAACUUGAGUUAGAGAUGGGAACCCACUUGACCAAGGCCUUUGGAGCAUCUUCAAAUGCAUCAAUAUCCUCUUGAAGCUUGUCCUUGCCUUUUUGCUUGUGGUCUUGUGGUGGAAGAUCAUCUUGAGCGUGUGUCCCCUUGAAGGAAGUAGGAUCAUACUUGUCUUAUUGAGGAACAAACUUUUUCUUGGGGUAUUGAUCUUCUUCCCACUCAACUCCAUUGGCAUUGAAGUUUUGUUCAAAACCAACACCUUGAUUCUUCCGGUGCCUUCCUUGCUUGCAUACAAUUUCCUCAAAUUGAUUACUUCCGGCAAGGCUCUUGUAAACACAUUUCUCUAUAAUUCCCUUCAAUAAGCUAUUGUCUUGCUCAAGUGUAACUUGGCUAAGAGAAUCAUUAGUGGAAUCAAGAGAACUACUAGAAGCAACAAUAUUGGAUUUAGCAUGAUUAUUGUUACUGCUAGAAGAAGAAUUUUUCUUACUCUUGUUGCUAGAUUUUACUUAUGGCAUGCAAGUAGACAAGAGUAAACGCUUGGCAAUGUAAGAAGAACUUUUCUUCCAAAGAUCAUCAUUGAUGGAUUUUAAGAACCCAUGUUCUUGCUCUAGGUUUAGCUUCUCGAAGCAUAGCUUAUCAUGAGUUCUUAAAAGUUCUCGAUGAUCUUUUAAAGUAGUUUCAUGAGCUAACUUAAGAGUGUUUAGUUCUUUAGUUAGACGCUCAAUCUACUUCUUAUCAUUGUCAUUCGUUUCAUCUUGAUUAGCAUGAUUAAUAGCAAUUUCAUCAUAGUUUUCAUCACUAGCAUUUUCAACAAGUAAAUCAUCAUCACCUAGCAAGUCAUCUUCAUCACUAUUGAAAUCAAAAUACUCGGGAUGUGAUACCUUGGGGCCUUUAGCCAUGAAGCAUCUUCCAAUUCCUUCAUUUAGUGACUCAAAUAUGUCAUAGGAGUUGGUUGACACAAGUGCAAGACCGGCAACACCUUCAUCUUGAGUAUAUUCAGAGUUCGAGUGAUAACUUCUCUCGGAGUGGUGGUCGGAGUAAAAACCGGAUACCCAUUCACCAACAUGAUCUUGAUGUCUUCAUUUUGUGUAGAUCUUUGAUGACUUGUCCUUCCUUUCCGAAUCCUUGCUUCUGCAAGAGGUUCUUUGUUCAUAACGAUCAUCUCUACUCCUUCUCUCUCUUGUAGGUGAUUCUUCUCUUCUACUUCUUCUUUUAGGUGAGUCUUCUCUUCUUUUGUAGGGAAUCGUACACUCAUUGGAGUAGUGUCCGGGUCUUCCACAAUUGUAGAAAUUUUGCUCACGACUAGAAGAUCUUUUGUCAUGGUAGGAUCUUGACUUGGAGCUUCUUUCUUUGCUUCUACUCUUGUAGAAUUUGUUGAAGUUCUUCACCAUUAAGCUCAAUUCCUCAUUUAAGACUUGUUUUUUACUUGAUGUUGCAGGAUCAUCACAUGAGGCUUUAUAUGCACCACUAGACUUGUUGUGAAGCUCUUCUUUAUCCUUGAGUGACAUUUCAUGAGCAACAAUUCAUCCAAUGACUUCUGUUGGCUUGAGAUCUUUGUAGUUGGGCAUCAUUUGGAUCAAUGUGCACACGGUAUCAUAUUUUCCCUCCAAGGCGCUUAGGAUCUUCUUGAUGAUGAAUCUAUCAGUCAUCUCUUCACUUCCUAAGUCGACAAUCUCAUUUGUGAUGAGAGCAAGCCUAGAGUACAUUUCAGCGACACCUUCACCAUCCUUCAUUUUGAACUUGUCAAGUUGACUUUGAAGCAUAUCCAACUUGGAUUCCUUGACGGACUCGGUACCUUCAUGCAUAUCAACCAAAGUAUCCCAAAUUUCCUUUGCAUUCUCAAGAGGUUGAUUUUGUUGAAUUCUUCAGGGCACAAUCCAUUGAAGAGGAUAUCGCAACCUUGAGCAUUGUACUGCAGCAUCUUCAACUCUUCCGCAGUUGCUUCACGAUUUGGUUCUCUCCCAUCAAAUAAUUCACCUUGCAAACCAAUGCACACAAUAUCCCAAACAGCGGGGUUAUGUCCAAGAAUAUGCAUUUUCAUCUUAUGCUUCCAACUAGCAAAAUUAGUACCAUCAAAGUAAGGACCUCUACGGUGGUAAUUUCCCUCGCUAGAUGCCAUACUCUCCUAGGUUGUGAAACCAAGGCUAUGAUCACCAAAGCUAUGGAAAUCAAGGCAAAUGGAGACCAAAGCUCUGAUACCACUUGUAGGAUUGAAAGUAUGUCUAGAGGGGGGUGAUUAGACUACUUGACCAAAUAAAAAAUCUAGCCUUUUCCUAGUUUUAUAUCUUGGCAGAUUUUAGCAACUUAACACAAGUCAAGCAAUCAACCUACACAUGCAAUUCUAAGAGUAUAGCAGCGGAAUGUAAAUAAUUGCAUAUGAAGGUAAAGGGAGGAGCUUGGAGGGAGCAAACACAAUGUAGACACAGAGAUUUUUGGCGUGGUUCCGAUAGGUGGUGCUAUCGUACAUCCAUGUUGAUGGAGACUUCGACCCAUGAAGGGUAACGGCUGCGCGAGUCCACGGAGGGCUCCACCCAUGAAGGGUCCACGAAGAAGCAACCUUGUCUUUCCCACCAUGGCCAUCGCCCAUGAAGGACUUGCCUGACUAGGGUAGAUCUUCAUGAAGUAGGCGAUCUCCUUGCCCUUACAAACUCCUUGGUUCAACUCCAAAAUCUUGACGGAGGCUCCCAAGUGACACCUAACCAAUCUAGGAGACACUACUCUCUAAAAGGUAAUAGAUGGUGUGUUGAUGAUGAACUCCUUGCUCUUUUGCUUCAAAUGAUAGUCUCCCCAACACUCAACUCUCUCUCACACACACACACAGAUUUGGCUAUGGUGGAAAGAUGAUUUGAGUGGAAAGCAACUUGGGGAAGGCUAGAGAUCAAGAUUCUUGUGGUUGGAUUGUAAUGUCUUGGUCUCAACACAUGAGUAAGUGGUUCUCUCUCAGAAAAUGAGUAGUGGAAGUGUAGGCAUGUUCUGAUGGCUCUCUCAUAGAUGGAGAAGGGGGUGGAGGGGUAUAUAUAGCCUCCACACAAAAUCUAACCGUCACACAGAAAUUCCCAAACUCGGUGGGACCGAAUGGUUAAACUCGGUCAGACCGACUUGGUUCAAAAUGUGAACGUUAGGCAUUUCGGUGGGACCGACAACAUCAACUCGGUGAGACCGAUGCGCUAGGGUUAGGGCAAAACCUUAUCUCGAUGAGACCGAUCACAUGAACUCGGUGAGACCGAUUUCAGUAAUAAGCAAACAGAGACUUGGUUAGGCAAACUCGAUGGGACCGAUCGCUCAUCUCGGUAAGACUGAAACGUUACAAAAAGGAAACAGAGAGUUUGCAAUGCCAACUUGAUGGGACCGAUCGCUCACUUCGGUUAGACCGAAACGUUACAAAGGGAAACAAAGAGUUUGCAUUCCCAUCUCGGUGAAAUCAAACUGAUUAGGGUUUGUGGAUAUGGCUAUGUCAAGUGAACUCGGUGGCGCCGGAUGAAUCAAAUCGGUAGGGCCGAGUUUGACUUUAGGUUUAGGACAUAUGUGGAAAUGAGAAAGUGAUUGAGGGAUUUUGGAGCAUAUCACUAAGCAUUUUGAGCAAGCAAGCCAUUAAGCAACACCUCAUCCCCUUUUAAUAGUAUUGGCUUUCCUAUAGACUCAAUGUGAUCUUGGAUCACUAAAAUGAAAAUGUAGAGUCUUGAGCUUUUACCAAUAUGUGUCCUUAGCAUUUUGACAUCUCUUGUCCAUGCCAUACCAAUCAUUCAACUUUCUGAAACAUUGAUCUUGAAAGAGUAUUAGUUCAAUGAGCUAUAUGUUGUUAUGAAUUACCAAAACCACCCGGGAAUAAUUGCACUUUCAGCGCAGAAUUACAAAGGACGAUUGGCCCAUGACCCCUUCUCAUUUAGGAUGUAGACCGAUGUGUGACCUCUCUGUUGAGCCUAGGUAGGACUACGACGUGUUAAUCGGCCGAGGCCAAUCAUGACCUGAUGGUGUGUUCAGCCGGAGUUGAUCGAGCGUGUUGGGUAAGUUUGUGCACCCCUGCAGGGCAGUAUUAUCUAUUCGAAUAGCCAGGUCCACGGUAAUGGACGCUCGGAGUUGUAUGCCGAUCGAUACAACUAGAGCUGGAUGCUAAGGCAUGAGAUGGAUAUGAUGGCUCCGGGAUUGCUUUCUCGCAGGGAGUCGAGGAAGGAUCUUUGGGUGCUAAUGUUACAACAUGUUUGCUAAAUAUAAACUGCUAUUCUUUACUCUUCUGAAUGCUGCAAGAUGCUUGGAGCUGCUUGAAGAUGCUAGUCUUCGAUAGGCUAGACUUUCCCCUUCUCUUCUGGCAUUCUGUAGUUCAGUCCACAGAUACUACCCAUUUCAUUGAUGCCGAUGCAUAUGUAGUGUAGAUCCUUGCUUGCGAGUACUUUGGAUGAGUACUCAUGGUUGCUUUGCUUUAUCAUUUCCCCCUUUUCCUUUCUUCUCGGAUGUCGCAGCCAGAUGGUGGAGCCCAAGAGACAGACGCCACCUUCGACGACUACUACUAUUACACCGAGGGUGCCUACUACUAUAUGGAGGCCGCCGACGACCAGGAGUAGUUAGGAGGCUCCCAGGCAGGAGGCCUUGCCUCUUGGAUCGUUGUUGCUUUUGUGCUAACCUUCUUAAGGAAUACUUGUUCAACUUAUGUCUGUACUCAGGUAUUGUUGCUUCUGCUGACUCUUGUGUAUUCGAGCCCUCGACGCCCAUGUCUUGUAAUAUAAGGCUUGUAUUAUUUUAAUUUGUGUUUAGAGUUGUGUUGUGAUAUCUUCCCGUGAGUCCUUGAUCUUGAUCUUACACAUUUGUGUGUAUGAUUAGUGUACGAUUGAAUCGAGGGCGUCACAUUGACCACAAGACAAUCAUUGCAGCUCUGCAGACCAGGGGUUUUGGAGAUAGAUGGAUUAAGUGGAUGAACAUGAUCUUAUCCUCUGAUACUUCUUCAUUCUUUCUCAAUGGUGUUCCUGGCAAGGUAUUUCAUGCAAAAAGGAGUCAGACAAGGAGACCCCUCUCUCCUAUAUUGUUUUUUAUAUCAACUGAUAUCUUGCAAUCAAUUCUAAAUGAAGCCAUGCAUUAGAAUUUAAUAUGGACACCCAUUGCUAGUCAAGCCUUCCCUUACUUUCCAGUCAUUCAAUAUACAUAUGAGACCAUCCUAGUGCUACCUGCAGAUCCCAUGCAACUGUCACAAAUCAAGAAUCUCAUCAUGCACUAUUCUGUAUUCACUGGGUUGAAAGUUAAGUACGAUAAAUCCUUUUUGUUGCCAAUCAAUGUGCCUGAACAUCACAUACCUUGCUUACUCAAUAUUUUGGGAUGCAAGCAAGGGCGGUUCCCUUUCACAUAUCUUGGCCUGCCACUAAGUACUUCCAAAACAAAAAUAGAGGACUUCAACCCAAUGAUGUAAAGAAUUAAAAGAAGACUAUUUGGGUGCUCAACACUGCUCUCAUAUGAUGGAAGAAUUCUACUGAUCAAAUCAGUCUUUGCAGCUUUGCCAAUAUUUUUCAUGUGCACCUUGCACUCCCCAUUGGUGUUAUUGAAAAGAUAAACAAGUAUUUGGGGAAUUUCUUGUGGAGAAAAUUUGGAAUGGAAAAUAGGGGCACAACACUGAUUGCUUGGUCAAAGGUUUGUCAACCAAAGCAGCAUGGGGGACUUGGAAUUUUGGAUACUGCACUUCACAACAAAUCUCUUCUCAUGAAAAAUCUAUAUAAGUUUCUCAACAAAGAUGACAUCCCAUGGAUCAAAUUAAUUUGGGAAAAAUAUUAUCAUACAACUGCACCCAUGGGAAAACCGGAAGGCUCUUUUUGGUGGAAGGCCCAUGUUACCCUUUUGAAUAAUAUUAAAUCACUUAGGAGCUGCAUAAUAGGGUCUGGCGAAACAGUGAUGGUCUGGAAAGACAAAUGGAAGGAUGAAACACUUCAUCAAACAUUCCCUAAACUUCAUUCUUAUGCAAUUGAUGAAACCCAAUCAGUACAAAGGUUCUGUGAAGCACAAGAUUGGACAAAGCACUUCCAUCUACCAAUGUCCAUUGAAGCCUAUGAUCAAUUCAAUCAACUAGGAGAACUUAUUCCUUAGAUACACCAAGACAUAAAAGACAAAUGGACCUGCAAUGGACUAGCAAACAUUUUCUCAUCAAUUCAAAUGUAUAUGAAGAUGCUUGGAAGCAAGGAUGUGGGCUAGCUCCAGUAGAUUGAAUUACAAAAUAUUCUCCUGGUUGGUGGCACACUGUAGGAUCAAUACCAGAUCACUUCUCCAGAGGAAAGGAAUGCACCUAGACAAUCCUUACUGUCCUAAUUGCAAUUAGAGGGCAGAAGGGACAACUAUGCAUCUUUUAUGGGAUUUAAACUUUGCACAAGAUUGCUGGAACUCAUUUAUACCAAGUAGAAAGAGAGGUACAUCUAUGUGAGGACUAACCUUUGCUAUGGAACUCCUUCCAAAACAAUUAGCAUCAGAGAUUGUUAUACUAGGAUGUUGGCAUGUAUGGCUUAAGAGAAUGGCAAAUUUUCAGAGCUCAGACACAGUCAAUUCAAGCAUGGAGGUUCUAUUUGAAGCAAGAUUUGAAACUCCUAAGAUUCAAGAUUAAGGAUAAUUAUGAACAAAGUUUCUCCUAGUGGUUAGACAAUGACUUAUAAAGCCAUGACUCUAUACCUAGAACAUGCAUUGGCUAGAUCCUGACUUGAUCUUUGGCCUUCUUUUGGGUGUUUUGUUUUCACUUCUUUGUAAUAUAUUUUGAUUAAUAUAUAUAUAUACAUAUAUAUAUAUAUAUAUAUAUAUAUAUAUAUAUAUAUAAUAUCGUAGAACUAUUGCUCUACGGGUUGGGGGUAAAAAACUCUUUUAGGGUUGAAAUAUGCACUUCUCUUUUCUUUUUAUCCUCGUCGGCUUGCCAUACAAGCGAUGCCCUAUAAAAGUCAGCAUUCUUUCUAACACCCGCAGAAAUGGGUAUAGAGGCAUCAUAAACAUAUGCAUAUUAGUUUGGCGGGAUUGCGCCAAAGUCACGCUACCAACAAUGUUUAAAAGUCUUACUUACUGACGGGCACAUCGUUUCUCAAUUUUUAAGUAACCACCUUGCAAUGAUUAUUCCUAAUUCAAAUGUCAGAGACAUGCAUCACCAAAUAUUUCAAAGGAACAACACCUAGUUUGCAAGUGGAAAUCUCUUGAUAUAUGGGAGCUUUAUUAACUGACUCCCUAAAAAAACACUCAUGAAAAUUAAUAGUGAGACCACAUAUUUGCUCAAACAUACUUAUAAUAAACUUGAGAUUCCUAGCACUAUCCUCAUCAUCUUGUAAUAGGAAAUAGUGCCAUAUGCAUAUUAGUGAAAAAUGACCUUGUAGUUUAAUUUUUCACCCAACACCCCUUUCACAACUCCAUCAUUUCUAGCUCUCUCUCUCCAAAAUAAUGGCAAGGGCAUCAACUGGCAAAUCAAAUAGCAAAGGAGAUAAAGCAUCUAUUUGCCUAAGGCCUUUGUGAUUUUUAAAAUAAGCACCAAUUACAUAAUUUAUUUUGACCCCACAUGCCCUCUCCUCUUAGUGCGCAUAAUUCAAUCAAACCACUGAAUAGGGAAGUUUUUGAGUUUUAGCAUUUGGUGAACAAAAGGCCAUUUAAUCUUAUCACAGGCUUUCUCAAAGUCAGCCUUAAAGAGAAAUGCACUUUGUUUCCUACAAUGUAGUAUGGAGUUCAAAGCUUCAUGUAGUAGAACAACACUUUCCAUUAUGUAUCUACCUUUAAUGAAAGCAUUUGGUUAUGAGCAAUAAUAGGGUUAAUGACCCUACUAAGCCUGUUCAUUAGGACUUUAGUAAUAAUUUUGAAACUAACAUUCAAUAGAAAAUUUGGUCUAUAAUUUGAAUCUUAACAUCUUUAAUUUUGGGAACCAGGGUGAUAAUUCCCUAAUUUAUCCUAGCAAUAUCUAUAACCGCAUUAUGAAAAUUAUCCAUGACCCCUUCCAAAUCCCACUUACCAAUUUUCCCAAAAAUGUUGAUAAAAAUCAACAAGCAACCCAUUAGGUACAUGGCUCUUGUUUUUCUAGAGAGAGAAGACUACAUUGUGUAAUUCCUCUAUGAAGAAAGGUCCCACCAACCUAUUAGCAUCGUGUCUAGAAUUUUUCUGUUCUUCUUGGAUGUUUAAAGAAACAGAGGAGAUCUUAGCUUGUCCAAAAAAAUAUAGAAAUUAGUGAUGUAUUUUAAAAGAUUGUCUUCCCUUUAAUCGUCCCCUCAUCUUGCUCUAAAGAAAUAAUUUUAUUUUUCCUUCUCCUGCCAUUGCCCUUGCCAUGGUAGAAUCUAGUAUACAAUCACCUUGUCUGAUUUCGUUAUCCUUAUAUCUUUGGAGCCAUUUUAACUCUCCUUGUUUUAAAAUUCUCCCUAACUGUUCACUAAGUUUCUUUCAUUCAGUUCUAUCAUGAGUAGUUAAGCCAUUAAUUUAUGCAUUCUUAUCAAUGAAAUCUAACUUGGAUAUGUUUUUUUUUAUUUUUCUAUACCAUGUACCAACAUUUAAGUUUCAGCCCCUAAUCUUCUUCCAAAGAAUUCUCAACCUAUUUUUCCACCUCUGAAUAUUAGAACUUUCAUAAUUAUUGGUCUAAAUUUUGGUGACGAAGUCCUUAAAACCAUCUCUCAGCAUCCAAUAAUUUUUAAAUCUAAAAAUUGGCUUUGAAAUAUUAUGAGACCCAGUCUCAAGAAUGAGAAGGUUGUUUUAGAAACUUCCCUCUCCAAGGCUUGUACCAUAGCUAAGGGGUAAUAUUCCUCCCAUUCAUGACAAAUUCUAUCUAAUUUCUCAAAGGUUGGUUUAGCCAAAUUAUUGCCCAGGUAAAAUUUCUCCCAUUUAGAGGAAAUUUUCUAAGCUCUGCAUGCUCAAUAAUGACAAUAUAAAACUCCAGUGAUCAGUGAUCAGUUUCAUUGGAUUUCUUUUCUCAUAACUUUUCUAAUAAGAUUAAAAUCCCCACCUACCACACAAGAUAAAAUAUUGUCAUGUUAGACCCUAGACAAUUCUGCCAAUAAGCAGUUUUGCCAUCUAAUUGAACAUCACCAUACACAAUAAUAAGAUUUCAAUGAAAUUUAGCUAUUUUAUCAAGAAACAACAGUUUCACAAAGUAUACCCCUACUUCUACUGUAGUCACAUCAAACAAAUCAUUAUUUACUCCAACGAGGUUCACUUCAGAUUUACCUAUUGGAGCGGACUAGUUCCAAAUAAGAUAAAAAAACUCGAAUGUAAAUAUGGAUAUUCCAUUGGAUCUUUAGUUGAUGAUGUAUUUCCUUUUCAUUCAUCCUAUCCAUGUUUUCUUGAACUUUUAGAGAUUUCACUAUACAAACUACAUUCAGAUGUAUAUAGACGGCUUUUAGAGUUUAUGUCCACUCAUUUUGCUCUGCCUGUAGUCUGUAGUGGAACCUUUAANNNNNNNNNNNNNNNNNNNNNNNNNNNNNNNNNNNNNNNNNNNNNNNNNNNNNNNNNNNNNNNNNNNNNNNNNNNNNNNNNNNNNNNNNNNNNNNNNNNNNNNNNNNNNNNNNNNNNNNNNNNNNNNNNNNNNNNNNNNNNNNNNNNNNNNNNNNNNNNNNNNNNNNNNNNNNNNNNNNNNNNNNNNNNNNNNNNNNNNNNNNNNNNNNNNNNNNNNNNNNNNNNNNNNNNNNNNNNNNNNNNNNNNNNNNNNNNNNNNNNNNNNNNNNNNNNNNNACACUUUCGUCAUCUUAGUAGGAUGGGAGCUUUGGAACCAACGGAACGCGCGCGUGUUUAACAGGCUGCAACAGCAGAGGACCCCAAUAGAGCUGGCGGACGACAUCUUUAGAGAAGUGCAACAAUGGAGACUAGCCGGUGUUGGAGUUGGUGGUUUAAUCCAGUUUGUGAGAGAGUAGCCUAGAGUGUUGGGUUUGGGUGUAAUGGGUGUUGGCCGUGCCUAGAUGCUUACAUCUGCCCCGUGCCUAUCUUGUACAUUUUCUCUCCAUCUUCAAUAAAAAUAUGGUACGUCAUUGGCGUACUUUCGAAAAAAAAAAAUACAUGCAGACGUAAAUUUUUCAGAGAGAGAUUAGAUGAUUUAAUAACGAAGGGAGUAGUUCACAACGAAGCCAAAUAUUGAAGCCGUGUUUUUUACCCUAAAUGCCCCAAGUGGUUGUUUGGAUAUCGAGAAUUAUAAAAAGACAAUUAUGCCCUAAAAUGGAGCCGCUGUUGAAACGCUCUAAUGCUAUAUAAACUUGCAUCCGCAAACGUAGCUAGCUGCGUCUCGCUUUAAUGGUGCGACCGGACGACAGCGCGGGACAACGCAGGCGUCCAAGCAUUGUAGCCCAUACCGGACGUUUCUCGGAUAACUAUGGCCGUGCGCACACAUAUGUGUCCAUGCCCACGCACGCUCGCACAUGUCGUACGCCCCUCCGUAGCCCAGAGAAUUACAUGAGGCACGCGCGGUACAGCAUGGCGAGUCCAUGACGUGCAGUCUCCGACCGGCCGCCGAACACCCGAGCAUGGCGAGUGCUAGAACCAUGAUCCUAGCUACUACGUGCCAACCGGACGACAGCGCGGGACAACGCACGAGUCGCCAGCAUUGGCAGCUCAUCCUCACUUCCUCGGACAACCGUGCGCACCCAAUUCGGGGCCCAUGCGAGCUACCACGUGUCGUCCCUCCAGAGGCUUGCAUGCGCGACGCGCGUCGACAGCAGGAACAGGGAGAGGUACACGCGCACCUCCUCGCCGGCUAUAUAAUGGCGACGCCGAUGGCUCCUCCGCCAUCAGCAUCAGGCAAUCACAAAGCAACAACAGCGGUCACAUACCAAAACCUACGUCCGCUUACGGUUUCCGUUUAGCUAGCUCCCAGGCAGCGAUCGAGCGAUGGCUUCCGGUCAGCAGGAGAGGUCGGAGCUGGACCGCAUGGCCCGCGAGGGGGAGACCGUCGUCCCCGGCGGCACCGGUGGGAAAACCCUCGAGGCGCAGGAGCACCUCGCCGACGGUAUGCUUCCUGUACUUGCGUUUCGCUUGAGCGAUCUGUGACUUCUGGUACUCAAUACUGGCGUUGUUGUGACCGCAUUUGUGCAGGGCGCAGCCGCGGUGGGCAGACUCGGAAGGAGCAGCUGGGGGAGGAGGGAUACCGCGAGAUGGGUCACAAGGGCGGGGAGACUCGCAAGGAGCAGCUGGGGGAGGAGGGGUACCGCGAGAUGGGUCACAAGGGCGGGGAGACUCGCAAGGAGCAGCUCGGGGAGGAGGGGUACCGCGAGAUGGGGCACAAGGGCGGGGAGACUCGCAAGGACCAGCUCGGGGAGGAGGGGUACCGCGAGAUGGGGCGCAAGGGCGGGCUGAGCACCAUGCAGGAGUCCGGUGGCGAGCGCGCCGCCAGGGAGGGCAUCGAGAUCGAUGAGUCCAAGUUCAAGACCAAGUCCUAAAUAAUGUAGGUCAGUGUCUAGCUGAGUAGCUAGCUACUAGUGAGCAAGCUGUCUCCUCAUGUUUGUAGUAAUGAAUAAUGUAGGUCAAGGUCAGGUCUUGACAUGACGAGAGAGCACGCAUGUAGGCGAUCACAUGUACUGUGAUCAUGUGUGCUUUAGGUGUCUUAGCUUGUAGCGGUGACCAUGUGUUCUUCAGGUGUCCUAGUACUUCCUCUGUUCCGAAAUGUAAGUCGUUUAAGGGUUUGACGUGUAAAUUUCGUAACGCUACGAGAAUUUUUCACUUUCCAGAAAUGCCCUCCCACCACCGCUCGCUCUCACCCACUCAAGCUCACUCUCUCGUUCCCCUCUCACCCACCCGGCCACCCCUCUCUCGCUCCCCUCCAGAUCCCCGUCGUCGCCGGCCUCUCCUCGCCAUCGUCACCGCUAAGCCACCCCGCUUCCUCUCUUUCUCCGCACCAUCGAGCCACCCCGUUUCCUCCCACCGCCAGAAAUCCACCACCCGUAGGUCAAAAGCUUGAUUUUUUAGGCGCCGGCGAUGAGCUUCUGGCCGGCGGAGGCGCUGGAUCCGCGUGCUUCGACGCCGGCGACGAAGCGACAUGGAUCCGGGCGGGAUGCUGCUGGAGGACUUCGGGCUGUGGGUGGACCUGGUGCGGCGCAUCCGCGAGGUGCUGGCCAACUACCCGGAGGGCACCACCGCGCUGCGGGACGCCGGGAGCUCAUCCAGAACGCCGACGAUGCCGGGGCCUCGUGCGUCCGCCUCUGCCUCGACCGCCGCGCCCAUGGGUCCCGCUCGCUGCUCGCCCCCGCGCUUGCGCAGUGUACGCCAGCAACGACGCCGCCUUCACCGACGAAGAGUUCGCCAGCAUCCCCCGCAUCGGCGGCCGCAAGAAGUCCUCCCAGGCCUGGAAGACCGGCAGCAAGAUGGGCGCUAGCUACACUCUCUAUCGCUGCUGAGCUCUGCUUCGAGCUGCUGCUCUUUCAAUUUGAGCUGCGCUAGCUAAGCUCUUUCAAUCUGAACCAGUACGUGUUCAUUUUCUACUCGUACGAAUGUUGCUGCUGUUUUGUGUUGUCACCUACGAAUGCUGCUGCUAAUUUGAGUUCUACUGUUAAUUUGAGAACAAUAUGCUUAGCAAGGACCCACUGUUAAUUUGGAGUAGCAACUGUACUCCAUUGAAGUACUGUUACUGUUAAUUUGCAAACUGAAUUUGGAGUAGCAGCAUACUGAAUUUUGUAUACUGAAUUUGGAGUAGCAAUUUGGAGUAUGAAGCAGCUGUAUGGAUUACUGUUAAUUUUGCAUACUGAAUUUGAGUAAAAUGGAGUAGCUCUGUCACUGAAUUUGGUUGGUAAAGAUGCAGUAGCAGUAGGAGUUUUUACUGCACCUAACUAAGGUAGCUGCUGGGGUUAAUUAGUUACCGCGCCUAAUUAAUUAUCAUGUGUAAUCUGAACUGGUGUGUGUACCAAGUGAUGAUGGUUCUUAAGUUUAGCAUGCAUCACCAAGUUAAUUGGGCGCCUAAUUGCCAACUCUUUUGUGUCAGGAACAUAUAUUCAUAAUGGAAUAAAAACAACUUGCCAAGUUCUUUUGUGACUGGAACAUAUUCAGAAUGGAAUAAAAACAACUUGCCAAGUUCUUUUGUGACUGGAACAUAUUCAGAAUUUAUUUCUUCUCCAGUUCAGUUGCUUAAUUUUCUUGGAGUACAUUUGCUUAAUUUGCUUGGAGUACAUUUAACUUGGAGUACUUCAAUACUCCAAGAUUUGCUUAAUUUGUGAACAGGAGUAGUUUUCAGAAUGGAAUGAAAACUAAUGGCAGUACAUUUGCUUAAUUUGCUUUGAGUACAUUUAACUUGGAGUCCUCUCGUACUCCAAGAUUUGCUACUCAAACAAAUUUUGAGUACUUGCACUUGCACACAACACUACUCAGCAAUUUUCAAUUAAUUUUCUUGGAUUACUCCAUCUUGCUCUGUUAGGUUAUCUUGCAUUUUCUGUUAAUUACUCCAUCUUGGAUACUUGGAGCACUGAUGAUGAUUGCUGCUGUUAUGUUAGGACUUGCAAGCAGUAGUUUUAGUACUUUAGUGUAGGACUUGCAACAAGAGGAGAGCUACUGUAGUAUACUCCUCUUGUGCCCUCCAUAUUCUUGAUCUCUUCUUUUCUCUUCUCUCUUCUACAGUAAAUAUGAGCCCUACAAUAAUAUGAUUUGUGACCUUGAAUGUUUUUUUCCAUCAGAUUGUUUUAAAGAAGGGCUAAUGAAAAAAGAUGUGUGAGGGUAUCAGUCAUUCUCAUGCCGGCAUGCUGCACUUUUCAGCUAGCAGGUUGGUAUCUCAACAUUUCUCCAUUCAAGUCAUUUCCCAUAGUGUUUUUUCGAAGCACUAACUGCAGAUUUGCAUACUAAGAAUGGCUGGAGUAUUUUAUUUACAUCAAAUUAUGUCAAACAGUUUAGAUUGUUCAGUCAUACCAUAGUGUUUAAAAUUUUGGACAUUCUGAAGAUUCAAAUAAAAAUAGACAUGUGCACAGUUUACUUGAUCAUGUCAAGUUACAGGUGAAAGUGACCCUCUUAUGGGAAUAAUGAAGUACAGAAAUGAGAUCGAGUUCAAAGUAAGGCUGGGGUAAAAUUUUCAAAGGCCAUGAUGUACUCCUUCCUGAUAUUCAUGCUCCUGAUAUUCCUACUCCUAUUCCUACUCAAUUUUACCUUAAAUGAGAGUAGCAAUUAUUUCUGCCCGUUAAUUCAUACUCCUACUGAUUUGGAGUACUGAUGAAACUAAGUCCAAACCUGUUCUAAAUUGACAGUACUUGUUCAUCUUUUCUAUUGACAGUACCGGUCCAAACCUGUUCUAAAUUGACAGUACUUGUUCAUCUUUUCUAUUGACAGUACCGGUCCAAACCUGUAUUGAUAGUACAUGUUCUACUCAGUGUUCAUCUUUCACUGUUCAGUUUCAGUGUUAAAUUUCAGUAUUACUCCAAGAUUGUACUGCAUGCAAUUAUUCAAGACAAAUGAUUACAACAAGUUUAUGAUCAUCAAAUUGUUUACUCAGAUGCAGAGCGAGUACUGGGCGAGGAGAUGAACCUAGGCGAGCAAAAUUGAGAACUCCGGCUGGAGCAGCUCCUGUCCAGCGGCGAGGACUUCAGCGGCAGCAGCACCUGUGCGUGGGGAGGAACAACACCUGGGCGCGUGCAGGCGGCAGCUCGCCUCCAACAGUGGGCGGCAGCAGAGCACCAGCUCGCCACCACCAGGGGCCGGCAGCAGAGCACCAGCUCGCCUCCACCAGCGGGCGGCAGCAGAGCACCACCUGGGCACGCGCGGGCCAGGAGGGGCCCCUGGGCGUGGGAGAGGAGGAGCGCCUGGGCAGGGGUGGAGGUGGAGGGCGGGGGAGGAGGCGGAGGUGGAAGGCAGGGAUGGAGGCGGAGGUGGAAGACGCCGAGGAAGAAGACGGGCUGAUUCAAAGUUUGAACUGGGGGCAUAAAGGUCCAUUUGCCCAUUUUCACCUGGUCGGAACAUAUUCCCCAGCGACUUACAUUUCGGAACGGAGGGAGUAGCUUGUAGUACGUCUCGUUGUGGCUUGUGAGUCAGCUUGCUAAUGUAUGUGAGUCGUCGUUAAAUCAGGUUGUGGCUUGUGAGUCAGCUUGCUAAUGUAUGUGAGUCGUUAAAUCAGGUCGUUGUUGAAUCAGAACGUGUGCUCUUAAAUUGUUCUCUUGGACUGGCUAGAGAGGAACAACUCCCGACCGUACUGGCCCAUGAACAACUCCAGGUAGGCGGCCUCAUCAAUUCCUGCGGUCCACUAGUCUGGUGUUGCUUCCCAUGGCCGUCCUCAAGGAAAGGGGCCUUGUUGUGGAAUCCAUCGGAUCUGAAUUCGCCCCUUCCCGUUCCAGGCCUAGUUGCAGGGUCUUUCCUCACGUCACGAGGGAGGCAGGGAGCUCAGUUGCACGGGUGAGGAUGAGGGCCUCGGGUGCAUGUGCCACAUUGGUCGGUGCAUGACUAGUUGAUGUUGGUGUCGAUUAGGGUUUAGGGCCAUGAAUGACAUCUAGUUAAGUAUUGCAAGAAAAUAUAGCAGGGUCAUGUGACUAUUUAAAAAAAAUCUAAGUAUAAUCUCUUAUCCAUUAUCUCAGGAAACAAUUUAUUUUUUUGUAAAUUUGCCAUGUGCUGACUGCAAACAUUUUCAAAAUUUGCCAUGCUAUAGAGAAACAUUUUCCCUUAAUUUGCCAUGUGAUUAUUGGAAAAAAAAUCUGAAUCGUUGCCAUGAUUUUAGGAAACGUAAAUUUUCAAAAAUAGCCAUGUGAUCAGUAUAAACAUUUUAAACUUUACCAUGUUCGAGAGAACAAAAUCUCUUAAAUUUACCAUGUGAUUAUCUUACAUUUUUUUCUAAAUCGUGCCAUGAUUUGGGAAUCAAAAUUAUCUCAUUUCACCAUGCGAUUAUCUAGUUUUUUUUUCUAAAUCUUGCCAUGAUUUGGGAAUCAAAAAUUAUCUCAAUUCGCCACGUGAUCACUGCAAACCUUUCCAAGUUGACUAAUCUUUUCAACAAAAUUUUAAUGUGACCAUGGCAACUCAUUCGUUUGUUUCCAUUUUCCCCCUACAUUGUGGAACUUGUUUGUGUGCGAGCUUUUAUACACAUGCAUUCUUCAACUUGUAGUGUCUUUUCUCCUAGAUCAUGAUACACUUUUGUUUUUAUGUGACAGCUUUAUACAUAUGUGAAGGAACUGUUUAACAUGGUAAAUUUAUGCUCUAUCAUGGCUCUCGAAUGUGUUUUGUAUAUACUUUGUCAUGUCAUAAUAGUAACUGUUGAUUUCAUUAAAUAAUGGGUCUAAGUAACUCUUACAGAAAGGCAUCACGCCUUGCUUUAUCCCACGAGAAUACGACCAAUCCAAAACCAGAUGUUCACAAACAUACAACAAUGUUCGAAAUAAAAAGUACUACCUACCUUCCUAAAUAUAACUUUUUAGAGACUUCAGUGUGCACCAUAUAAGAAGCAAAAUGAGCGAUCUACACUUUAAAAUAUGUCUAUAUAUAUUAGUAUGUAGUUUUUAUUAAAAUCUUUAAAAAGACUUAUAAUUAAAAUAUAUCUAUAUACAUCAGCAUGUAGUUUUAUUGAAAUUUUUAAAAGGACUUAUAUUUAGAAACGGAAGAAGUACAGAAAAUACGUGCUUGGGGCACAACAAAACAAGCCCACAAUUGCUAACAUAACUAUCAAGCAGAAUAAGUGACCACAGGCAUCCGGGACGCCAACUCGGAUCCGGUGCCUUGACACACAAAAGGCACAUGUGAAUAGCGAAACUACUAUGCAGACGAAAGUCCCUGCACGAUCAGGGAACGACAGCCAAAUCCAGCCGUCUACUUCAUUUCAGUGCUGUGCAUGGACGAGCUGAUUUGCAUUGUCGUUCACAUAUCGUCCACAGCCCAUCGUGUGUAUAGCAGCGCUGUGUGAAUAGUGCAAUGCCUUGAGCUUUCAGCCGCUAGAUCGGAAAUCAAGGUUCCAGAUUUCAGUGAACAGUACUCCGCGCUACAAUGUGUUAGUCAUGUAGCGAUUGUCCUGUAGCAGACUUCCUGUAGCGAUGCACUGUAGCAGACUUCUCGAUGUUCAUCGGACCGUUGCUUGUAGAUCCAACGGUCAGGAGAUGCCCUCAAGGCACAAUACUGUUCAUCCGUGCCUUGUGUGUGUCAAGGCACCGGAUCUCAGUCCGACUCCUCGUGCUUCCUGGCCAGGUUGUCGAUAGCGCCUUAUCCCGCCAUUCUCUUAGGGUCUCAAUAACUCUUAUCUCUUACAUUCCACGUGAAAAGGGAAGAUAAAAGGGAUCAUGUUAAAAUUAACUGUGUUUUGUAUAUAAUUAAUCAUGUCAUAAUAGUAAUUUUAAUUUUUUUUAAUCUAGUUGUCAUGAUAUUGUGAUUUUCAGAUUUUUGAAAAAAAAUACAAUGAUUUUUACAUCAGUUCUUUUAUUGGUCAACUACAGUGACAUUUGGUCCAACGGGUUGGGCAUCUCCUCUCUGUUUCGGUCGUGCAGAAUGGCCUGCAGAGAACAUCAUCAUUCUCUCAUUCCAUGCUACCUGAGGGAACAAUCGUCCCUCGGGAACCUCCUAAGGUAACGUUCACCAUAUUAGCGUCCAAAAAAUGGAUAUGGAGUUUUUGUACCUGAGAUAAGAAAAAAUAGUAAAAGAAUUUGAAAAUUCCAAUUUUUCUCCUAAACAUGCAUGUUUCAACUGCAUUUGUCAUUUCAUCACAAAAGUUUACAUGCAGUUGAAAUAUUCAUCAAUGUUCAUAAAAAAUAGAUUUUUAAAAUUUUUUUACCAUUUUCUAAAAUUUUACUGUUCAUAAGGGAGCACGUGAGAUCGGAAUUAAAAGAACAUUUGGCCAUAAAAACAAAGAAAAUGUACUAUAAUGCUUGCCUUUGGCAAGAAUAUAAACAGAAAUGCACCAGAGUGAACAAGCGCCGCUCUAGAAAUUCCAAACUGCCGGAUGCUGUAUACGGAGUCCGUAGCACGGCAAGGGCUAGUCCAUGCAUGCCUGGUCUCCGACCGGCCGCCAAACGAGAGCUGGCAUGGCCAGGAGUGCUCCACGACGCGGACAUACGUGACGUGGCGGAACAACGACAACGCAGGACAGCUCAGGUGUCCUAGCUCGUACUAGCUCAUUCCGGUCACUUCCUCGGAUAACCAUGCCCUACGCCCGUGCGCAGGCGUAUGCCCAUGCACGCUCGCACGCGUCGCGCCACAGGGGACUCGCAUGGCGCGCGUCGACACAUCAGAGGCACACGCGCCGGCGCUCCGCGCCGUGACGCGCCUCCUCCGCCGCUAUAAAAGGGGCGACGCCGGUGCCUCCUCCUUCAUCAGCAUCAGGCAAUCACGAACACCACCUUACAAGCAGUGACACAACGUUUCCCAGUUGAGGUUGUAGUAGCAAGGCAGGCAGAGAGAGCAAUGGCUUCCGGUCAGCAGGAGAGGUCGCAGCUGGACCGCAAGGCCCGCGAGGGCGAGACCGUCGUCCCCGGUGGCACCGGCGGCAAGUCCCUCGAGGCGCAGGAGAACCUCGCCGAAGGUGCGUACGGGCAUGAUGAUGCAUGCGUGAGAAAUGUCGUCGUACUAUACUUGAGCGAUCUGUGACUUCCGAUGCUGAUUGCUAGUAUUGCUGUGUGCUGUAUUUGUGCAGGGCGCAGCCGUGGCGGGCAGACUCGCAGGGAGCAGAUGGGGGAGGAGGGGUACAGCCAGAUGGGGCGCAAGGGCGGGCUGAGCACCAACGACGAGUCCGGCGGCGACCGCGCCGCCAGGGAGGGCAUCGACAUCGACGAGUCCAAGUUCAAGACCAAGUCCUAGAUGAUCUGUUACCCUAGCAAGCAAGACGAAUCUCCUUAGGUCGGCUGUUGGUUUGCCCUAGUGUCUACGUACCGAAUAAUGUAGUUCAGGCGCACGUAGGCGAUCGUACGUAGUAUGAUCAUGUGUGCUUCGUAGCUGGUAGUCUGUAGCUACUCUACGGUGAGUAGCGUCAGGUUAAGUCGGAAGCGUACUGUGGCUUGGUCAGGUGGCUGGUCUGCCUCUGGGCCCAGGAGUGUCGCAGUGUCCACUGUAUCCUUGCUUCUUCAGUAAUGCAUGUCGUCUUGCUCAAAUCUGGAGCCUUGUCUGAUUUGUGUUGAUUGCUGGUGCUUUUGGGGGCAUACCCUUGUUGCUCGUAGCCGUCACCGGCUCGUCUCAACGAGAAACACACGGGUGCCCCAUGAGCAGUCACUGUGACCGCCAAACCAUGAAUGAACGUGUACCUUCAUGGCUUUGCUCAGCACCUGCGUCUAUACAUUUGCCACGAAAGAUGAGAUACCAGAGCAGAUCGAUCGAUCUCGCGGACAUGUCCCAGAAACGGGGAGCUCUUGAUUACGUCCGGGAGUUCGGCAAUGCACGCGUGGACGAGACUGAAAGGGCCUUCCGUAAGAGAUGCCGCAUGCACUAUAUAAUUGAAGCAUCUCAUUAGUACUCGAAAUGGAGACUCUUGACUCAUCAUAAAAUACACCGUACGUGCUUGUAAGUUGUAACAAAGCAUUCACAAGGACACAUAUUUUUGGAAUUUUCGGAACUAGAGUCCACAUGUAUCCCUUAUGAAUAGUAAAAAAGAAUCAAGCCGUAAUGAAAAAAAAUAACAAAUGGCCUGUGAAGUUCCUUAACUUAGAUGAUAUUUGUUGUGGGAAUUGGUUGUAAUAUAUUUUAUAUGAGAUUUGGUUGUAUAAAGCAUGAGUAGUUUUGAUUUAUAAAUGACUAAAACCGAAUAUAUAUAUGGUAUUUGGUUAUUAUAUAAUUACAAAUUAUUUAUUGGACUUUUUUUUAACAUCAGUAAGUAGCAUAAUAUAGUGUGCUUUCUUUUAACAUCAAUACAGACGCAAGAGCUCAUACAUACGCGCAUACACUCACCCCCUAUGAACACACACAUCCUACCCUUACGAGCAUUUCCGGAGACUGAGCCGACAUAUCAUCAUGAGAUUUACAAAGUCAUCGUGGGCCCUUCGUCGUCGACGGGAACGUUUCCUCCCACUGAAAGCGCAUCACCGAAAGUCCUGAAAUAAAUCCAGAAAUAAUGCGAGCACCAGGACUUGAACCCUGGUGGACUGGGGUUACCGCCAAUCAACCACAUGUUGGUUCACAUAUAAUGGUUUUUUUUUGCCAUGGCAUGUGUGUAUAUUGAGAAAAAUAAAGUAGUGAGGAUCAACACUUAACUAGAGGUGUUGCUACAAAGGAAUUGUGCCCCUAAUACCUUAUUUUCCCCAAAAACAUCACAUAUAUGAGUAGAACAGUCGACCAGUUUUAUUAUGAAAAGGUUGUGUAUUAAUUAACCUGCCUCAAGAUUAUCCAGUGCACAUAGUUUUACAAUUCUUCCAGAACCAGACCGGAACCAGACGGCCGUCUUAAUCUCAACUCUCCCAAUCUAAGCUAAUUCAUGACUAACACGAUUACUCUCCCUUUUGAUAGCCUGGAUUUUAAUCUCCCGCUCCCCUCUCAUCAUAGUUGAGAUCUCUUGAGUAAUGGCAGUGUGUUGUGAUCUGUCAACCGAGGGGUUGGAUAUCAUCACAGCAACUUUAGCACUAUCCAUUUCAAAGGUGAACGGAAGUGAGCUCCAUUCCAAAGCAAGAGCAAUACCCUCCUUGCAGCCUCGAGUUCUGUAGCUAGAGCAUUACCACAUGUGAAGAGAUGUCGAAACGAGUUGAAAAUAAUGCUACAAGAGCUGUCCUGGAGCACCAUUCCCGUGCUCCCAUUGCCUGCAUGUGCUAUGUUUGAACCAUCCACGUUUAGUGUGAGCAACCCGGGCUUAGGCGCUCUCCAGCCCUUACUCGGACGCAGCACUUCGUGGCGCCCGGUGUGUUGUUAUGGCCGCUAGCAGCCAGUGCAUCCCUGUUGUUGCCUUCUCCCAACUCGCCAUGGCUGCUGCCGGCCGUCGUAUGUAACAUCGGGCUCAUCAAGACCAUUUUACCUUUUUCUCGGUCUGCUGUGGUCAUCAAGAGAGCCAUGCAAGAUGUGUCCAAGAGCAGCUCAAGCACGUCAAAGAGCCAUCCGGGCCUGUGUGCCGCACCGGCUUGAUGUCCCGGAGCGUCCAGUCUUUAGUCAUCGCCCUCCAAAGCUCGACUGCACGAGGGCACCUGCACAUUGCGUGAAAUCCAUCCUCGCAUUCCAGACCACACAUGAGGCAUAUGUCAGUGGUUUUCAAAUGACGGUAGAAUUUAUUUGCCCACUCUUGCAAGAUAAUUUGUCACAAGCCGCCAAGCAAACAGCGUAUCUUUGGGGGACCAGAUGGCGCGUCAACCAUCCGGUGCCAGGGCAAUAACUAGCAGGCCAAAGAUGAAGACAAACAAUAGCGUGGAGUACAGACUAGCUGGCGUGGCUACUAGACGGCCCAUCGUCAAAAUGAUGAUUGAACACCACUUCAUGUCCAAGGGGAAAACUCCUAUUCUGGCCCUCAUUCAUUGGUUAGGCUUAGCAGCGAUGAACUUGCGUCAUUACCUUGUCGAAGGUGCUGUCUCCUUGCCAUUGUGCUGGCCUUCGGUGGUUAGUUUUGACAAUUGGAAUGAAAAUCCUAGUCUUGGUUGUCUUCGACCGGACGUGAUCAUGGCGAUGUGAGAGCACUUAUUCCUCGAAAGAAGUCGGAUUAGUCGUAGAUGUUUAUUUCAUACAUUUUAUAAUGACUAAGCCGUGUUUAUCUUUCUCUAACUCUGCUUAAUACUCCCUCCGUCCAGAAUUACUUGUCAUUAAAAUGAAUGUAUUUAAAACUGAAAUACAUCUAGAUACACCCAUUUCAAUGACAAGUAUUUUCGGACGAAGGGAGUAACUAAUAAGAAUAAUUAUGUGCAUUACGAUGAUGCAGAGGCCAAGAGUUUAACCUUCUUUUUGUUUGAAAAAAAUAGCAAUGGAACGCUCGAUCCAUGCCCUGGUUCCUACGACCGGACGACGACGAACGCACGUACGGGAGUGACAAGUACGGUAGUACUACGAUCUACGCGCCAACAGGACGACAGUGCCAAGACAACGCAGGUGUUGUACGUAGGCUCCUACAGCUCUCUAGCUCAUUCCGGUGGCUGCCUCGGAUAAGCACGCUCGGACGUGUCAUCCGCCCGGUGCCUCGCCUAACGCGUGUCGAUGCGUCAGGGACAGCAAGAGGAGCGGCUUGCGUCCGCGUCGUCGCACACGCCCCGUCUCCUGGCCGCGCGGCGCGCCUCCUCUCCGGCUAUAAAACUGCGACGUCGCUACCUCCUCCAUCACCAGCACCAAACAAGCAACCACAAGCACCGCACAAGCUGAAGCAGUAGAGCGCACACGUUCCCUUCCAGUUGAGGUCCGAAGUAGCGAGGCAGAAAGAGAGCGAGCGAAGAGCGAUGGCCUCCGGUCAGCAGGAGAGGUCGCAGCUGGACCGCAAGGCCCGCGAGGGCGAGACCGUCGUCCCCGGCGGCACCGGCGGCACCAACCUGCAGGCGCAGGAGAACCUCGCCGAAGGUACGUAACAGCGCACGUCGACCUUAUGUGUCGGUGAUGGUGAUGGCGGCUUCGGCUACUCAUUUCAUGUCAUGUCUACGGUGUUGGCAGGGCGCAGCCGCGGCGGGCAGACGCGCAAGGAGCAGAUGGGGGAGGAAGAGCACCAACGACGAGUCCGGCGGCGAGCGCGCCGCCAGGGAGGGCAUCGACGUCGACGAGUCCAAGUUCAAGACCAAGUCCUAGAUGUUCACUCAGCGCGUGCGAUAGCUUAGCAAGCAAGACGACUGCUUAGCUAGUUGGUUUACCUUGCCGGAUGAAUAAUGUAGGUCAGGAAUCCUGACGUGUGCACGCAUGUAGGAGAUCGUACGUACUAGUAUGAUCACGUGUGCUUGGUAGUCGCUGCUAGUCCGUAGGUACUGAUGGUCAGUAGUCAUGUGUCCGUGUCGGUCGGGAGUGUGGUGGUGGCUCCGGUGGCUUGUCCGGCCUCUCUUCCCAAACCAGCUCCCGCUGUAUCCUUGUAUUUCCAGUAAUGUAAGUCGUCGUUGCUGAAAUCUGAACCUUGGUAGUUCGCUACUUCUAAGAGCAUCUCCAACAGUCGCACAAUGCGCGGCGCCCAAAAAUUGGGUUUACAGCGCGCAGGUAUCUUUUUUAGGCGUUAGAAGAUGGUUGCUCCAACAAGCGCAGCAAAAUAUGCUGCGCGCGUGAGUCCAGCGGUCCCAAUCAAACGGUCGAGUCCAGCGGUCCCAUCUGCAUCAGCCCAGAGUUUGCAGCCUAGGCGCACUAAAUAUGUUGCGUGCGAUACCUUUUUAAUGCACGCGCUGCAUUAGUUAUAGCGCGUGAUUUUUGUGUGGCUGCUGGAGACGUGUGGCUGCUGGAGACUUCAAAUCAGGUCCGUGCGCGCUAAAAGCAGUUUUUAUAACGUGUGUCCCUUAUAGCGCUCGCUUCUGUUGAAGAUACUCUAAGAACCCUUAUGAAUUUGCUAGUCUAUAAGGUAAAUAUCCGAAUUUUUGUCGAAAGAGACCAUCUGCCCAACGAAAUUGCCAAAAAAGACCCCUUUCGGAUGCAAUUAACAAAAAAGACCCUUGACCGUGGCGGCAGGCGCGUCGGGCCAGAACGGAAAUCCGCACCCGCGAUGGAACGGGGCUGGCGCUGUGAGCCCUGCCGCCUCAGGGGCAGGCGGCAGCACUGUAGCUGCUGGGCCCGGCCGCCUGAGGGGCAGGCGGCAGCCGUGUGCACGCCGCUUUGGUGUAUUGCCUGAUUAUGUGCGUUGGAGCAUGCCACUUUGGUGUAUUGCCUGAUUAUGUGCGUUGGAGCAACAGCGGCACGGCCAGCUCCAGAAUAAUCGCUCGCAGCGGCAAACAACAUGUGACGGUCCAGCGUGGAGCCCUUGGGCUACGCAUAUGAGGAACACACGGUAACUGAGUGGGUUCAUCUCGCCAUAAUCAAGACGUAGCAUGGUGUUCAGUUCAUCUGGCCAUCAUUCGUGUGAUUAUUUUUUUUAACAAUUUGUGUGAUUAAUUGAGUAGACGUGUGAUUGUUGCAUAGACGCCCUGGCUCAGCGACCCGUUCGACCCCUUUGCCCGAGAUAAGUCUGCUGCCUGGCAGGUGGCAGGGCCCAACAGCUACAGCGCUGCUGCCUGCAGCGCCAGCCCCGCUCCAUCGCGGGUGCGGAUUCCCGUUCUGGCCAGCCUGCCGCCUGACCGGUGGCGGCAGGGGCUGCCGCCUCCACCGUGGCGGCAGGUGCCACAUGUCGCCCGGCGCGCCUGCCGCCACGGUCAAGGAGGUCUUUUUUGUUAAUUUCAUCCGAAAAGGGUCUUUUUUGGCAACUUCGUUGGGAAAAUGGUCUCUUUUGACAAAAAAUCGUAAAUAUCCAGCCCACUAAAUGCUAGUCUUAACGAGGAUAAAGUCCUCCAAAAAACUUCUUUCCUUCUAUGAACUUUUAAGGUGUGUGAAUUUUAUUUAUUUAUUUUGCGGGAUGCAAUUUUAUUUUUAUUUUUUUAUUUUUUUUGCGGGAUGCAAAGUGUUCCCAGUUGUUGAUUGUAACUUCCAACCCGCUCAUUUAAACGAGAACUCGACGUGCCGCAUUACUAGCCACCGAACUAGCCAAUGCCACCAGUUCCUUCUACAGGGCUAACUGUACAUUUGACCAAACUGAUGAACAAGAAAAACGCACGAGCUCUGGCCGCAAGAGAGUCGGGUACCACAAGCUUCAUAUACUGGUAUAUUCCUGAAAAGUUUUAUCAGCAGGCCUUCAGCUUGACAGGAAAUGCAUACUGAAGAUGGGGUGUGGGCAUGCAGGAGGCAGUGUUCUAGCAGUUGCAGCGGAUAAGGACAGCACUUGAACGCCUAGGCCUAGACAUUCAUAACGGGCAUAUUGCUGCAAGUACAAGACAUAUUAUGCAGCCCCGUUUUCCAGCACAAGACGACCGUAUAUUAUGCAGCCAUUUUUUUUUCAAUUUUCUCAUGAAUGAUGCUCCUCUCGAACGGAAGGAGAGGCUUUAUGGAAAUGCACUUUCCAGGAGAAACAAUCUGAAUCAUAAACCGUAAUAGGAGAAACAAUCUGAUCAUUAACCGUAAUAACGUACCGUAUCAUCCAAAAUUACGUUGUACAGCCAACUGAUAGCAUCACAAACAACCUGACACUGUGCACCUACGGUCUACGCGCACUAGAGGCACGGCGGCUGAAGGGGAAGGAAGAGCCACCACCUAACGUUUCCAUCUUCAGCAUUCAGGGAGGCCUUCUUGACGUUGCUGCUGCAGAUUUAUUCCACUAUCUGUGUUGUACAAAAUGCCCCCUCAUCCAAAACAUCCAGCUUGAUUUGAGGUCCGUCCUUCCGUCAGUGGCUGGUCGCCAGGGCAGUAACCAGCAGGCCGAAGACGAAGAACGGUUGCGCACUCGCCUGCAUUGGGCACGAUAAGAUGCCGGAUGCUCGCAGUUUUGGGGGAGGCCGUGGAUGCUGAUUGGAGAGAAAGAAAGAGAAAUGCAUGGGAGAGACAGCGACCGCACCUGGUAUUUGACGUCGUACUUCACGGGGUCCUUCAGGAAGUACUGGAACUGCUCCAUGAAAUCAAGGAUUAGAAUGUACACAGCGUACAUGGCAACAGUCGGUGUUUUCAUUUCAUGUUUAUUACUCUCUCCGUUCACGAAUAUAACAUGUUUUGGAUAUUUCAAUAUGGACUACAUACGGUCUGAAAUGAGUGAACAAACACAAUAACAUGUCUACAUACAUCCGAUUCAGAAAAAAGUUUGAACAUCUUAUAUUUGUGAACGGAGGGAGUAAUAUAGGAGCUAAAGGACAGUCUGACAAGCCUUGCAGAUAGAGCAAUUGUGUAUAAUAUAAUAUAAGUCAUCUAAAUGAUUUUCACUUAUUUCAUUUGAUCGCGAAUAGGAAAUUCUGGGGGAGUGAGAACAUUUGAAAUACAAAACGAGAAAUAAUUAUAUCCAAGGUCCAAAAAGAUUGGUCAGCUCACCUGUAAGAUCACCUGGGGAAUUGUCAAUCCAACUAGUGCCAGGGCAUAAUACAGCUUACCCGUGCUCAGGAGGUACGCUGAAAAUAGAGUUACAAGAUUAGGGCAAGUUCCCAACAUAAAUUCAGGAUAGAUAGAUAGACAAAUAGUAGAUACCGAAUGAACGUAAGUUUCCUGUGCUCCCUAAUUUAUACCGGCAGAUUGUUGUACAUAUCAAUAUGGACUAUUUUCUGUUUUUGCAGAACGUAAGCUUUGGGUGUAGUUUGCCGGCAUCUGAAACUUUCUGGUAAUACUGAACAUUUCUUUUCUUCACUAAACACAUCUUCUGUCGUUAUAACUAACACCAACUGCCUUCCAAGGAUCCAUGAAAGCUUCCAUCAUUAGGUUGAAAAGUUGUAGUAUGAUCUAUUCGCUUUUCGACAAAAAGUAUGAUCUAUUUUCACAGCUGGCCCAUGACAUUAUGGUAUGGUAAGUAGUCGCAUAAAUCCAUGAACUACUCUAUUAUAUGUUUUUUUGUCAAGUUUGGGUUGCAAACCAUGCGUUCUACGUGGUCACUCAAUUAUAUGUUAAGCAAAUGGCUUAGUAGUAAGCCUUGAAGGAAGAAAGAAAUGAAAAUUUUGUAUCUUUACCUGCAACAGAUAAUUGAGUGAUGUCAAUUGCUCCAACACAUAUCCAUUUUGCAGUUUCCAUACCGAAGGCAACAGGGAGUGACUACAAAAAGGUAAAAUGAUAAACAGAUAUGCUUUGACAAUAAACCUACAAUACAGAAAAAAAGAAUAAUAACCUGAAGUCCCAGAGUUCUAUCCCCCUCGAUACUCUUAAAAUCAUUUACGAUAGCGAUCCCUAGCUGCAAAGCCAGGAAAAACAGUCAGCAAUCAUGAUGGUAUACAGGAUUGCAAACAAGCAAACAGAUCAUGAAAUAUAAAUACCCCAGCUAUGGAGUACAAAGUAGUUAGGACAACAAUGUCAGGAGUAAGAGUUCCAAAUAACGCCUGGCCAGCCCACCUGCACAAAAGAUAUAAGGAUUUUACGGUACCUUAGUAGAGUAACUCUGGUCCUUGAAUCCUAAUAUGGAAUUACCUUCCCUAUUAUUCCUCAAGGUAUUUUAUACAUUUUAACACAAACUAAUUAAGUCCCAACAGAAUUCACUAAUUCCCACCCGACAGCUCCGCACUGAGCUUCAGGCCACACCUGUACUUCUGAUGGGAAGUGGAAGUGGCGUCUGUGUUGGAGCCAAGCAAAUUGGCUCCUGCCCAAACCGCGUGGUAAGAUAAAUGUGAUUCAAUAACUUCGGCAAUCAAUCACCAAACUACCAAGUGCGAACUGGUUACGAACUUGCAAUUCCUCAGUCAUGGGCUAGGGUUCUGAUGUUUGGAAAGUGAGUUAUUUUUUCUUGAAAAGAGGAAAGUGACAGUUGUGAUGGGACUGAAUGCAAUAUGUUACCACUAACGAAAAUACAAUCCCUUCUACUUGGUAUUGUAGUGUGAUAAAAUCCAAACUAAUUUGUCCGUUACAUUGAAAAUGACAAAAGAGCGGGAAAAAAAGAUGCAUCUUCUUGUAUAUAGUAUAGGUGACAUCCAACAGAACAUUAUCCUCUUAUUCAACAUGAAAAAAAAGAUUCACAGCUUUGAUCCUACCAGGGCAAGCCAAUGUAACUCGCACCGAGAGCAAAGUUUCCUAUCCAUCCAUUCUGCUUGAGCUGAAAUGAGGAAUAAUAAGACAUAGACAUUUUUAUCAAAGAGUUCACAACACAGUGUACUAUGCUAAAAACAAGAUGCAGAGUGCAUAGAACACAAGUACUCAAGUACCUUGAGAGGCGGUGCUGAAUAUAUGUAAGAAAGCAAGGACCCACCCAGAGCAAGGUAGAAAAUAAUAGGAAAAUCAUGCCCUGCCUGAAAUGGAACUAGAGAAUAAGCAAAGAAGGAAUGUAUCUUCAACCUCUUAUUAUACUAAAGUAAGUCUUGUUGUGACUUGUGACUUACCCAUAUGUCUAACAAAGCACCCAACCCAAGACCUGCUAACAGUAAUACCCAGAUCUGAGUAAUUACCUGGAUCAAAUCAACAUCAUUAGUAAGACAUGUCAAUUCUCACUGGACAUUUGACAUCAGCCUUUAGAAUAAGAUCGGACGAUCGGAAGCUCAUCAUUAUUAAUUAGCCAAUUUUGUUUGAAACAUUCUACAAAAGACUGUAGCAAUACAUACUCUUCAUCAUCCCAUAAGAAAACAAAUCCGAAAAUGGGGUUUCAAACAGUAAAGCACAACAACUUCAAGCAAAGUAUCACAUUAAUCAACUCGCCAUCUAGAUAAUGUCUAUAAUAUUCAAGCUAUAAUAUAAGUGAAACACAUGUUAAGCUUCAUGCACUAGUCAAUGCAACCAAAAGUCCGAACUGAUGGAAAGGGCUAGGCAAUCCACAUAUACACUUCAACACCCCCUCUCACGUGUGACGCGGGAAGUCAACACAUGAAUAGACUCAGAGGUAUGGCUCAAGAGGGCUAUGCGUGGACACAGAGGAGGCAAGAACAUUUUUUUGAUAAAUUGCGAAAGCCGGACUUGAACUCAAGACCUUAGGCUUUGAUACCAUGUUAAGCUUCAUGCACUAGCCAAUGCAACCAGAAGUCCAAACUAAUACUCCCUCCGUCCGAAAAUACUUGUCAUCAAAAUGGAUAAAAAGGUAUGUAUCUAGAACUAAAAUACAUCUAGAUACUUCUCCUUUUAUUCAUUUUGAUGACAAGUAUUUCCGGACGGAGGGAGUAGAAAGGGCUAGGCAAUCCACAUAGACACUUCAACACAGACUCUAAUGAAAACAGAACCCACAUGGAAGCAAUUAUGGGGACAUGCAAGUUAUGUAGUUUUGAUGUUUUGAACCAAAAAACAAAAAAUGAGGGAGCGCCCACGGCAUCUGGAUGGAUUGAUGCACCCAGCCAUCUUCUUUAUUUAGAAUGUUAUUACACAGUAUCUUGCUCAAAAAUAAUAUCAAAUAAUCCAUCAGUAUAUUUAAAUUGAGAUAUUGGUAGAUUAGAUAUUGGACUUAUGGCACGAAAAAUGCACUGUCUAUUGUUGAUAAUGACCUAAAAACAUAAAGGCAAAGUCCGUGCGUAACAUCCUAAGAAUUGAUGUCUUUUAUCCAUGCACCAUCACUGGAUAAUAGGGCAGAUGAAACGGGUCAACUUAUAACAUAAAUAUGUGUUAAGAGUACGUAAUGGGCCUAAUGGGCCCAUUAGUCUUAGGGUUAAUUAGAGAUAAGAGUCGCUUGCUUAGGGGUCAAGUAAGCCUUGCUUGGGAGUCAAGUAAACCUCUCUAUAUAAAGAGAGGAGAUGUAUCAAUCUAAUCAAGCAAGAAUUAAGAAGGAAAUCCCUUCCCUCUUGCCUGGCCGUGGGCAAAAAGCCCCCGGCCGGCCCUCUCACGCCCUCCUUCUAGCAGCGCCAUAACAAUUUGGUAUCAGCUAGCUUCAGUUCGAUCAUGUCUUCACCGCCGCCAAGCCCGUCUCUUCCGCUGCCGGUUACCUCGUCGCCUCCGGCAAGGAGGCGACCACCACGACCGUCGCCCCGCUCCUGCCCGCGCCCGGAUCCUCCGUCGCGCCUGCGCCCGCCCCCGCCGUCCUCACCCCGGAGGAGGUGUUCGGGGUGCUGCGGGACCUAACCCAGGCGGUCCAGGAGAUCCACAUGUUCUUGGCCGGGUCCUACGGGCCGCCCCCGCGCCGCCGUGGCUGCCGUGGCAGCCGCCGCACCAGGCGGCCUUUGCCGGGCCGCUGCAGCUGCCAUCCAUCGCCCAGCCCUGGCUGCAGUGGCAGUCACCGCUCCUAGCGGCCUCCGCCGCGCCCGGCGCUUUGCCGCAGCAGCCGCUGCCGCUGCCCGGCGCGACACCGCAGCAGCCAUCGCCGGUCAGCUCCGGCGCCCAGUAUGGGAUGCCCUACGACGGGACUGCGACGACCUUGUUCCCAUCAGCGCCGCCGCCAUCCCAGGGCAUCCACAUCCAGCAGAUCAAGUCCCCGCCGCCGCAGUCACCGCUUCCGUCUUGGAUCGCUACCCGCCACGUGUCAGCGGCGGUGAGGCUGCAGGCUGCUGCGGGCGGCCUCCUAGCGCGUCGGCGUGUGCGGGAGAUGCGUGGUCUGCAGCUGCCGCUCCUCCAAGUUGCCCUUCGCUGCACAAAGGACCUCGAUCUCGUCCGCUGCGUCGGGGAUCUUGGGCAUGCGGUUUCCCCCACGGGCGGCGGGCAUGCUGUUUUCCCCGUGGGCAGCGACCUCAAAGUCCGCGACAUCGGCGGUUGGGGGGGCGCACCCCUCCUCGACAUUCUCCAUCGCAAGCCCUCCACUCUUCCAUGUGCGGUGCAGACCAACAGCCAUACACAUGCACUCCUUUUGUCCAGGUGGUGUCCAUGGGAUCCAGGUGGCUGUACACGUGCACGUCCAAAAUAAAGCGUCCUAGUCUAUUUCAGGUUGAGAGUAAUAACACAAGCCGAGAUGUAAAAGGCUUGUUUUUAGGUGUUAGGUUUGUGUUGCGUCGAGCCAUGAUUAUAAGUUGGUUAGGCUGCAGCUCGAGGACAAGCUGCAUGUCCAGGUGGGGUGUAGUGUUAGAGUACGUAAUGGGCCUAAUGAGCCCAUUAGUCUUAGGGUUAAUUAGAGAUAAGAGUCGCUUGCUUAGGGGUCAAGUAAGCCUUGCUUGGGAGUCAAGUAAACCUCUCUAUAUAAAGAGAGGAGAUGUAUCAAUAUAAUCAAGCAAGAAUUAAGAAGGAAAUCCCUUCCCUCUUGCCUGGUCGUGGGCAAAAGGCCCCCGGCCGGCCCUCUCACGCCCUCCUUCUAGCAGCGCCAUAACUAUAUGCUUACAAUAUUUAUUGAAAGAAAAUCAAAACAAGUAGUUAUCUUCAGGGCCACAGCAUUGAUCCGUAUGUGGUCGCUACUCACUCCGACGGCGGCCAGGGGGCGUUUGGCUACUGCGUCUACCCGAUGGGAGAUGGUAGCUCGGGUUAUUUUCAACCGGUUUGGAUGUCGGUCAUGUAAUAGGAUAGGCAUGUAGUGCUCCUAUUUUAUUUGCCAGCCGGUUGUGGCUUUCGAUCUGGCUCUUAUGAGCGUUUUGUUUUAGUUCUUACUUUGCGACUUGGAGACUUUGUUACUGGAUUUUUUAAUAAUAUGAGCCGUAUGCAUCUUUCUGAUGCAGAGGCUGGGGUAAACCCCCUUUUCGAAAAAAAAGUACAUGUGAAAUCGAAUCAGAAAAAGGACAUAUGGGCAAAGAUAACUAAACAUCUUGUAAGCAUGUGGUUGUGACAGCAAUAUAUUUGAGAUGUCUGCUUAACAGUUAUAGAAGUCAUAUGUGCAUUCUCUAACAUAAACUUUGGAAAGGAAAUACUAGGAUAUUCUACAGUGGUUGCUUUAUAAAAAAGAAAGGAGAAACAAUAUGACACAUUGCUAAAAAGAUAAUAUUUUCAUAGUUGAGAUGAACUUUGCAGUGCAUCUAUGAUGCAGCGUCCGGGGAUAACAAAAGCAUCCAUUAUCUUAAAAAAAUUCUCAACAGAUAAGAAAUCAACAAGUUCGUUUUAUGCAUGUAAAAUCUACUUACAGAAGCAUAUUGGAUAUUCCCCAAGGAUCGAUCACAUAAAAAAUCACCAACACAUGCGCACGAAGAUCUCUUCGUCCGGCACGUAUUGUGCCUCUCUUCUUUUUAUUUAUUCCCCAAUCCAGCAUACAAUCUCACAGCCCUUGUGCACGUAUAUAUGGGACCAAAGCUAGCUAAAGCUAGACCUACUCAACUUAGGACAUUAGCAGCUAGCACAAUUCGGACUCGAAUUACUACUGAGUCCUGACCAGCAAGUAGACCUAUACUCAUAUCCGACUCAACUAGCACCAAGGCAUGGAAAAUCAGAAACCAACUCCAACACAUGCCCAUAAAAAUCCUAAUUAGAACUAACUUAAUCCUAAUCGAACUAGCAUUACUUAGACUUACGGCAAGCAAACAAAAACCUGAUUACAAUUCAACUGGACUGCAUUAGAGGCAAUAUUGUUUCAAAUAAAGCAUGCAUACACAUGUCCAGUAAUCGAUAAUACAAUGACAGAUAUAUGAAUGAGUGUUUCCGGGAAUUAAAUAUUUUUCAUUGCUAAAAUAAAAUGUGGUGACAAAUAAACCUACAAAGUGGUCAACAGUUUAUUAAAGUCAUGAAACUAAACAAAACUCUAAUUAGCAGUUGCCAUGGAGUAAAUCUUACUCCGGGAGACGGUCAUACCUCAUUUUCUGAUAUAGCUCCUGAAGGAAUAGGACGAUAAGGCUCAUUAAUAGCGUCGAUGUCUCGGUCAUACCAGUCAUUAAUUGUCUACAAGCAAUAAUUUUUGAAGCUGACAUAUUCUUUAGUACAAAUAGUUUUCCAUGAAACAUAUGUGAGGUUACAAAAUAUGAAUAGAGCAAACACGAUGAAUCUGAAGUAAACCUGCGUGUAUCCUGUAAGACAAGGACCAGACAUUAACAUGCAAACAAUAGAUUUUGCAACAUCUUCAACUGUCCAGUGGAAAUUUCCUACAGCAUGAGAAGUUCAAAUAAGCAUAACAGUUGCAUUGUACACCAAGAGGAACAACAUUCGUUAGCACAGAAGCCAUAAUGGUAUUGUAUUUUCAUCCUAAACCCUAGAAGUUCUAGACGUCUGACAAGAGGGGAGAAUAGUAUUGUUGAGUUGCCAUGUGUUGUUUUGUUGCAGAAAUUGGGUGAAGUUUCCUGUGUAGUCAAUCAAUAUUCAAUUCUUUGGUCUACUCCAAAAUAAAUAUAUGCGACCAAGGAUAGUGAGAAAGACACUGUAGGCCCACAGAGCAUAUCGACACCAUUGCAAGCCAGCACAACUUAAAUCGCCAGGUUAUAGAUGACUAGCAAAUCUAAGGAAUGUGGCAAAAUGUAACAACGGUGCAUCGCAUAUGGAAACAUAUAGCUGUCUAACUCCAAAUCCACUUAAGUAUAAACUAUUCAUUUUUUCCGAUAAAGAAGUAUAAACUAUUCAUGUACAGAUAGAAACCAUAAUAGUCGAUAAAGCAUACCAGAGGCAGCUGCUCCACAAAGCACACCCCAGACAAGCGGAGGCCAUGUCACCGGCUUAGUAAGUUGAAGACGGAUCUUCCAUAUGUUCUGUAUAUGCAGCAUGAUAAAGAGGGGGUUAAUGAGCAAAUUAUCAUUUCUAGUGCCUACACAAAAUUAGCUAGAUAGUGAUUAGUAUAAGCACAAAGCUAGUAUACACAAGCCAUGCUCGCAUGACACCAUAAGCCGCACCUCCAUAAAACAUAUACUCCACAAAAAGGUGAAAUUCAUAAGUUUCAGCAUCCACAUCCAGACACUUUACAUCUGCUACAUACAGUCCGGCAUUGGCUGCAUGCUGAAUCCCGAAUUCAACGCAUGCCUGACCAACCAGCCAACUAACAAACGACUCCGAUUUGGAUUCAUAAAUAUAUUGCGAUGAGAAACCAGUUCAUGGGAGCAGAUUAAUGGCUCACGUCUUCUUGCUUGGCGCCCUUGAUUCCGAGCAGCUGGUUGAAGCUGGACCCCGCCGCCGGUGCCUUCUCCGGGACCUUCGGCUUCGUUGCUACCGUGCCCAACACAACAAAACAAAUCACACGUUAGAACUUCAGCCGAAACGCCCCAUAAAUCAAUCGCAGAACAAGCUGAACUUCAUAAGGAACGGGCGCCCACUUUCUUUAGCGUCGGCGUCGGCCGCGCAGAUCACCGGGAACGGCCGCCGCCCUGCGAACGGAACUCACGUGCAUCAGGACGACACGCGGCAGCACACAUACACAGUAAAGUAAUAGGCCAGAGAGGAAGAGGGUAUACGGCUGAGGGUUAGAGGAGGCGGCAGGGAGAGGAAGCGGAGAGGGGGGCGGAAGGCGGCGGCGGAGGAAGAUGUGGCGGCGGCGGCGGCGGCGGCCAGGAAGUGGGAGGUGGCCAUGGGGAAGUGGGAGGAUAACGCCGGCGCAGUUCGUGCCUCGUGGGCAGCUUUGCUGGGAAUGUAUCCGGUGCACCUGCACUUGUGGUGCCACCGGUGCACCGGAUGCUAUAGUCUAUUUUUAAAAAUCUGAAAAAAAAUUCUAGCAUGCUAACGCAACAACAUCAUCAAUGUAUAAAGUCACAAAAUUUCGUGUAAAAAUUUAAAAUAUUUUUUGAGAUAAAAAAUGACAAAUUUAACAUCAGUGUGAUAAUUUUUUUCGAAAUGGAGGCAAAAGAUUUGCCUCAUCUAUUAAAGUAGAGGAGAAUAGAGUUUUGUAGAGUUACACAAGGCCGGAGUACGGCAUGAAAAUUACUCGCGUGAUACAAUUUUCCCUAAUUGUUUAGCCCCUGCAGUAACCCAUAGGUUGGCCUCAUCUAUAAUAAGCUUGAGAAGGAUUGGUGGUGGCGUCUCUUUGUGGCGGAAGACUCUAGCGUUCCUUUCGUUCCAAAUUGUCCAAGAUACGAGCAUGGUAAGGGAGGCCAUGGCUCGACGAUUUGGAAUGCUCGAAUUGGUGCGCUUGUCCCACCAAGAGAGGAGGGAAUCCUCAAGGUGCCAGUCAGAAGGGUCCAGAUGCGCGAGCCCAUACUUGUCAAUGAACAUCCGCCAAAGCCUCAAGGUGAAGCGACAUUUGGCGAAUAGGUGGACGCCCGACUCCUGCACCUGUUUACAGAGCGGGCAAAGACUGCAAUUGUCCCAGCCACGUCGCUCUAGCCUGUCGGCGGUCCAGAUCCGAUCUUGUAAGGCCAGCCAAGAGAAGAAUUUGACCUUUGGGGGCGCCCACAUUUUCCAGACCAUGGAGUCCAUGGGGGAAAGCGUCAAACCCAGAAAUUAUGCCUUGUAUGCAGUGGACGCCGAAUAUGAGCCAUCCGAAGAGUGCUUCCAAAUGAUGUCAUCCUCAGAGUGGAUGUCGAGGUGUAUGUCAUGGAUGAGCAGCCAGAGGGUGAAAAUUUCCUGCACAUGCUGGCCAGUGAUGGUAAUGUCUCGUCUGAUCGUAAGCAUCCAAGCAUUCUCUGUAAUAGCCUCUCGCACCUUCCAGUUCUUUCUCCUCGAGGCCUCAAAGACGAGAGGUGCAAUGUCCUUCGGCUUGCGGCCAAGCAGCCAGGGGGAGUCCCAAAAAGGCGUUUUGGCCCCAUUGCCCACGAUGAUGGAAGUGGAGGCGUAGAAAAAAUCACGGUCCUCCUCGGUGCAAGGGUUGCCCAGGCCGACCCAGAGCUUGGACGGCUGUUUCCAUUCAAACCAAAGCCAUCUGAGCCUCAAAGCACGAGCAAAUUUGUCGGUGUUAAGAACACCCAAACCCCCAUAGCUGGUGGGGCGGCAGACCAUGUCCCAGUUGACUUUACAUUUGGCACCGGUGGUCUUGUCAGAGCCGGACCAAAGAAAAGCUCGCUCAAUCUUGUUGAGGUUGUCAAGGGAACCCUGAGGGACAAUGAGUGAUGUGAUGGAGUACACAGCCUGAGAGGUGAUGACAGAUCGAACAAGGGCCGUGCGCCCAAUGGUGGUGAUGUUCUGCCCAUCCCAGGUGACCAAUUUUCCAGCUGCCUUGUCCUGGAGGUAUUGGAAGUCAACUUUCUUUAGUCUCCAAACCGAGAGCGGGAGGCCCAAGUAUUUGAUAGGGAAAGACGCCCUGGUCGCCGGGAUGCUGCUGAGAAUGCUCACAAGAUCAAGGUUGGCGCAUCGAAUGGGAACGACAGAGCUUUUGUGGAAGUUGGUGCAAAGGCCCGUGACGUCUCCAAAGCCUUUUAAGAUGGUUGCAAGGUUGUCAAUAUCACUCUUAAUUGGUGCCAUGAACACGGCAGCGUCAUCCGCAUAGAGGGAGGUUCUGACCAUUGUACCUCGGCCACGAAUCUUAUGAAUGAUUCCCUUGCACGUAGCCAAGUCGAGGAUCUUGUGCAACGGGUCAAUUGCGAGCACGAAGAGCAGAGGCGAGAUGGGGUCUCCUUGGCGAAAACCACGUCCAUGCCUGAUGGGGGGGGGGGCCAGGCAGGCCGUUGAGGAGGAAGCGCGAGGACAAGGACGAAAGCAAUGCCGCAAUCCAAUUUCUGAAUUUAUCAGGGAACCCCAUGCGUUGCAUGAGAUCCAAGACAUACUCCCAUCGGACUGAGUCAAAAGCCUUUUUGAUGUCUAGCUUGAAUAAUAGAGCUGGAGUCUUGCACUUGUGCAGCCGACGAGCGAAGUUGCGAACAUACAUGAAAUUAUCAUGAAUGCUUCUCUUCUUGAUAAAUGCACUCUGCGCAUUGGAAACCAGAGCAUCCAUGAGCGGCGCUAGGCGCAUGGACAACACCUUGGCGAUGAUUUUGGCAACAGAUUGGAUAAGACUGAUAGGCCUAUAGUCGGAGAUCCCCUCAGCGCCGUCCUUCUUGGGCAAUAAGACCACAUUGGCAGAGUUUAGCCAUUGCAGGUUGUCUGUGCGCAGGGAGUCAAAGCAGUGGAUGACUCGCAUGAAGUCCACCUUGAUGAGGUCCCAACAUUUCUUGAAGAAAAUGCCGGUGAAGCCGUCUGGGCCGGGAGCUUUGUCGUUGGGCAUUUCUUUGAUAGCAGCCCAGACCUCCUCCUCAGUGAUGACAACGCCAAGAGCGUGGAGGUUGUGAUGCUGGAUGUCGAGCUCAUCCCAGUUAAAGUCUACGUUACUGUUGGUUCCAAUCCGCCCCAUGACCUCAGAGAAGUGGUCGUGGAUGAUCUUCUCCUUCUGUCCAUGCUCAGUCACCCAACUGUGAGCCUGUUUGAUGCGGUGAAUAUGGUUUUUUCUUCUCCUGGCAUUGACACGGUGAUGGAGAAAUUUUGUGUUCGCAUCCCCUUCUUUGAGGUUGGCCACCCUCGCACACUUGCUCUUCCUAGCUCUCUGAAGGACCGCCAGGCUAAUGACUCGUCAUUUUAGUCUAGCCCGAAGGUCGGACUCGGCGGGGGAGAGGAGACGCGUCUCUUGAGCAAUGUCCAACCGAAGGAUUACCAACAGAGCCACAUGGAGUUGGACGUUGGCCUUCGAGAACAUUUUUCUACUCCAUUCCGAAAGGCGGAGGGUGGUUUUUCUGAGCUUAUGAUGAAGGACUUGAUAGGGCUCCGAGUGGGGCAUGUGCUCGUUCCAGGCCGUUUGGAUCACCUCAGUGAACCCAAGCCAGGAGACCCAAAUGUUUUCAAAUUUGAAGGAGCGGGGACGUUUGGGUCCUUUGUCAUCUACCAGGAGCAGCGGACAGUGGUCCGACAAGGAGGAUGAAAGCGCGUGGAGAACGUGGGUGUUGUAUGUGGUGUCCCACUCUGCAUUGCAGAAGGAGUCUAGCUUGCACAGGGUUGGAUUGGAUCGCUCGUUACUCCAGGUGAAGCGCCUGUUCUGAAGAUGGAUUUCCUUAAGCUCACAAGACUGCAGCAUCGCACGGAAGCGGUUGAUCCUACUUGUGUUCACGUUUCUCUUAUUUUUGUCCCUAGCACGACAAAUUUGAUUGAAGUCGCCUGAGGCCAACCAGGCGACUCCCGACAGCGGCUUGUGGCUAAGGAGCUCCGCAAAAAAGGCAUCCUUGCACGCCAAGUCGGUGGGACCAUACACCGAAGUGGUUUUGAAUGUAGCUCCAGUAUCCCGGAUGCGUACCGUGGCCGACAGACAAUAAGAAGAUGUGGCAAUGUCAGAGACCUCCAGGAGGCCUUGAUCCCAAAGCAGGAGGAUACCACCACGGGUCCCCUCAGCCGACCGCUGUGCGAAGCCACGAAGCCUAUUUCCGCCAAUGGAAGCCGCAAUGAACAUGUCGAUGGAGCUGAGCUUUGUUUCUUGGAGGCAGACAAGGUGACAUGAGGUGCCCUCGAUUGUUGCCUUAACAGUAGCCCUGCGGUCUGGGCAAUUUAGCCCUCUUACGUUCCAGCUCAGAGUUGAUAGGUUGCUCAUGCAUGGGGAACAUAGAGAUUCUCAGGGUACAAUCUGAUAGCAGAAUACAACUUGGGGUUGAAGCAACUAAGGCAAGGCAUAAAGCCAGUACUACUAACAAGUAGCAAGUUCCAUGCCACACACGACAAGGACCCCUUACAGGAAAUGCAAUCUAAAAGCACUAACAUGGGAAAACUAGAGAACCCUACAGAGGCACUACAAGCAAUUUUCUUCAAACUAUAGCCUCUUGCUCUCCCGUACCAGCAGCGGUAGGUUCCAUUGUCGACUCUCCUCCAUGCCCAAUUAGGGUGUCUUCCACUGCGUUGACAGCGCCAUUGUCCAGCUGGAAGAAAUCACGCAUGGCCACAAUUAUCUCUGGGGUCAGUUGCUCUUUAAAUUUCAGCGAGAAAGCAGCAAGGGUGGCUUCAGUAACAUCUUCUCCAUCUCUGGUGAUUCCCAGACUCCGGCAAACCAGCCGUUCGGCCAUUUUAGCUGCUGGUACAACCUCGGGACAGGCGGACGGGCGCCGCACAUGCUGAAGCGAGAUGCCCCCAGAGCUGUUGCAAAUCUUCAGCCCGGCCAUCGUCUUCCAGCGAGUUCGCAGGCUCCUAGGAGGAGAUACAGCGGGGUGGAGGCUGCGGGCUGCACAGCGAGGAGGCCCGUUCCAGCAGCGCCGACUCGCGUACAGCAAACAACUGUGAAGGCAGCACAACAGUAGCAUCCUGGACAGGGGCGAUCAAAGCAGCAAGCCCAGCCGGCAGAGUAUCAUCAGCAUGCCCAGAACGUGCUCUUGGCGGAGUAGGCGUGCGCUGGAGCUCUCCAACGCCAGGAAGAGGCGGAGUCGGGGAGCAUUCAAACCCCGGAGGCCGCGUAGGUGAGAAGGAGAUCAACGGGCGCAUCAUGGCCGUCGGCGAGCACAACUCGAUGAGGGCGGGGCUUCGCUCCUGAAGGGCCAUCCUCGCAACACGGGCCGAGUCUCGCUUGGAAGAAGGGGAGGGCCAGAGGACCGACGUCGGGGAGCAAGGCAGGGAAGUGGGCGGAGUGCGCGCCUCCUGGGAGAGGCGCCUGGUCGCAGCUGGCCGCCUUUGCCUAGAGGGGCUCCGACCGCGCCCAUCGUCUUGAGGGGCCGGAGUUGCUUGGACAAUUGGCAGCAGCUCCAUGGCGAUGGCCUCUGGGGCACUAGCGGAGCCAGAACCCAGCAGCAGGGCAGCAUCAGCGGCCGGACCGGCGAGAGGAGCCUGACGGCGCCCGUCCCGGCCAGACCCGCCACGGCGAUCCUCUUGGACAUCUCUGCCAGACCCGCGCUGCUCAUCACGAGGAGCACGAGAGAGGCUACGUCUGAGUCGAGCACCCAAGCUUUGGCCGCUCCUGGGAGCAUCCCGCCCGCUUCGUCCAUGGCGAUCAUCACGGUCGUCAUCACGGUCCCGGCCAUCACCAUCAUCUCUGUCCCUCCGGUCAUGCCGCACGGGGCGAGAGAUUCUCUCGCGCCUGUCCCUCAUGUGCUUCUCGCCGUCGACGAUGUUGUACAACCAAGGGUUUGGCUUGGAGACGAUGUUGCCAGAGGAGGGGUCCUUGUGGAUGUCGAGAUGCACCAGAAUGCGGUGCUCCAAGCCUUUUCAGCCAUACACCGGCGCACCACCGUUGCGGCCGGGAAGAGUGAUCCAGCUCACCCUCGGCACCUUGCUUGGGCACUGCGUCCAUGCCCAGAGCCCCAGGACCUUCGUUUGGGUCUUCAACUGAGAAGCAGGCUCGAUGUAGUCAAUGGAGCACCCGGAGCCGAUGGCCUUGGCGACGGCUUGCUCCUCCCAAGCAUAGAGGGGAAGGCCUUCGAGGCAGAGCCGGACAUGGUGCCGCAUGUCCACAUGCUCGGCGUGCGCCUUGAGCCGCCAGGCGCGGAGCUGAAGCUUGGUGUCGCCGAACGCCAGCUCGCAGCGGGAGAUGGCAAGCUCGGCAUGGUGCCGGUGGAUGAAACGCGCGAGAAACUUCUUGGGGUGAUGCAGCACCACGACGACGUCCGGCUGGAGAGCUCCAAUAUUGCCGGCGAUGAAGGCCGCCAUCUCGAUGGUGGAUGCUUGGCGGUCGCGAUCGAACCAGGCGACGACGGUGUUGGAUUCUAGUAGUGCGAUUUCCAACAGGAUGGACGGCGUGUUGUGCACCACAGCGAAGACCUCCGGGCGGGUGGAGUGGUCACCCGACCAAGAGCCAGCAGAGGAGCCCAUCGCAGCUUGGGGACGGGACGGCUGGGCCGUCGGCAGCGACACACGCUGCGGCGGGGGGAGCGCAGCUUGGGGAGGACGAGGCGAGGACGACGGCAGCGGCGAGGACGACGUCGGGGGAGGCGCCUUGCGCAGCUUGGCAGCACCUGGACGCAGAUGAGGCCGAGGAGUGUGGGUGCAGAAGCGUGCUUUGUGGCCCGAACGAAAGCACCUUUUGUAGACCACAGUGUCCCGACAGUCAAUGGCGCGAUGUCGAGGGCAAAGUCAGUUGAAGCAGAGGCCUCUUAACCACUCGGGCGGAGGGGGGCGUGCAGUGAAUGCGGCGUGCUUGGCCGGCGGGCGUGGACGACGGGAUGUGACCUCCAACCAGGGCAUGGCCGUCGCCUCAGCCUCGAGCCCCGUGUCCGCCGCGCCGUGCGGGAUUGAAUGCCCGUCGCACGCCCUGGACGCCGAGCCUUGGAAGCAAGCUAGCCAUCCCGCACCAUUACUCGCCAUAAAUGUCGCAGCAGUGCGACCCGCAUUGAAGGCGGCAGGUGGGGCGGCAAGUGAAGCCGGGGCGGGCUCGGAGCCGGAGGAGCCGCCCAUGCCCACGCCAGCGCCAGUAGGGCACCCAGGCGGGGGAGGCGGCAGCGCCCCAGAGACCAGAUCUCGAUCCGCAUCGAAAAGGGGCAGCUGCGCCGCGGGCUGCUGCAGCGAGGAGUGAGACUCCCAACGCAGCUGCGGGGGCGGGUGGAGGAUGCUUGCCAGCAGUGAUAGCGGCGGGGCUGGGACGAUGGCCGACGGCGCCGGAGCGAACGCCGCCGGUUUGGCUGGUGGGACUACGGGGACAGGGUUGGGGUUGGGAGCGGGCAUGGCUGACAGUGUGAGAAAGAUUCAGUGUGAUAAUGGAUCAAAUCUAAAGCCCAAGUUAUGUUACGUACUAUUCAAUGUUGAAAUGUCAUUUUUGUUUUUCGAGUUAUGUUUCGAAUUUUAACUUGAAAUUUUGUGACAACCUAUGUUGAUGUUGUAUGAGUGUGCUAAUUAUUUUUCAGAAUUUUUUAAACAAUUUUAAAAUACAAUGUAAGUUUGGUGCACCGGUAGCAUCACAAGCUCCGGUACACGAGAUAUUUUCCCCAGCAUUGCUCGCCCAAGCCUAGUUUUCUGUUGAGUGUCCCAAGUGAAAGAAAGAGUAAUGCUACAUCUAUGAAUGAUUAUUUAAGUUUCUUGCAAAAAAACUGAUGUGGGAAAUUACAAUUAGUAAUGGGGAAAUGAAGGGACCAUUUCAGAGGGAAGGGAAAUAUAGUUUGAAAGCUAAGUAAAACGUUUGUAAUUCUUUCGUAGGUCUAGCAUUAUUGAUCGAAGAAACGACCGGCCUAAACCCCGCCUCUUCAUGAAGCAGCAACCCAGCCCACAUUCUUUUGUAGGUCUAGCAUUAUUGAUGGAAGAAACGAUCAGCCAAAAGGCAUCUCCAGCCGCGCCCCUAACAAGGCCCCCCAGGCGACUUUUCGGCCGUCGGCGCCAAAAAAUCGGCCCAGUUGUGCCCCCAAAGGCCCAUUUUCGUCGGCUCGGGCCGAAAUUGGCGCCGGCGGACCCAACCCGAACCCGGCGCGCUGGGGGGCACCGGGCGAUCGUUUUUGGCGCGAAAGAGCCGCGGGCCUCCUUGCCAGCGACUCGCCUCUCUUCUCGUUGCUUUGUCGUUCUCAUCGCCUCGUUUCCCGCCGCGAAUCAAUGCCAAAGCUGCCACAUGCUGUCGCGCCGGCCAGCCUCCAUUGAUGCCUCACGGGUGGCGCAGUGAAGACCGGACGACGCGCGUCCCCUCGCCCGCCACGCGUACACGCGGCGGCCACGCGUACUAUGCGGCGCCUUCGCCUAUAUAAGCCGACCCCCAGCGCGCCGGAGACACGCACAGAGCCUCCACCGCCGACGCGCCAUUUCUCCCCCUUCCUCCCUCUCCUCUCGCCGUCUCUAGUUCAAAGCAUGGCCGACGUGGGAGCUCGUGGACGCCGAGGCGCAUGGAGCCACCCAGGGCGUCCUCCUCCUCGCCCGGCUCUCCCUGCCUCCGCCUCGUCAAGCCGGAACCCCAGGACACGCCUGUCAACGGGCGCACCCGCAGCUCCGGCAUCCGCAUCGGCGACUCCACCCCCCUCUGGCCGCUUCAUCCUCGUCAUGCCCAAGCCAGAGCCCGGCCUCCCCGCGGAGUACGAGAAGAUAGCCCGGCGCGGCUUCUCCGACGAGGAGGCCCUAUAGUGGGCGCGGGAUGACUACCUCCGCGACGAGAUGGUCCGGCAGCGCCGGGCCCUGGAGGAGAUAGCCGCCCGCAAACGUGGGCGCGAGGACGAGAACGGCGUCAUGAUCCUCGACAGCGACGACGACGAGGAUGCCCCCGGACCGUCCAGCCCGCCGCGCCAACCGGGGGAGGGUUGCAGCAGGGACGGCGGCCACGGCGGAGGCGGCGACGAUGACGACGACUACACGCGAUUCUACAGCCUCCUCAGCAUGUAGAACUGCAAGGGCGGCGGGCAGCGAGGAGCGGCGAGGGAGACGGCGAGGAGCAGCCUAGUAGUUUUUUUCUUUUUUGUAAAAUAUGUUUAAAUUUGAACGAACUCGCCGAAGUUUGGUUGAAUUUACGCCGUGUUUGUGUCGUAAUUAAUUAAUUUUUUUAAAACGUGGGCGCCGUGACUGGGGGCAUCACGCCCCCAGCGCGCGGCUUAGCGCCGGUGCACCCCCAGGGGGCGAUUUUUAGCGCCUCCUGGGGACCAACGGCUGGAGAUGCUCUAAGCCCCGCCUCUUCACGAAGCAGGAGCCCAGCCCACAUGUGAAGGAAAAAAUUCUAGUCCUACUUAGAGCAUCUUCAACAUCAGCUUUAUAAUACGCUACCUAGCGUUUUUAGGGCACCAGACCCUCCAACAGCUGCCUAGUAGCAAAAAAAUAGUUGAAUAAAAUUUGGGCAGCCCCAAAAUGAGGCUUCUCGUGCGGCAAAUAUACAUCACUCGUGCUACUACCGCAAAAAUGCGAUGUUGCACAAACACCCCAUGCGCGGCCAUUUUGCUCCCGCACCCAGUAGGAUCCGCCUUCCCCCGCCGCCGCAGAUCCACCAUCGUAGACCACCAUCGCUACCCCGCGGCAACAACCCCACCCCGCUGCCCCUCUUCUGGCCGCUCACGAGCCGUCACCGAUCGGCGCUUCGCCUGGAUUUGGUCACCGCCUUUGUUGCAGCAGCCGUGUUGAUUAGUCGUCGAUCCACCACCGUCGGGCUACAUGGAGGCUCAGUCGUGUCCCCCGCUCACUGCCCUAGCGGACACCAGAGUUGCACAGCUAGUCGUAGCCUUCAGUGACAUUGGGCCAGCCAUGGCGCGGCGUCCCAUAGCUCUUGACGGAUAGCUGGCCCUCCCCACAUCAAGGACCACUUUGGGUGGUCGUUGCCCACCCCCUACCUGCAUCCGCAAGCCACAAACGACUCGCCGACCGAACUUCUCUUCCUCGCACACAAGGUGUCCGAUGAAAUCACUACAAAGGUAAAAAAACGUUUGCAUUUUUUUGGUGCAUUUGUAGAAUUAUAGCUUGAUAGAUAGUUUUGGAUUGUAGAUGAGUUUGUGUGACUCCAACUAUUACGAGGAUUUCUCGUCGGGUGAGGAAUUUGAUUCGACCAAGGAGGAAGAUAUUGUUAUGAUUGGGAUGAUGCACAAGAACAAGAAGCCCAGCCAUGAAGGUUCGAUUUUUGGCCAUGAGUUUAUAUGGAGAGAAAGGAAAGAGGCGGGCGACUGAUUGUGGCGCAAGUACUUUACCCCAAGACCUCGCUAACUAGAGAGGUAAUUUCGAUGCCGGUUAGGAUGUCCACUCGCUUAUUUCUUCACAUUUGUAAUGUUGUGAAGCAACAUGAUCGUUCCUUCGUUCAAAGGAAGAACUAUGCCAGAGCUCUUGGACAUAGCACUGAGCAGAAGGUUGAUAACCCACAAGUAUAGGGGAUCGCAAUAGUUUUCGAGGGUAGAGUAUUCAACCCAAAUUUAUUGAUUUGACACAAGGGGAGCCAAAGAAUAUUCUCAAGUAUUAGCAGCUGAGUUGUCAAUUCAACCACACCUGGAAACUUAGUAUCUGCAGCAAACUGUUUAGUAGCAAAGUAAUAUGAUAGUGGUGGUAACGGUAACAAAAGUAAAGACAGUAAAAGUAAUGUUUUUGGUAUUUUGUAGAGACUGUAACAGUAGCAACGGAAAAGUAAAUAAGUGUAAACCAGUAUAUGGAAAACUUGUAGGCACCGGAUCAACGAUGGAUAAUUAUGCCGGAUGUGGUUCAUCAUGUAACAGUCACAACAUAGGGUGACACAGAACUAGCUCCAGUUCAUCAAUGUAAUGUAGGCAUGUAUUCCGCAUAUAGUCAUACGUGCUUAUGGAAAAGAACUUGCAUGACAUCUUUUGUCCUACCCUCCCGUGGCAGCGGGGUCCUAUUGGAAACUAAGGGAUAUUAAGGCCUCCUUUUAAUAGAGAACCAGAACAAAGCAUUAGCACAUAGUGAAUACAUGAACUCCUCAAACUAUGGUCAUCACCGGGAGUGGUCCUGAUUAUUGUCACUUCGGGGUUGCCGGAUCAUAACACAUAGUAGGUAACUAUAGACUUGCAAGAUUGGAUCUAAAACACACAUAUAUUCAUGAAAACAUAAUAGGUUCAGAUCUGAAAUCAUGGCACUCGGGCCCUAGUGACAAGCAUUAAGCAUAGCAAAGUCAUAGCAACAUCAAUCUCAGAACAUAAUGGAUACUAGGGAUCAAACCCUAACAAAACUAACUCAAUUACAUGAUAAAUCUCAUCUAACCCAUCACCGUCCAGCAAGCCUACGAUGCAAUUACUCACGCACGGCGGUGAGCAUCAUGAAAUUGGUGAUGGAGGAUGGUUGAUGAUGACGACGGCGAUGAAUCCCCCUCUCCGGAGCCCCGAACGGACUCCAGAUCAGCCCUCCCGAGAGAGAUUAGGGCUUGGCGGCGGCUCCGUAUCGUAAAACGCGAUGAAACUUUCUCCCUGAUUUUUUUCUCCCCGAAAGCCAAUAUAUGGAGUUGGAGUUGGCGUCGGAGGGCCACCAGGGGGCCCACGAGGUAGGGCGGCGCGCCCAGGGGGGAGGGGCGCGCCCCCACCCUCGUGGACAGGGUGUGGGCCCCCUGGUCUUCAUCUUUGGCGAGGAUUUUUUAUUAUUUUACUAAGAUAUUCCGUGGAGUUUCAGGUCAUUCCGAGAACUUUUGUUUUCUGCACAUUAAACAACACCAUGGCAAUUCUGCUAAAAACAGCGUUAGUCCGGGUUAGUUCCAUUCAAAUCAUACAAGUUAGAGUCCAAAACAAGGGCAAAAGUGUUUCGAAAAGUAGAUAUGAUGGAGACGUAUCAACUCCCCCAAGCUUAAACCCUUGCUUGUCCUCAAGCAAUUCACUUGACAAACUGAAAGAGAAAAAGAAAAACUUUUACAAACUCUGUUUGCUCUUGUUGUUGUAAACAUGAAAAGCCAGCAUUCAAGUUUCAGCAAUUAUUAUGAACUAACCAUACUCACAAUAACACGUAGGUCUCACAAUUACUCAUAUCAAUAGCAUAAUCAGCUAGCGAGCCAUAAUAAUAAAACUCGGAUGACAACACUUUCUCAAAAUAAUCAUAACAUGAUAUAACAAAACGGUAUCUCGCUAGCCCUUUCUAAGACUGCAAAACAUAAAUGUAGAGCACCUUUAAAGAUCAAGGACUAACUAAACAUUGUAAUUCAUGGUAAAAAAAGAUCCAGUCAAGUCAUACCCAAUAUAAACCAAUAAUAAUGAAUGCAAACGACAGUGUGCUCUCCAGCGGGUGCUUUUUAAUAAGAAGGGUGAUGACUCAACAUAAAAGUAAAUAGAUAGGCCCUUCGCAAAGGGAAGCAUGGAUUUGUAGAGGUGCCAGAGCUCGGUUUUGAAAUAGAGAUAAAUUAUAUUUUGAGCGGCAUACUUUCAAUGUCAACAUAACAACUAAAAGACGACGAUAUCUUCUAUGCUAAAUAGAUUAUAGGCGGUUCCCAAACAGAAUGGUAAAGUUUAUACUCCCCUCCUCCACAAGCAUCAAUCCAUGGCUUGCUCGAAACAACGAGUGCCUCCAACAUUCAACAGGUCCCAGGGGGAGUUUUGUUUGCAGUUAUUUUGAUUUUAGUUUGCACAAAGCAUGGGACUGGGCAUCCCGGAUACCAACCAUUUUCUCGUGAAUGAGGAGCGGAGUCCACUCCUCUUGAGAAUAACCCGCCUAACACGGAAGAUAAGGGCAUUUCUAAUUGACAUAUGAGCUAUUUGAGCAUGCAAAACAGAAUGUUUAUUUGAAGGUUUAGAGUUUGGCACAUACAAAUUUACUUGGAACGGCAGGUAAAUACCGCAUAUAGGAAGGUAUGGUGGACUCAUAUGGAAUAACUUUGGGGUUUAAGGAGUUUGGAUGCACAAGCAGUAUUCCCGCUUAGUACAAGGGCUAGCAAAAGACUGGGAAGCGACCAACUGAGAGAGCGACAACAGUCGUAAACAUGCAUUAAAAUUAAUUCACACCGAGUACAAGCAUGAGUAGGAUAUAAUCCACCAUGAACAUAAAUAUCAUGAAGGCUAUGUUGAUUGGAUUCAACUACAUGCGUGAACAUGUGUCAAGUCGAGUCACUCAAUGCAUUUAAAGGAGGAUACCGCACCAUCAUACCAUAUCAUAAUCAUUCUAAUAGCAUGUUGGGACGCAAGGUAAACCAUUAUAACUUAUAGCUAAUCAAGCAUGACACAAGCAACUAUAAUCUCUAAAUGUCAUUGCAAAUAUGUUUACUUCAUAAUAGCUGAAUCAAGAACGAUGAAUCAUCAUAUUUACAAAAACAAAA